GGAAACUGAUUGACAAUAACCACAAAAGAUCUUCCCAAGGCCUUACAUUAUAUGAAGAAGAAAGAGGUAAAUUUGGGCCACUAGAACCAGGCAUGUGGUUAUUUGACAUCGGAAGAUUUCGCUGAAAAUCAUGGGGAAUAGGUGGUCCCUGAGGCAUACUAUGCAUUCCUACUACAGGUCUACCAGUAACCUGUUGCAUAGCUUGAGGAAAUUGGAUUUGAGAAGGUUGAUACAUCACAACAUUUGCAUUUCCAAGUGGCAUAAAUUGUUGAGAUGGCCCGAAACCAUAAGGUUGUGCCUGCUGGGCUAGAAGCAUAGGCUGGAACUGCUAAAGAUGUGGGGAAAAUAGUUAUCAUAAUGUCUCUACAUUCAAAAGUCAUUUAUCCCUCCCCUAAGCAUCCAUAACUUUACCUGCAGUAACAUGGAUGGAAUAGCACCGGGAGCAGGACCAGCCAGAGGAGGUAUAGCAGGACCAAUAUCCAUGCAAGGAAGAACAGAUGAAAUCAGAAUAUAGCUACUUUUCAAUCAUAUUUAGUUAAUUUUCCAAUCAAUGUUGAAAGCUUGUAUCCAUGCGCAACUCCCUAAAUUGAUUUGAAAGACAAGGCAAGAAUUUUGAAGCCAAACCACAUAGUAACAUGAAACCCUUUUCUUCAUCUAAUAAAUAGAAAGCUUGAAACGAGAAUAAAGAGAGAUAGGAAAUAGAUGACCUAUCACAGCGUUAGACGAGAAUGGACAAAAUGAUAAGCAUCUUUACCUUAUGGCUUNNNNNNNNNNNNNNNNNNNNNNNNNNNNNNNNNNNNNNNNNNNNNNNNNNNNNNNNNNNNNNNNNNNNNNNNNNNNNNNNNNNNNNNNNNNNNNNNNNNNNNNNNNNNNNNNNNNNNNNNNNNNNNNNNNNNNNNNNNNNNNNNNNNNNNNNNNNNNNNNNNNNNNNNNNNNNNNNNNNNNNNNNNNNNNNNNNNNNNNNNNNNNNNNNNNNNNNNNNNNNNNNNNNNNNNNNNNNNNNNNNNNNNNNNNNNNNNNNNNNNNNNNNNNNNNNNNNNNNNNNNNNNNNNNNNNNNNNNNNNNNNNNNNNNNNNNNNNNNNNNNNNNNNNNNNNNNNNNNNNNNNNNNNNNNNNNNNNNNNNNNNNNNNNNNNNNNNNNNNNNNNNNNNNNNNNNNNNNNNNNNNNNNNNNNNNNNNNNNNNNNNNNNNNNNNNNNNNNNNNNNNNNNNNNNNNNNNNNNNNNNNNNNNNNNNNNNNNNNNNNNNNNNNNNNNNNNNNNNNNNNNNNNNNNNNNNNNNNNNNNNNNNNNNNNNNNNNNNNNNNNNNNNNNNNNNNNNNNNNNNNNNNNNNNNNNNNNNNNNNNNNNNNNNNNNNNNNNNNNNNNNNNNNNNNNNNNNNNNNNNNNNNNNNNNNNNNNNNNNNNNNNNNNNNNNNNNNNNNNNNNNNNNNNNNNNNNNNNNNNNNNNNNNNNNNNNNNNNNNNNNNNNNNNNNNNNNNNNNNNNNNNNNNNNNNNNNNNNNNNNNNNNNNNNNNNNNNNNNNNAUUAUAUAUGUAACAUCAUACUUCACUACGAAUCAAAUAAACUUAAGCUCUUGCAUAUAUCGUUCAAGCCUAUUAGAUUACUUCUAUAAAACUAGUAUCAUUAACCAAGAAAUCAUCACAUCCACCUUCAUGGAGAUCAAUUGUUCAAAACUUAAUGUUUAGUGGUAAACAUGAUUUUACAACCCAACCUUAUGCAUGAUUCUCACUUGGAUACCAUGAAAUAGACAUUAAGAAACACUAGUACACUAGAACUUCCAAACAACAAAUAAUUGAUCUUGACCUUACGGUCUUUCUUUUCAUACCUCAUUAGAACGUACUAUUUUAACACAUCAAGCCUACUAAUUCUUUCCCACAGAACAUACAUCAUUAAUCUCAUGCCACUAUUUUUACCACCACAUUCUACAUUAAAUUCAAGCACAUAGUCCUGUACCAAUCAUCUAUCACUACUGAAAAAUGCAACAAACUAUGCUAGUUCAUAAAAUUUGGGACAUACUAUACAAGCGCCUAAAAAAUCACUACAUACCUUCUCAUAAGUAGUACUAGUUUACAAUUAUUAACGAAAAGAAGGUCAGGGGUAAAGUUACAUAAUAGACAUGAUCAACCUUAAUCUUAUAUUAUAACCCCAUACAAUUUUUUUUACUUAUACGGAUUUCUCACCUCAUACUUACUUACCAAAACAUACAUUUAGACUACCUUCAAAUUCCACUAAUAACCAUGAGUCUAUACUUACAACUUACUGGCUAAUAUAGCCAUUUUCACACUUCAAGCAAUCGAGAAAUCACCCUAACUAACAACUCCUUCUCUACCUUCUACUAAACUAACACACAAGGAAAAAUCACCUCUUUACCAACUCAAUCUCAUGCAAACAGAUUGGUAGUCCUGUACCAAUCAUCUAUCACUACUGAAAAAUGCAACAAACUAUGCUAGUCCAUCGAUUAUUCAACCAAAAUAUUCAUUUACACAAAGUCACCCUUGCUCUGACUUCUAACUUUGUGACUUCACAUCACCAAAUUCUUGGUCUAAUUUCACUACCAAUAGGUCAUGACAACAACACUUUGACGCAUACUACAAUUCGGGUGGAAAUAUAGUUCCAACAUUCUACUACACAACAUCCCCCCCUUAAGCAAGACAUUUGUAACAUAAAUUUGAAGAGGACUACAUGCAAUUAAUACCUCAAGCUGAAAAGCAUGAUUCAAUCAGGAUCAAUGUUUACAUCGGAAUCAAUACACAUUGAAGCACUAACGGACUCUUCUCAAGUCCUUGCACAAAUUUUAACUCUUAUAUGGUUCAAUCAGAAAGGACCAUACCAUUUAGAUUCUAAAUUUCUGCACUUGAAUCACCUCAAUAAUGAGACAUAUCUGGGACAUUAGAGUAAGGAAAGAAUUGGGGAUGACUUUUUUUUACUUUUGUAUGGGCGACACCAUAGCACAAAUUAGAGUAUGAAAGAGGAACAUUCUGACUCUAUUGCAUGAACUAGAACAUGAAGAAAGAGAGACAUUCCUAAAUGCCUAGUAGCCUCCUGCUUAUAAGUAUGGCGCGCUACACACCCAUAAACAAGACUCUACUCGACGCGAUUUCACAGACACCCUGAGACUAUGAACUGUGCUUUGAUACCAAGUUUGUCACGACCCAAACCGGGGCCCUGGCCGUGACGAGCAUUCUAACCAUGAAGGCUCAAAACACCCCUAUCUAUUUGGUAAUCAUGUACAUAAUUCAUAUGAUAAUAAGAUAUGCGUAAGAUACACAAUAAUGUGAAAAAUAUGGUCAUAAAUCAAAUGAAAUCAACAAAGGGGAAUUAAUGUCCCAUAAUGUAUAUCGACAUCUGAACAACCGUCUGCGAAAUCUCUAAUACAUGACUGAAACAAAUUACUGUCUGAAAACUGGGACAAGGUCCCCAGUAGACCUAAAACUACUAAAUGAUAAAUGAACUGACAGACAUCAGGCCUUCCAAAAUAUAGAAGGCUCACCACUUGAUUCUGUAAAUCUGUCGGAAGAGAUCUACUAGUUAUCUGGACCCCUAUACUAUGCCUCUAAACCCGGGAGGGAAGAGGGUCAAUACAAAAGUACUAGUAUGCAGAGAAACCAAAAACAAAAUGUAAUAUUUUUUUCCAAAUAUAGGUGAGAGCCAUUAUAAAGCAGUUCCAUAUCAAAUCAUUUAAAAACACAUGGGCAUAAUGUAAUAGUUUUCAACAACAAUGUAAUGCAGCUGAGCUAGGUGGAAUACCCUACAUAUAACAUUUACACCAACUGUCAAAUCUCGAUCCUAACCAUAGUCCCAAAUUGGGAAUGACAUAAAGUCAAGUACAUAAGAUCACUUAUCCUGGUACCAAAUCCCCAUGUCGGCAAACACGGUUUCCAGCGAGGAGCCCUUACACUCAAACGCCUUCUUCGGGCAUUCACCUAUCUCAUGUAAAAUCAAUGCAUCAAACUCUAUUUAAUUCAAUCACAUAUCUUAUUAUUUAGGGUAUCGUCAUAUCCGACUUGCAAGCCAUCAAUAUCACAUCAUUCUUUCAUGCAACCAUUAUAUUCAUCAUAUUUCAACAUAACAACCCUCUCAUUGCAAGUCGAAACCAUGACCAUUUUCAAAAUAUUUCAUGUCACGCUUGUCAAGAUGAUUUCAAACAUUUCACAUCAUAUGAGAAUUUAAAACGAGAUCAUAUAAAAAGAGGGAUUUCAUAUAAUUCAUCCUCUCAAGUUAACAUCUUUUCGGAAUACAUGCAUAUACAUAUAUCAAACCACUUUGAGAAUAGGCCUAAAGACCAAAUGAAUAUCAUAAAACGUUUAAAACUGGAUUAUAUUCAUAAUUUCAAAACUCCCAUUUUUAAAACAUGAAUUUUUAAGCCCAUGAGAUUUUUGAGAUAACCCCACGUACCUCUAUAUGCGAAGAUAAUAUCUGCUUCUUGAAGCCUACGUUUUGGGAAUUCCAAAUAUGCAAUUAGUUUCAAAAACUCACGGUUGAAUCUUGAGUUGCUUGGUUUUUUAUUUUAGAAUCCUAAGGAGAGUUCUUGAGCAAUUUUGAUGAAUGAAGGUGUAUUUUGGGGUAUUUUGGGAACUGAAUUUUGUUUUUAUGGCUAAAUAAGGGUGGGAAAAGGACCAUUUUGCCCCAAAAAUGGAGUGUUUAAGUCACUUGAGUAAUAAUAUAUGCGGUGCAAACAUUAUCGCAUAAUAUAGGUUGUGCGGCGCACUCUUUAUUGCACACAUUAGGUUGUGUGUCGCACACCUUAUGGCAUAAGUUAGGGUGUGCAUCGCACACCUUAUGCCAUAGGUUAGGGUGUGCGUCACACACCUUAUGUUGCACGACACACUCAACUUUGCAAAGACAUAACUUCUUCCUUGGGUGUCAGAAUUUUGCAAAGUUGGUAUCGUUGGAAAGAUAAUUCGAAUACGUUUCAUUUGAUAUAUAAAGGACACUCUAAUUCAAUAUAUACAAAGAGUAAUGGUCAAUUGAAAUUGAUCUAAGUUUCAACGCUCACUAAAAUUCAAACAAUAGGAAAACUUUCAACUUGUCCUUGAGCUUGGGGACCUCUAUGAUCUCAAUUCAUGCUCAAAUAGGUUUCCACACUACAUAAUUUAUUAACACACUAAAAUUGCAUUGGAUUUAUGGCUUUUGGAACCUUUACGUAAAGAAAAUGACGAUUUUCAUUCUCGUCCAAAAUGCGGGGUGUUACAAAAUUUGUUAGAAAAUGGAAAAUACAACCAUAUGGAGUACAUUUUAGCUGCACCGUACUCUAAAUACACUAAACUGAACUUUAAAAGUACUAAUGCAUUUCUUACCUGUUGGUGUGUAGCAUUCAAAAGUUUUAUUGUCUUUGGUAGGAAGAUAGCCACAACGCCGGUUUCAAGAAUGAAGAUUAAACUAAAAAGAAGCCAUGCUUGCUCUAGAGUUCCUGCUAUAUGAUACGACAUUACUCUACAACGUUGAACCCACUUUCCUAAUCCUUGGAGUCUAAGUUCUUCCGAGAAUGAAAUAUGAUUAGGUAACACAUCCUCAACAUCAUUUGAAUCAGUGACAGGAGGGUUACUGUCGUGAUGUUCUCGAUCAGCGUCCAAACUAUUUCUCUACAACAAGGCUAGAAUCAUUGGGUCCAAUCCAUUCUCCUUCAGCACCACUGCAAAAUUAGGAUCAAGCCCUUCAUCUUGCAAUAAAUUAGCUAAUUCAAGAUCAGUGUGUCUUCCUUUCCGCUUUAACAUAGAUGUAAUCCUGGGAUCACUCAACUUUUUUUGAAAUGCAAGUGCCAAAUUCAAGUCCAGUAUCUGUUGGUUUGAAGAAGUGGAUGUACUAGAAUCACCGCCUUGGCUUUCAAGGCCACUGCUAGAACAAACAACCAAUGAACUAUUAUGCUUUAAAUUUCUGUCAACAUAUGAUGAUCCUACUUAGGCUCUUGAACAACUGAACGACAGAACUACUACGUAGAGCUAGACUUGGUCUUCCACUAUCUCUACUCUUAUCACUAUUAAUCCCCUCAAUGUUAUUCAAGGGACUGCCAUCACCAGUGCAAGGCACAGUUGCAUUACCAAGAUGACCAGCAUCAGCACUACUACUGCGUUUGACACUUGAGCCACACCCCUCAAAAGAGCUUGCGGACCUAUUUUGGUCUUUUCUGUGGAAACUUCUCUAAGGCAGAUAAUUGUGCUCUUCAAGGCAUCUCAUCUAGCUGCUAAUGGGUCUGUAACUAAUAAAUGCCGUGAAACAGUAACACCCAACAGAACAGAUGCUACAACUGCAUAACUAAUAUAAUGUCCAGAGUACCUGAAACAAAAUUGUUGCAGUAAAAGAUUAGAAGAUAUUUUUUUGAUAACAAAAGAUUAGAAGUUUCUAUUCACCAAAUAAUAUUAAAAGGGAUACAUAUGACACAAGUAUAAGAAGACUUGAUUAUGGAAGAAAAUGAAUUAGCAUGGGUUAACAAUAAACCAGUAAUGAACUCCAACACAAGUAUAAGAAGACUUGAUUAUGGAAGAAAAUGAAUUAGCAUGGUUUAACAACAAACCAGUAAUGAACUCCAAAACAGAUCAGGAACACCCGAGAUGUACCGGCAACAAAAACUACAACAACUCAACUUUUCAGAAGCUAAAAACCAUACAAGCAAGAUCCCAAGUUCCAAUUUGAUUGGAUGAAAAGGUAGUGAAUUCAUUACUUACCACAAAGAAAUAAGAAAUUAUUUCACAAUACGAGUUAGAAAAGGAGACAGAUAUAUGUAGGAAAUGAACUACCAAGGAUUAUCAUGGCAGCUGAUGUUGUUGCCCCAAGCUAGUUUGAUUCCUUUGCUGUCAGACCAUACAGGAUAGAAUACACAAGAAGUACUACAAGUGAACCAACAUAUAGAAUUCCAAGAUGCAGAGCCCUGCAGAGCCCAAGUUCAAAGUGAAGAAGAGUAAAUUAUAGAGUUCAGAGAAAAUGUUGAAAAGAUAGUGCAGAAAAUAUGAUGAGCAGUAUAAAUGAGAACCCACUGAACACAUAAUAUAACAAGGUGACUUUCUAAUCUAAAGCAGCAUUUAAAUUAAUUUGCUUAGAAGUGAGAUUUUAAGAUCUACUAUUUUUACUGGACUACUGGAGAGUGUGUUUUGUUCUCUCAGAGUUAGUAUUCCUUUUAUUCAAAUUGAUUUGAGUUACACCCAUUGUUUAGCGUUCUUUGGCUCUUAAUUUUAAAAGUCUGUUAGUUGAGAACAUUUUGGCCUAUCUUCCAUAUCUUAUAACAAAAAUUAUGUUCCAUCCAAAAAAAGAGUUGUCAUAUUCGUCAUCCAUGUCCUUUAUAUAGAACUCUUCCUAUCUUUGUUCAAAUCCCUAGCCAACAAGAAUGAUGUCCCUCUUCAAAAAGUAUUAUGUCUUACUCUGUCUUUCUAUUGCCUAUAAACAGUCUAGCACAUCAAUGAUGUCUUCUGUUAGAGCUAAUCAUCGUGUUUACACCAAAAAUAAAGAAGUGCUAAACUAUUCUUGUUGAUCUUCUGGACAUCCUCAAAACAACCCUUGUUUCUUUCUGUCCAAACUGUCCACCAUACAUAUGUUAAACAAUUUUCCAUCUCUCCUCCUUUAUUACAUUUACAUCCCCAUUCCAGCUGCUUAGUACUUUUUUAAUGCUCCCAGGUUCUACCCACCUGAUCCUCUUCAGGUUGAAAACAUUCUUUACAGCUGCUCUGUCUAUUUCCAAUGUAAGAAAAGAUGGUUGAUUGUGUAAAGAAAGGAUCUUGGGCCUAACUCAACCCCAAAAGCUAGCACAUGAGGGGUGGAUUGCUCAAGUCCAUAUAAGAAGACCGACAGUUCACUCCCAAUAAUGUGGGACUUUCACCCACUCUAACACCUUCACGCCCAGGCCUAACAAGAGCAUGGUCUGGGAACUCAAAUGUGGAUGGACCUGCUAUUUGAGAAGGAAUAUCAACUGUUGUUUGUAUGCAAGAGAGAACAGAUGAGCUGUUGUUAUUGAAUGCAUUGGGUCUAUCAGCACGUACAGGUUCAUGCAUUAUGCCAUUAGGUUUUGCAGCAGUUCCAACAUUUUCAGCAGCACUACAAGUCAAAUUUUGAUGCACUGCAGUAAGGAAAGAAAACUUAAACAUUAACUUGAGACAACAACACAAGCUUCUCAAAUGUAGGUUCUAGCAAGAACAAAGAUAACAAGCAAAUAGAAGGCAAUGAAUAUAAGGAUAAGUCUAGACGGGCUUAGGGACAGGCUCCAAAAUGAACACAAUGCUCAUCAUUCUUGUGCAGAUAAGAUCAGACAACUUAUUGUUUUGAUGUUAAGAGUUUCUUGUAGAGGGUGCUGAAUCCAUUUUGCAACUUUGGAGGCCUUGUAAAGCAUAGAGAGGCUCAUUUUUUUUAAAGAAAAUAUUACCCACAUAGUAUAUAUGCUAUCAUUUUCAAAAAAAUAUGGUGCUUGCUGGUUUUACCAAUAUCAUGUAUGGUUGUACCUUCCAAUGCAACCUCCUGGCAAAAAAUCUAACCACUAAUAGGCAUCUUUCAGCAUAGAAGAUACUAAGAUUGUCUUACUAGGAAUUAGGUAAGUACAAGUUCUUGAAGGGAAAUUGUUUGCAUCAUUGAAGAUCAGAAAGCCAGGUAUACAGGAGAUUAGACAUGUUAAAGAAAAAAUGACAGGUUUAAUAUCUGGAAAGACAUCAAAAACUCUCCUUGAUAUAUAAAUGAUGGAUCCCAAAUAACUUCAGAAGUUACACACAAAAGUAAAAUGGUACAGAAACCAAUUCCACCUUUAUAAUAACUAUGUCUGCUUGAUGUAAGCAUAAACAUUAUCAGGAAAGUCAUCAAAGACUCUCAUUGACAUAUAAAUAAUGGAUCCCAAAUAACUUCAGAAGUUACACGCAAAAGAAAAAUGGUACAAAAACCAAUUCCACCUUCAUAAUAAUUGUGCCUGCUUGAUGUAAGCAUAAACAUAAAGAACAUACUGACAUACUAAAAGAUUAUCAAAAUGUUCUACAAUGUAGUGCAUAGUUUUUUUCGUUUUUUGAAAUUGAACGCAGUAUAUAGUUUAAAAAUGUACAAACAACAUUUAAUGUGGCAGGUGAAACAUCAAGUACUAGAAGGAAAAUUUAAAACAUGGUAGAGGCAAAUGAAAGAGGGUAUCGAAAGAAUGAUCAGAGGGCAGGGUGGAACUCCCUCAUAGCAAGUCAAAUGAAGUUUAAAACUAUAUAAAGAAGAUGAAACUAGAGGCUUCUGUAUGUGUCUCACAUACUUGGUAUAAACCAUGUGUGAAUAAGCACAACAGAAUCAAAUGUACUGAGACAAAACAGGAAUUUGAUUGUAGAUCAAAUAGAAGAGUCUGCUAACCGACUAGAUUUAAAAGCAGCUCUGGUCCAUGCACCAUUUUGAGGUAAAGUUAUAUGGUUAAAAAUUUGGACGUUACUUAAUAUAUGCACAAACUGAACAUGAAGUGCCCAGUUAGACAAGUACUUUUUUGUAGCUACCCAGUGACAACCAACUCAGCAAGGUUAAUGACCUUUCCCUUGCAUGGAAUGAAAGUGUGGAUGACCCGACAUCAAAUAUACGAUUGUUAUUAUACACACAAUCUCCAUACAACAGCAACAACAUACCCGAUGUAUAUUCGGGCAGAAUAUAUGCAAACCAUACCUCUAUCUCAGAGACGAAAAGAAAAUGGUAGAACCAAUCCUCAAUAAAUAAUUCAUAAGACAAAAAACAGCCAACACUUACAAAACCAAAUGAAGAAAAAAAGUUCAUUGUCUUGAUCACCGGCAAGUAAAAGAAAUGUUUACAAUUGGAGAUUCAAAAAGGUUACAAAAGAAAGAAGCAAACUAUCUAUUUAACAAGUAUCAAAGCGGGGAAAGAAUAAGAGUAAAACCAGUAAGUAUACUAGAAGUAUGAACACUAUAGUCAAUGAACAAAAUAUGAAUUGUAGUUUGGCCAUUUAGCAUCCAUCACUCCAACAGAGAAUCAGGACUUGCAAGAAGGUUGAAAGGUUUGCCUAUCGAGUCUUUCAAGAUUGUGAUUUGACCUGUUUCAUAAGAAAGUCUUCAUCGAGAGUAUCUACCUUCCUUUUCAACAUGUUAAUCUCAUAAUUCAACAGCAUGUUCAUCUCACUAUAGCUCUUAACUUCCUCCCACAUGAAAUCCCUCUCUUGAAACACUUUUGGUAGUAUUGCCUUCACAAUGCCAAGUUCCUUCAUGCAUUCUUCCAAAUCAUUAGUGAGCUGGUUGAUAUUUCCGUCCUUUUUUAGCACCUACUAGAAUCAACCGUAAACCAUGAAAAACAAGAAAGACACAAAGAUCACCAAUAAUAUUUCAUCAGAAAUUUAAAAUAAACUCAUAGCCUAAAAGUUCAACCAAAUCAUGAAUCCUUUUUAACUGUUAAAAUUCACAAUAGAUAACUCGUGACCUUGUCCAAGAAUUAAGUCAGAUGAACGAGCAAACUUACCGAAACCCCUUCGGGUAACUUUACCAUAUCAAAGCACAAUCAGAUCAAUGGGUUUGAGGAUAUCACAAAGUUUAUCAUGUUCUUGGUUGGUUCAAGUGAUUACACAUUAAGGCGAUCAGACAUUUCACAAAAGGCUACCACAUGCCAGCAACUCAUAUAUACAAGUUCAUAAAGAAAACCAUGAACUUCAGAUGGAACAAAGAUGAACCUAAAAUCAAUUAGAAGUAGAAAGCUAAUGCAGAGAGAGUAACAUGCGAACAGGCUAUCAUAUAUAAAGACGAGGUAUCCAAAGUUGAAAAAUAAAAACUAUUCAGUUGCAACGAGAUCUUAACAUUGCCUACUUACCUAAAGCUCGAGAUAUUUCAACUUGGGUGUGGCAUAAAAAAGAGAGUCCAAUUAAUUUUGUACUUCACAUUUGAGAAUGUUGUUACCUCUAACUGUUGUGGUUAGAUCAGGCUGAAGUUGCUUUAUGUCCAUCUCCUCGGAAUAGAGCUUCUCCCUUAACACAGUUUUCAGCAAAGUCUUUGAUUUAAGCUCUUUAACCUUUUCGUGGUAGUUUUCCCGGACAUAAUCUCUAUUGUCUUGAGCUACUCGAUAUUCCGCUUGUAACUGAGUGAGCUUCUGCCUUAGAUUUUGAUUCUCCUCUGACACUUGCUCUAUUCUCUUAAAUAAAUCUUCAAGGUGUUUCUCCGAAAAUGACAUCUUGAUUCUAUUAUCUACUUUCUUCUCAUUAAAUGAAGAGACUUCCCUUUGUAGAGAGACAUUCUGCUCUACAAGCUCCCUCACCCUUUCACGGAGUCUAUGCUGUUCAAUUUGGUAUUUCUCAAGUUUUAGAGACCAAUCGCUGGAUCUUCUAUCCAACUCCUUUUCCAGUACUAAUUGUAACUCAUUCUUUUCUGUCUCCAAUCUUCGUGUCCGUGAAUCUAGUUCUGCCUGUAAUAUGCUGGCUUCUUCCUUAACAGAAGCCGUUUUAGCAACUUGAUUCUAUAGCACGCUUGAAACUUCAGAAGCCAUUUGUACCUUCUCCUUUAUCAAUCUUCUAAUAGUCCAAAUCAAUACUGGAGCGCUAAGGUCUCUGCCGUGAAGAAACAUUUGUCAUUACUUUGGACAAGCAAACGCAAAUUAAAACAUCAGUUUAAGUGUGAAAAAGGAAGCUACAGCAAAAUAAUAUGCAUACCGGCUUGAAUCACGACCAGAUUUCUUAGGAUGAACUUUCUUACUGUGACCAUGGGGAGAUUUGCUCAGAUCCGUGAAAUUCUUUUUGCCUGACCCACUGUCAUAGAAGGAUCCAGAUGACACUGAAACACUCCUCUAAGAAGAAACUUCCUUAGACUUUAAUGGUGGUGGAGAGGUCUUGUUUGCAUCAUUAGUUGAUGAUCGAGAAAAGAAGAAGUUGUUCUUCAUCAUCUCUAUGUAUGGAGACUGUACAUGAAUCAAACUAGUGUCCAUGAGAUUUCAAAGGACAAAGCAAAACACUCAUAAACAACCACUCACAAAUCAUUAUCCAUUCAUGAAAAUACUGCAAGCUAACUAAAUACCUAUGAGACAAAGAAAAACAUCUCUCUUUCUACAUGCUUCUUCUUCAACAACAACAUAUGUAACCCCUACCUUGGCAAGUAGAAAAUUUGUUUCCCAUAAAUCCUCGGCAAGGAAAGAAAACACACGAGGAUAUUAACAACAGUAGCAAGUAAGAAAACAAAGGUAUACGAUACAACAAGUAGAAAAGAAAAAUAUAUACUAAUACUACUGCCAGAAGAGACAUAACACGAAACUAUUUACUACUAGUCUUCUACUAAAAAUUAAUAAAAUACCCCACAAACAAAUAGCAUGAGAACAAUUCAAAGAACUUAUCAAAUCCUUCUGAUAAAACAAAUAAUCAUUCUAAAUAAUAAAAAAAAAGAAGAGAAAUUACUGAAUCAAAGAGUUGAAAGAGUAAGAGCCGGCAAAAGGUUGUCAGAAUCUGUAGGAUUCUUGUCAUUUUUUCUUUAAAUGUAAAAAUAGCAAAAGACUAGAAUGGAGAAAACUUUUUUUUUCCUGUGUCUUUCAUUCAUCAUCGUACAAUGCAUAUAUACAACUAACAAGGAUCUGUAAAUUGCAAGUAAAUAUUUACAAGGAUCUGUAUAUGGCAAGUGAAUAUUUACAAGGAUCCAGAAAUAUAGCAAGUGAAUAUUUACAUACUCAUAAUGAAAAACUUGAGAAAUACCCAUGAGAGAGAGAGAAGAAAAGUGUAACAAAUAUUUUGUGUUAUUCAAUGGCUAUAAAUAGCCAUAUGAGGUCAAAUUUUCCAUAUAAUUGAAAUAAAAUAUAAACUAUAAAUUAACUUUUUAAAAUUAGCACACAAAUUAACCUAAAUUAUGAAAUUUAAGAUAUUUAUUUUUUCAAAAUUUAACUUUUCCAUAUAAACAUCACUGAAUUGAUAUAAACAAUAUUUUGAAAUGUGAUAAAUUAAUUAAAUAACCCAAAAAUAUUGUAAUAUUGUAUUUAUUUUAUCUCUAGAUCUUUUUUUAAAACAUAAGAAAUACUAAAAUCAUACAAUAAUCUCCUUUCUUUUUAUAGUCUAAACUUACCAUUUAAAAAUUGUUUCAUUUGAAUUAAUAAGAUCAUAGUAGAUUGUACAAAAUCAGUUAAUAUAUGAAAUAUAUUUCCAUUAAAGAAAUAAAGUAUGAUAUAAUUGUAAUAAGACUACACAAUCAAAUAAUUAAUUUCACUUAAUUAGAUUAAAUUUUAUGAUCAUAAUAUAUAGACUAAAGUUCCUUAAAUUUAAUGCUGUAAAUUUAAAAAUAUAUUUUUGGCUAAAGUAGUAGUCAACGUUUGUUGUUUUUUUUAAUCAAUAUGUGUAUAUCAAUUACGGAACUUUGCAUAUAUUCUUUAUUACAAUAAUGGUCAAUAUUAACUGAUUUUUACCACAAUUUAAUCUAAUUAGUUUGAUAACAAUACAAUUAUUAUUAAUAUUAUAUAUUUGUUAACCAUAAAUUUGUCCUAAUUUUAUAGCUUGUUUAUAUUUAAUUAAUCUACAAUUACAUAAAGGAUUCAAAUAUGGAAACAAUUGAUAUUAAUUACCUUUAUAAUUUCAAAAAUUUAAUCCCAUGAAUUUCUCAUAUUCUUAUAGUUUGAUUAUAUCAAAUUGAUAUUAAUUACCUUUAUAAUUUUGGGAAUAAUUUUUAACAGGUAACGAUUAUUUUUUUCCUAAUUGCUGAUUUAUUUCUCAAAAAUUUCUUAUAAAUUUAUAAUUUGAUUAUAGUUAAUUGAUUAUUUAAUUAUCUUUAUAAUUUGCUAAAAACCCAAAUAAGGUAACAAUUAUUUUUUUCUCAAUUACAGAUUUUCUUAUAUUCAAUCUUUUANNNNNNNNNNNNNNNNNNNNNNNNNNNNNNNNNNNNNNNNNNNNNNNNNNNNNNNNNNNNNNNNNNNNNNNNNNNNNNNNNNNNNNNNNNNNNNNNNNNNNNNNNNNNNNNNNNNNNNNNNNNNNNNNNNNNNNNNNNNNNNNNNNNNNNNNNNNNNNNNNNNNNNNNNNNNNNNNNNNNNNNNNNNNNNNNNNNNNNNNNNNNNNNNNNNNNNNNNNNNNNNNNNNNNNNNNNNNNNNNNNNNNNNNNNNNNNNNNNNNNNNNNNNNNNNNNNNNNNNNNNNNNNNNNNNNNNNNNNNNNUCGUUGUUUUUGUAACCAAUAUAUGUAUAUCAAUUACGAAACUUUGCAUAUAUUUUUUAUUAAAAUAAUUGUCAAUAUUAACUGAUUUCUAACUCAAUUUAAUAUAAUUAAUUUUAUAACAAUAAAAUUAUUAUUAAUAUUAUAUAUUUAUUUACCAUAAAUCUGUCCUAAUUUUAUAGCUUGAUUGUAGUUAAUUAAUCUACAAUUACAUAAAGGGCUCAAAUAUGAAAACAACUGAUAUUAAUUACCUUUAUAAUAUUGGUAAUUCAAUCACAUGAAUUUCUCAUGUUUUUUAUAGAUUAAUUAUAUUAAAUUGAUAUAAAUUACCUUUUUAAUUUUAGGAAGAAUUUUAAAAAGGUAACGAUUAUUUUUUUCCUAAUUACUGAUUUAUUUCUCAAAAAAUUCGUAUAAAUUCAUAAUUUGAUUAUAGUCAAUUGAUUAUUUAAUUAUCUUUAUAAUUUGCUAAAAGCUCAAAUAAGGUAACAAUUAUUUUUUCUAAAUUACGGAUUUUUUUAUAUUCAAUUUUUUUUUUUUUUUUACUAAAAUAGUUCAAAUUUAAUUGUUUUGAGGGAUGAUAACUUUUUGUGUCUAAAUCUUUUUUAAUAUAUAAGAAAUGCUAAAGGCAUACAAUAAUCUCCUUUUUUUUUUAUGAUCCAAAAUUACCAUUUACAAAUUAUUUCAUUUGAAUUAAUAAGAUCAUAGUAGCUUACACAAAAUCAAUUCAUUAAUUAUAUGUAUUUUUAUAUAAAAAAUGAUGUACGACAUAAUUGUAAUAAAAUCACACAACCAACUAAUUAAUUUCAAUUAAUUAAAAUCAAUUUUAUGAUCAUAAUAUAUAGACUCAAGUUCCUUAAAAUUUAAUGUUAUAAAUUUUAAAAUAUAUUUAUGGCUAAAGUAGCAGUCAGUGUUCGUUGUUUUUUUUUUUUACCAAUAUAUGUAUAUCAAUUACGAAACUUUGCAUAUAUUUUUUAUUAAAAUAAUUGUCAUUAUAUUAACUGAUUUCUAUCACAAUUCGAUAUAAUUAAUUUUAUAACAAUAAAUUUAUUAUAAUAUUAUUAUAUAUUUAUUUGCCAUAAAUCUAUCAUAAUUUUAUAGCUUGAUUAUAUCUAAUUAAUCCACAAUUACAUAAAUGACUCAAAUAUGGAAACAAUUGAUAUUAAUUACUUUUAUAAUUUCAAAAAUUUAAUCCCAUGAAUUUCACAUAUUCUUAUAGUUUGGUUAUAUCAAAUUUAUAUUANNNNNNNNNNNNNNNNNNNNNNNNNNNNNNNNNNNNNNNNNNNNNNNNNNNNNNNNNNNNNNNNNNNNNNNNNNUUUUUUAAUACAUAAGAAAUGCUAAAGUCAUACAAUAAUCACCUUUAUUUUUAUAAUCCAAACCUAUCAUUUAAAAAUCAUUUCAUUUGAAUUAAUAAAAUCAUAGUAGAUUGCACAAAAAAAAUCAAUUAAUUAUAUGUAUUUUUAUUAAAUAAACGAUGUACAAAAUUGUUGUAAUAAAACUAUACAAUCAACUAAUUAAUUUCAAUUAAUUAGAAUCAAUUUUAUGAUCAUAAUAUAUAGACUCAAGUUCCUUAAAUUUAAUGUUGUAUGUAAAUUUUAAAAUAUAUUUAUAGCUAAAGUAGUAGUCAACGUUCGUUGUUUUUUUACUAAUAUAUGCAUAUCAAUUACGAAUCUUUCCGUAUAUUUUUUUUAUUAAAGUAAUUGUAAAUAUUAACUAAUUUCUAUUUCAAUUUAAUCUAAUUAAUUUGAUAGCAAUAAAAUUAUUAGUAAUAUUAUAUAUUUAUUUACCAUAAAUCUGUCCGAAUUUUGUAGCUUGAUUAUAUUUAAUUACUCUACAAUUGUAUAAAGGGCUCAAAUAUGAAAAUAAUUGAUAUUAAUUACCUUUAUAAUUUCGGAAAGUCAAUCCCAUGAAUUUCUCAUGUUUUUAUAGACUGAUUACAUUAAAUUGAUAUCAAUUACCUUUUAAAUUUUGAAAAGAAUUUUAAAAGGUAACAAUUAUUUAUUUUCCUAAUUACUAAUUUAUUUUUCAAAUAUUUCUUAUAAAUUUAUAAUUUAAUUAUACUCAAUUGAUUAUUAUUAUCUUUAUAAUUUGCUAAAAACUCACAUAAGGUAACAAAAAUAGGUAAAACUUAUUUGUUUACAAAAAUAGGUAAAACUUAAUUAUUUUGAGGGAUGAAACCUUUUUUUAAUAUUUUUUUAUUCAGAAUGAUUACAAUAUUUUCUAUAUAAAUUGAUCAAUUACUAUUUAUUAAUUGGUUAUUCUCUUAAAUAAUUUUUUUUUGUAAUAUUUCUUUUAGUCAAUUGUAAUGAAAUCAUUCAUAUUUAUUUUCUUACAAUACUAUUAUAAAAAACAUAUGAAAUGUAAUUUAUUAAAUAUGAAAUAUGAAAUAAUAUUAAAUAGUUAAAUAAUCAACAAAAUAGCUUUUUGUAAUGAAAUGAUGGUUUAUUGUUGUAAAAAUUCAAAUAGGUAGUUCUCAAUAUGACACUUGUCUUAGUUUUAGGCUAGACUAUCCUCCUUUAUUAUAUAGAUAGAUAAUUUCAACAAAAUUAAUUAGAGUAUUUUCUUAUAAAAUUUUAUAAAAAUAAUAUAAAAUAUGGUAUAUUAAUAAUAUUUACAUUAAUUAUGCUUCUAUUUUCUUACACAGUAUUUGAUUCUACGUAUUAAAAAUAACAUUGAAUCAAUGGUGAAAGUGGAGGGACUUCUUUCUUUAUUGGGGUUUUUCUUUUUGGGAAAGCUGACACUUUCUUGACUACCAUCCACCCAACACAAAGCUGACACUUCUUGGUAGAUUGGCUAUUUUUUCACACGGUACUAAUUUAUAUACAUUUUCUUUGAUAUUUGUUAUAUUGUUAUUUUUAUUUUGCGUAUCUUAUUAGUUUAUAUGCAUUUAUAUUUUAUGUUUGGUAUAUUAUUAAGAUCCUAAGCUGGGAGUCUAUCGAUAACAUCCUCUCUACUUCACCUGAGUAGUGAUAUGAUCUGCAUGUACUAACUUCCCCAGACCCCAAUAUGUGGAAAUACACUGGAUGUUGUUGUUGUUGUUUCUUAUACAGUAUUUGAUUCAAUGUAUUAAAAAUAACACAAAUUACAUAAUUUUUUUUUUUAACAUAAUACCCCCACUUUAAGUAUGUUAAUGCAUGCAUUAGAUCCAUUGCGUUACUAAUGUCAUAAAUUUUGAGGUAUUCGUAAUACACACCUCAAUAUACAAUAGAGUAUAUAACUAAUUUUUGCAUUAGUUAUACAUAAGAUAAAAAGAUAUAUAUCAAACAAGGGACUUCUAAUACACAGUAAAUUAAUGGAUGCAUUACUCUUUCAGUCAUUACUCUUUGUAUAUAUUGAAUUAGAGUUCCUACUAUAUAUCAAAUAAAAGGUCUUCGGAUUAUCUUUCUAACGAUACUAAUUUUGCAAAAAUCCGACACCUGAGGAAGAAGUUAUGGCUUUGCAAAGUGGAGUGUGUUGUGCAGCAUAAGGUGUGCACCGCAUACAUUACUACUCAAGUGACUUAAACACUCCGUUUUCGAGGCAAAAUGGUCCUUUUGCCUCCCUUAUUUAGCCACAAAUAGGAAAUUCAGUUCCCAAAUACCCCAAAAUACACCUUCAUUCAUCAAAAUUACUCAAGAACUCUCCUUAGCAUUUAAAAAUCAAAACCCAAGCAACUCAAAAUUCAACCAUGGGUUAUCCUAAAAUCUCAUGGGCCUUUAAAUUCAUGUUUUACAAUGGGGGUUUUGAAACUACGAAUAUAAUCAUAUUUUAAAUGUUUUUAUAAUAUUGAUUUGGUCUUUAGGCCUAUUUCUGAAGUGAUUUGACAUAUUAUAUAUGUAUAUGCAUGUGUUUCGAAAAGGUGUUAAUUUGAGAGCAUGAAUUAUAUAGAAUUCCUCUCUUGAUAUGAAUUUAUUUUAAAUGUUCAUAUGAUGUAAAUUUUUUGAAAACAUCUUGAAAAGCAUGACAUGAAAUGUUUUGAGAAUUGAUAUGAUUUUGACUUGAAAACGAGAGGGCUAUUUAUGUUGAAACAUGUUGAAUACAAUGGUUGAAUGAGAAGAAUAAUGUGAUAUUGAUGGCUUGCAAGUUGGGUAUGACAAUACCCUACAGAAUAUGAUAUGUGAUUGAAUCAGAUGAAAUUUGAAUGCAUUAAUUUUACAUAAGAUAGGUGGAUGUCCGAAGAAGGCAUUUGAAUAUAAGGGCUCAUUGUUGGAAACCGUGUUUGCUGACAUAGGAAUUUGGUACCCUACUUUGUGAUCUUAUGUACCUGACUUUAUGUCAUUCCCAAGUUGGGCCUAUGGUUAGGAGCCUUGCUUUGUGAUCUUGCGCACUACAAUUGGGUCGAGACACUCUGCCGUGUGAUCUUGUGUGUCUUCCCCUCACUUAUACUCUAAUCUCGGUGGAAACCGAGGUUUAACAGUUGGUGUAAAUGUGAUAUGUAGGGUAUUCCACCUAGCUUAGCUGCAUUACAUUAUUGUUGAAAAUAAUUACAUUACGCACAUGUGUUUUUAAAUGAUUUGAUAUGAAACUGCUUUAUAAUGGCUCUCAACUAUGUUUUGUUUUGAUAUCUUUGCAUACCAGUACUUUUGUAUUGACCCCCUUCCCUCUCAGGUUCGGAGGCACAGUCUAGGGGUCUAGAAAAUCAGUAGAUUCCUCAGACAGAUUUACAGAGUCAUUUGGUGAGCCUUCUAUAUUUUGGAAGGCCUAAUAUCUGGCUAUUUCAUUUAUCAUUUAUUAGUUUUGGAUCUACUGGGGGCCUUGUCCUUGUUUUUCGAUAUAUAUUUAUUUCAGUCAUGUAGUAGAGAUUUCGCAGACGUUAUAGAGAUGUUGUGUUGAGAUUGUGGGACAUUAUUCCCCGUUAUUGAUUUCAUAAGAUUUUUGACCAUGUUUCCAUAAUAUUGUUUAUCUUUUGUAUUUUUUUUAUCAUAUGAGUUAUGUGCAUGAUUAUCAGACAAAUAGGGGUGUUUCGGGCCUUCAUGGUUCCCCAUGCUCGUCAUGGCCAGGCCCCCGGUUUGGGUCGUGACAAACUUGGUACCAGAGCACAGUUUAUGGUUCCAGGGUGUCUGCAAAAUCACGUCGGGUAGAGUCUUAUUUGUGGGUGUGUAGCUCGCCACACUUAUAAGCUGGAGGCUACUAGGCGUUUAGGAAUGUCUCUCUUUCUUCAUGUUCCAGUUCGUGCAAUAGAGUCAAAAUGUUCCUCUUUCAUACUGUUAUUCGUGCUAUGGUGUCAUCCAUAUGAAGGUAAAGUCAUCCCAAAUUCUUUCCUUACUUUGAUGUUCUCAGACAUGUCCCAUUACUGGGGUGAUUCAAGUGCAAAAAGUUUAGAAUCUAUAUGAUAUAGUCUUUUUCGAUUGUGUUAUAUAAGAAAAAAAAUUGUGCAAAGACUCGAGAGGAGUCUGUUGGUGAUUCAAUAUGUGUUGAUUCUAAUGUAAACAUUGAUCCUGAUGGAAUCAUGCUUUCUAGCUUAAGGUAUUAAAUGCAUCUAGUCCCUCCCAAAAAUCUUGAUACAAAUGUGGAUGGUGUAUAGCAGAAUGUUGGAACUGUAUUUCCUCCCGAAUAGUAGCGUAAGUUAACGUGUUGUUGUCAUGACCUAUCGGUAAUGAAAUUAGACCAAGAAGUUAGUGAUGUGAAGUCACAAAGUUAGAAGUCUGAGGGUGAUUUUUGGUGUAAAUGAAUAUUUCAGUUGAAUAACUGAUAUUUGAGGAUGAUUUACCCCUUUAAAGUGAUAAACUAAUGUGGUAGCUAGUAGCAUGUGUGGAUGGUAUGGUAGUCCAUGGGGGAAGUAUUUUACUCAGCUUUUAAUUUAUACAGAGUAAGAUGUGUAUUCUUAGACCAUUAAAUAUUGUGUCAAUUUCCUAUCUCUUGUAAUAUGUAAUCUUGUUAUCAUGGUGUUUUUGAAAAAAAUAAAUUUAAAGUCUAGUGAAGCCGUGUGGGGCUCUAUCGAUUCACUAGCAUAGUUGCCUUGUCAUCCAUCUUAUUUUCUUGUUCAAAAUACAAAACCAAAGUCUAGUGAAGCUGUGUGAGGCCUAUUUUGAUUCACUAGCAACUUGUUGUCCAGCUUGUUGUUCUUUUGUUGGUUUAAUAUAUGUAUGGCUGAAUCUGUUUGCAUGAGAUUGAGUUAGUAAAGAGGUGAUUCAUCCUUGUGAAUUCGUUUAGUAUAAGGUAGAGAAGGAGUUGUUAGUCAGGGUGAUUUGUUGGUUGCUUGAAUGUGAAAAAUGGCUAUAUUAGCGAGUAAGUUAUGAUUAUAGACUCAUGGUUGUUUGAGGAAUUUGAAGGCAGUCUAAAUGUAUGCUUGAGUAAGUAAGUAUGAGGUGAGAAAUCCUCAUAAGUAGAUAAGAUCUUAUGGGGUUAUAAUAUCAGAUUAAGGUUGAUCAUGUCUAUUAUAUGACCUUACCCCUUGGCAUUUUUCGUUGGUAGUUGUAAACUAGUACUACUUAUGAGAAGGUAUGUUGCAAAUUAUGAGGUAUUUGGAUAGUACUACAUGACUGGCACAAAUUUUUUGAAGUUUUGCAGGAGUUCUCAAAACUAUUUUCUAAAAAAUUAAGAGUACUUUGAAAAAAAUCUAUAUAAAUCUUUUACUUAGUGAUUGCCUAGACAUCAAUUAGGAUGGGGAGUCAGGGGUGGAAGUCCCAACAAGAUAAAAUACCUAAAAGAUGGCGAGGGCAAAUCAAGGAUCGUAGGAGGUCAACAUGGAGUAGUUUCUUUGAUACACAAAAUGAGCGUUUCUUUCAAAAAAUCCCCAAGAAAGUCGAGAGCCAAGACAGAGCAUAUAAGGCUUAAUAACGGUACUUUUGGUAGCCCAAAAACUGGCCCAACACCUAUUUAUUGAUGACCUUUCAAAUUGUCCAUCUCAUUUCUUGAGAUCAUGGAGGACAAACAAAAGUGUCUUAUUUUCUUUACAAAUAUUGUAUUUAUAAUUUUUCUAAGAAAAUAGUUGCUAGCAAAAUUGACUUUGUGUCUACUAAUCGUCUACCUUGAGUACAAGUACAUACAGAAAGCAAGACCCUGACAAAUGAUUUCAGGAGAAACUAUUUUUAAUUUACCAAAAGAACCAUUGCAUGUCAUUGCCAACAGGGCCAUUGCAUUGUCAUUCAAUAUCUGUUGACGCGCUAGACACAAUGCUGGCAUCGAGGAUAUCAUUAUCAUUCAAUAUAUCCAUUGACAUGCAAGACAAAACGAUGGCAUUGAGAAUAUCAUCAUUAUUCAAUAGCUAUUGACGCGCUAGACACAAUGAUGGCGUCGAGGAUAUCAUCGACAUUCAAUAUAUUUGUUGACCCACAAGAAACAACACUGGAGUCGAGGAUAUCAUCAUCAUUCAAUAGAUGUUGAUGUGCUAGACACAACGCUGGCGUCGAGGAUAUCAUCAGCACUCAAUAUAUCUGUUGACACGCAAGACACAACGCUGGCGUCGAGGAUAUCAUCAUCAUUCAAUAUUUGUUGAUGCGUUAGACACAACGCUGGCGUUGAGGAUAUCAUCAUUAUUAUAUAUCUAUUGGCACGCAAGACACAAUGCUGGCAUCGAGGAUAUCAUUAUCAUGCAAUAUCUUUUAACAUGCAAGACACAAUGCUGGCAUCGAAAAUAUCAUCAUCAUGCAAUAUCUGUUGACGCACAAGACACAACGCUGGCGUCGAGGAUAUCAUUAGCAUUCAAUAUAUAUGUUGACACGCAAGACACAACAAUGGCGUUGAGGAUAUCAUCAACAUUUAAUAUAUCUGUUGACAUGCAAGACACAAUGUUGGCGUCGAGAAUAUCUUAUCAUUUUAUGAAUCAACAUCUGAAUGUAUUGAGAGCACACGAUUUGAAGGGACGCCUUUAAGUUGCUAUCUAAGGAUGAAUGAUAUAUAAGAUUUCCUAGAAAUUGAUAAUUUGAUGGUUAUUUAUAAGUCAUAUUAUUUGAAAUAGGAUAGUGUGAAAGAUCACCUAUGAGUUGAUAGCCUGUAGGUAAUCCGUAAGUCACAACAACAUCCUAACCGAACAGUAUGCAAGAUCGCCCAAAAAUCAAUAGUUCAAAGGUUAUCCAUAAGUCGCAACUAAAUCCUUACCGGAGAAUUUGCAAGAUUAUCAAAUUGAUACGUCCACGGGUUCUCUAUAAGCCAUGUCAUAUCCAAGAUCGAUUAUGUGCAGGAUUACCCAAAGACUUACAAUUUGAGGGACUAUCUAUAAGUCAUAUUGUAUUCAAGGUCGGAUGAUGUGCAGGAAUAUCUUAAAGCUAGCGAUUGGAGGGAUAUCUGUAAGCCAUCUCUUAUUCAAAGUUGGAUAACGUGCAGGAUUACUUAAAAGCUAGAAAUUAAAAGGAUAUCUAUAAGUCGCCUUAUAUCCAACAUUAAAUAAUGCGUAAGAUUAUCCAAAGAUUGAUAAUUUAAAGAAAAAUUUAUAAAUCGAUCAUCGGCUAUAACCGGAGAGGUUAUCAUUCCACAUGCAACAAAUGAUAUAGGUACCCAAAGGGUUGCCACACUAGCACAAGAUUACACGGUUGUAGAAACCGUUCUGCAUAAAGUAUCGCCGGUGUCCAAAAGGGCUACCCACUUUGAGGACAUAUUUAACCGACAAAUGUCAUAAUUAUACAACAACCAAGAGGGUUGUUGUUUUUGGUAUUUCUAGUUAUUUCAUUCCAAAUAGGUACAUGAAGAGAUGACUCUGCUUUUCAGGCCACAACUCACAUGGAGAUAUGGUAAAAGACUGCAUACCUCUUUCGUGAAUUAUGUUUAGAAAUAACACUUUUUGCUUGAAGCAUUGUCGAGAGAAUCCAAGAGGUUGAAAAUCUCAAAUCAAAACCAUGGGUGCAGAUGACUUCAAAUAGGACGCAGUACCCGAAUCAAACCCUUUUUCUUUUUCCUCUUUAUGAUCACGCCCGUUCCAUGUGAAUCCAUACGAGAAGAUGCGAGAAUCUUUUAGAAACACACUUAGGUGUCUCAUCCAACGUUCAAAUCACAAAAUUCUCGGAUAGAGGUUUACGAAUUCAUACAUAGGUGGAGUAUUUUCAUUGGCUUGUGAAGAUUAUUCCCUUUCCACCAAUUUCUAUGGGCCACUUUUUGGAAUUCCGUUUAACGAAAUCAAAAUAGAGGUACAGUUCGUUAGGGUCCGGAUCUUUUGAAUUUCAAAAAUGAACCCUUAAUCCCCUUCUAUAAGUAGCUCUCUUUAGAGCAAGAAAAAGGGAUUUUUUUGGGGAUUUUGGAAUUUUUUUCACUGGCCUCUCCUUUCCUUUAUGGGUUCUCCUCUUCUUUCUCUUUGGAGUUCGAAAUUUUAGACGCAAAGGGGGUUCAAAAGUUUUGGGUUGAAAAUUUGGGGUUAGAGAAAAUCUUCAAAAAUUUAGAAAUCCACAAAAAAAGGGGGUUAGAAAGGGGGGCUCUCAGAGGGAAAAAAUAUUCUCUUUACGCCUAAGAAACAUACAUUCUUAGGAGGUGCGUCUGAACUGUCGAAGCAGCUGCGAGUUUUUCGGUGGUCGGAAUCCUAUCUUCAGCUUAUUAUCCCAUUUUGCUGCCCCAAAAGAGGUAAAUACAUCUUUCUUUUUAAUUUUGUUGUGGUUAUCAUUUUCUUCUUCAUGGUUCCACUUCUGUUUACUGGGAAUGACUACUGUAGAGGCCUGGAAGGCAUAGGCUUUUCGUGUUUGAUAUAUUGUUCUACUAAAAAACUCAUUCUUGCCGUGUUUGAUUGGCUGUCGUUCAUGCUUGAUCUCUCUCAUUUUAUUCUAUCUGAAUAUUACUAGUCAGCUUUAAUGCUUCGACUUUAGAAACUAUUUUGCUGGUCUCAUUUUGAUGUUGCUUUCUAGUUCAUAGAGUAGGAGGGUAAAAUCUUUACGUAUUUUUGAAAUUCGAAAAAAAUUUUCAAAGAAUAGAUAUUAGGCAGCAUGUUCGCACAUUUUUUCGCUCAAACGCAGGAAAUUGUUAUAAAUAAGAACUCGCAUGUUAUUUUCUUCUGACUUGCCAUUCUCGAUGUACAAUAGUCUCAUUUGAUUCUAAAGUUUAUUUUAAAAUAUGAGAGUGGACCAUAGGGAUGAAUUAUGUUUUCUUCAUGGCUAAUUCAAUUUGCUGUAACUGACUCAUGAGAACAAAUUAAAGUUUGACAGGCUAAUGUUUCUUUCCUUUCUUGCUUUUCUUGUUCGCAUAUAAGUUGUGGCAUCUUGUCUCAUGAUUAAAUUACCUAAAAUUGGGUUUUUGUAGUUUUUGACUCUCAUUUGUUUGUUAACCCAGUGGUAACGAAGGAAUUAAGAUUUCAGCCUUGCUUUUCUUGAAGUUUCAGCUAUCGUAUUCCUUGCCUAAAGUGAUUAAGUCUUUAACUUUGUAUGUUUGGCAUUCUGGAAUUUGAACGUUGCUUGUGAUCCAUCGUUUAUGUAGUAUGAUCCAAGAGUUUUAACUCUUUUUUGUGACAUGCUUAAUUGGGUCCUUUUGUGGCAUUAAAGUGAUAAAUUAUUUUUUUUAUUUCGAUAAAGACCAUAAGAAUUCUUGUUGAAGCUUUAUUUCCUCCUGUAGUUGAAAUUUCUUUAAUUGAUUAUGAACAUUUUCUUCAAACAUUAUAGACUUUUUCUCCUGUGGCAUUUUUACCUGUGUAUGAGUGUAUUUGAAUGAAGCAGGAAUGCUAUAGCUUAUUAAUUGUUAAAAUCUUGGACGUAUGUUAAUUUCUUCAUUCCUUUCUUUGCAUGCACCCCCCUUGGAAUUCAAAUGGGCCCCUUCUCUCUUUGCAUUUCAUAAAUGGGCCAAUGAGGCCUAUCCUUCCGAGUUAAGCCAAAAAGAAAAUCCAAGAAUCCAUCGCAUGGCGUAUGGAUACGAGGAAUUGAAAGAAGAAUGGGUUAAAGUUCCAUCUUUGAAGCGGCAAACGGGACUUGAAAAUCUAGUUAUUUCUUCUUUAUUGAUUUAUUUAUCCAUUGUUUCCAUUAUUUAUUUAUUUACUUAUUUAUAUUUUUGUUUAUUUAGUGACUAAUUUAUUUAUUCAUUUGGGCCUCAAAGCCAAAGUUGUAAAUUUAAAACAGGUGGAGCGAGACUCGAGCCAAAAAGGUCUCGAAAACAUAAAAUAAAGACAGGUGAAAGAUGGGUCAAAAACCUAACUAGAUUAGAACAGGGUCGACGGUUUGGGCUUAAAAUCCUAAAUCACUACUUCUCCUCUUUCCCCUUUUUCUAUUUGCUUACUUGUUUUACGUUUGUUUUGCGAACCUAGUAAAAUCCUUAGUCAAGUCGCUAAAAAACUGGUUUUGCAUAAACACCAAAAUAUUCCUAAAAAUCGCUUUUCUUUUCAAAAAAUAAACUUUUUCAAAGUUAAUCAAAAGACGAUUUUCAAACAUUUGGAUAACCGCAAGUUAAAGGACAUUUUAGGUGCCUAAUACCUUCCUAAAAUGCUAGUAGGAACCGCUUAUCUAGAAUCUCUAACUUAAAAUGAUUUUUCUAUUUUGAAUCGUUUGCAGUAACUCUCUAAAGGUUUCUUAAUUCCUUUUAAAAAUUAAGUGGCUACUCUCAAAAAGUCAUAAUUUCCACAAAACAAUAUCAAUCACAAUCACAUCCACACAUCUACUACCCCCACCCGAAAGUAGCAGAUGAAUAAGGGUUUGUAGUAAUUCAAGUACCUUAUCCUCUUGACGCAUGCACUCCUUCUCUUUUAGUUCAUUAACAAAUUUGUUAAAUAUUUCAAGUAGAAAGCCCUCAUCACCCAUGAUUCUGUAAAAUAAUAACAGCAAAGAAAUUCACAUUCAAUGAUACGACAUAAUGAGAAUCAUGAGAUUAUGAAUAAAAAAGUAAAAAUCCAGAGCAUUUCAUUUUAUAGUCAAAGAGGCUAGACAAAUUAAAACUAGAGAUUUAGCAGCAUACUUCAUCAGAACCGUGAAACAAUUACAAAUGCCAGAAAUUAAAAAACUAAAACAAUCACAAACGUCAGAAAUUUAAAAACAAACUGCUAGAGCUAUUAAACGCCCAGUGUUGGAACAACUAAUAAUUGACAUCUACCAAUUUCUAGAGGGAUAAGUACAACAUUAGAAAUCACUUAGCAAAAUGGUAAUUCAUGCUAAUACUAUAAAGAAAUAGCCUACCAAAAUGUUGAGGAAUAUAAAACAACAAAUCAUUCAACACAACUAUUCUUCUAAGGUACAUUCUAGAACUAUGUGAAUUACUGAGUUUAGAAUAUUGAAGGAGUUGGUCCUUGAAAAUAAUAUCAAUUAUCAUUCUCCAAUGGUCCUUGCAAUCAUGUUACUAAUUCUAGAUCAAUAAAAGCAAAAGAAGCUACUUGCCUAUCUCUGAAGAGGGAUUUGCAGUCCUCCCAUUUCGAUGAUGCAGAAUUUCCUGCAACCACAGCAAACAAAUAGAUUAUGGUUUAAAGGAAAUAUCAUGGGAUCCCAUCCAUUACAAUGUGAGAGAUUGUAAACUGUUUACUAUACCUUUGAUGCAUGAAGAAGUUCAUAGAACUCAUCAGCUAGACGUUUAAGCUUUUUAGCUUUUUUUUCUUCUUUCUUCCUGGCCCUUUCCAGUAACUCCUCAAAGACAAACUAUGCAGAUGAAAUAUGCACAUUCAAUACUCAAUGACCCGGCAAGCCCAAACGCGUAGAACAUAUAGUUUAGAAAGGAAGAAUGGAAUAAGAUUCAGUAUAAUCCAUGUAUGUCCUCUUAUUCCUUCGUUUGGAAGGCAAGGGGGAUAUAAUGUAAGAGUAUUAUUACCAUCUUUUGGAGUAACUCCUCACAUUAUAAUCUUUGAUAAAAUGCUUUACAAAAGUUUUGAGCUAUUGAAAGUAAACUAAAAGCCUUAAGAGACCCAACCGUCUAAGCAUAAUUCUUCGACAAGAUACCCCUUGCAAUUCCCUCUUCCCACAUACAUAGAUUAUACGCCAUGACCAUAAAUAACCUCCAAAAUCCAAACGAUAUAUAAAGAAUAUCCUCAUUACAAAAAUAGCAAAUGAUCGUUUAUAUCAUCCAGUUAUGUUGUUUAACCAGUUUCGUAGAGUAAAACUCUUAUCCACUAACCGUAAAAAUAGAAAACUACAAGGCAAAUUGCUUUGAAUUAAGUAACUUAAGCUAUGUGUGGUAGGUGUAAUUGUAACACCCUAGAAAAUGGGUCCCGAAGCGUCACACGGUGCUUGAGGCUACGAGUAUCCCCAAGCUAACUCUUUGAGCCAUUUUCAUUCAGUUCAACACAAAUCAACGAGGUUUCCAUAAAUAACCCUCAAAUAUCAACAGAGUAAUCAUNNNNNNNNNNNNNNNNNNNNNNNNNNNNNNNNNNNNNNNNNNNNNNNNNNNNNNNNNNNNNNNNNNNNNNNNNNNNNNNNNNNNNNNNNNNNNNNNNNNNNNNNNNNNNNNNNNNNNNNNNNNNNNNNNNNNNNNNNNNNNNNNNNNNNNNNNNNNNNNNNNNNNNNNNNNNNNNNNNNNNNNNNNNNNNNNNNNNNNNNNNNNNNNNNNNNNNNNNNNNNNNNNNNNNNNNNNNNNNNNNNNNNNNNNNNNNNNNNNNNNNNNNNNNNNNNNNNNNNNNNNNNNNNNNNNNNNNNNNNNNNNNNNNNNNNNNNNNNNNNNNNNNNNNNNNNNNNNNNNNNNNNNNNNNNNNNNNNNNNNNNNNNNNNNNNNNNNNNNNNNNNNNNNNNNNNNNNNNNNNNNNNNNNNNNNNNNNNNNNNNNNNNNNNNNNNNNNNNNNNNNNNNNNNNNNNNNNNNNNNNNNNNNNNNNNNNNNNNNNNNNNNNNNNNNNNNNNNNNNNNNNNNNNNNNNNNNNNNNNNNNNNNNNNNNNNNNNNNNNNNNNNNNNNNNNNNNNNNNNNNNNNNNNNNNNNNNNNNNNNNNNNNNNNNNNNNNNNNNNNNNNNNNNNNNNNNNNNNNNNNNNNNNNNNNNNNNNNNNNNNNNNNNNNNNNNNNNNNNNNNNNNNNNNNNNNNNNNNNNNNNNNNNNNNNNNNNNNNNNNNNNNNNNNNNNNNNNNNNNNNNNNNNNNNNNNNNNNNNNNNNNNNNNNNNNNNNNNNNNNNNNNNNNNNNNNNNNNNNNNNNNNNNNNNNNNNNNNNNNNNNNNNNNNNNNNNNNNNNNNNNNNNNNNNNNNNNNNNNNNNNNNNNNNNNNNNNNNNNNNNNNNNNNNNNNNNNNNNNNNNNNNNNNNNNNNNNNNNNNNNNNNNNNNNNNNNNNNNNNNNNNNNNNNNNNNNNNNNNNNNNNNNNNNNNNNNNNNNNNNNNNNNNNNNNNNNNNNNNNNNNNNNNNNNNNNNNNNNNNNNNNNNNNNNNNNNNNNNNNNNNNNNNNNNNNNNNNNNNNNNNNNNNNNNNNNNNNNNNNNNNNNNNNNNNNNNNNNNNNNNNNNNNNNNNNNNNNNNNNNNNNNNNNNNNNNNNNNNNNNNNNNNNNNNNNNNNNNNNNNNNNNNNNNNNNNNNNNNNNNNNNNNNNNNNNNNNNNNNNNNNNNNNNNNNNNNNNNNNNNNNNNNNNNNNNNNNNNNNNNNNNNNNNNNNNNNNNNNNNNNNNNNNNNNNNNNNNNNNNNNNNNNNNNNNNNNNNNNNNNNNNNNNNNNNNNNNNNNNNNNNNNNNNNNNNNNNNNNNNNNNNNNNNNNNNNNNNNNNNNNNNNNNNNNNNNNNNNNNNNNNNNNNNNNNNNNNNNNNNNNNNNNNNNNNNNNNNNNNNNNNNNNNNNNNNNNNNNNNNNNNNNNNNNNNNNNNNNNNNNNNNNNNNNNNNNNNNNNNNNNNNNNNNNNNNNNNNNNNNNNNNNNNNNNNNNNNNNNNNNNNNNNNNNNNAAAUAAUUCUCGAAUCUGUCCUUUGGUGGACUGUUUUGAUAGUCUGAAGUAGAUCAACCAUAAUGUUUUACUCCGAUAUUCAAAUUGGAUGAAACCAAUUUCAUUAGAAAGAGGACUCUCAUAUAUUUCCGUUGAUAUAUAGUAUCUCACCCAUAUCAUUGUGUACGAGGAGUUAUGAUCGUUUGAAGUUGACCCAAAAAUUCACUUUUGAUAGGCUGAGUAGAUCGACCAUAACUUUUUGCUUUGAUAGUCAAAUUGGAUGAAACCAAUUUCAUUGGAAAAAGGACUCGCAGAGCUUUCCAUUUAUAUAUAGUAGAUCACCCAGAUCAUUAUGUACAAGGAGUUAUGAUCAUUUAUAGUUGGAGCAAAAAUACGCUAGGCCUCAGUACUUUUUCCUGCACGUUUUACUGUUCACUACUAUUCACAGUUCGAUCGGAAUGUUUUAUAACUCGUCGCUUGGGUGUCCAUUUUGGAUGAUCCACAUAUCAUUGAAAAUAUUAUUCGAUACUCUACACAAUGGUGAGUCAUAAUCUAAGACAUUUCGCACGAAAAAUUUAUAAUUCAUUCUAGAAUAUAGAACCCAACAUGUUUACGCACAAAAUUUUAUCGAAAAAUUUCCUGGGGUAUUACAGUAAUAUUAAACACCUCCGUCCAGGAAAUAAAAACUAAGGAAAAUGGUACCAAAACUGAAGAAUUGGAAGCAAAAGCUAACACCAAAUAUUUGAUCAAUUGGUCCUCGUCUUUAUUCUUGAAGGUUUCAGGCUUACUUGCUAACUGACACACUACUCUUCUAUUAACUCCAUUACAAGAACAUCCAAAUUUAAUGUGGGAUAGGUUAUGGUUGAUACUAAAGGAAAAUGCCACUAACCACAGUUGACUACCUAUGAGUUGCCAAUUUAGCAAUCACAAACUGGCCGAUUUCCAGUGAAACAUAACAUGGAAGUACUACUAAUGCUUCUGCACUCAAUCCACUCAUCUUAUGCAUGACCUGUCCCAAAGACAAAAUGGGGAAAAAUACAUAGAAAUCCAUUUAGUGAAUGGGGUACUUCAAUUUUCACAACAUUCAAUUCAAUAUGGGUCGAUGUGAAACAGUAUACAGUGCUUAGCCAUAAUUAGACCUUUAAGUUGGUAUCUGACAUUGGUGGAGAGCUAAUAUACUUGGCGAUUGCAACCUUAAAAUCAUCAAGCGUCCAGGCUGAUGUCAAUCCAAUCUGAAAGUAGAGACGGCUCAGCCAAAAUAUUAGGUACUAACCGAAGCACAACAGAGGUUAAAAUGAAGAGUGGUGAUUACCUCGGCCAUCCUAACUGCAUCUUGAAUUUGUGACUUGUCAUCAAGAUACUGAAGCAACAUACAAGUAAUAUAAAUUCAGAAUGCUUAUCAGUAACAAAAAUAGGAUACCAAAUGGAGCCUUGUCAAUGCAUUUGAGUUACCAUAAAGUCUAUAAAUUACAAUUAAGGUGAUGGGGAUGAAAUUUCUUUCAUGAAUACCAACAUUUCUCCACUUGUUCAAAGUCAUCUACAAUAUCACAAGACACUUGACACAUAAACUUAAUUGCACUGAUCAGGUGAAAUUGAAGGAAAAAUCAAGCACCCCUGUUUGGAUAAUAGAAAAAAAGUGAAUAAAUAAAAAUGGAUAGCAUCUCUGUUAACAACGCUUUCGUUAUAUUUACUUAAUAAGAAUCAUUUAUGCAUACAAACAGUAAUACAAACUUUAAAGAUAGAAGUUCACAUCUUUAUUUUACAAGGGAAAAAGAAAAGAUUUUCAGCAUCGGAGUUUAUGUAUAACUCUCACCAUCCCAUAGCAAGAGCCUAACUCAAGAAAACAUUACCAAAUUCAAUCAUUGAAUAAGAGUACGAACAGGAUCAUUACCAUGCUAGGAUACUAGGCAAACUCCCUCUUUCAUCAAGCAACGAGAUAAAUGCUAAUAACAUUUGAUCAUUCAAUUUCAAUUCUUUUUAGAAAGGGCAGAGGAUGAAACAAUAAAUCGUUUAGUUAGUCGCAAGUGUGUAUUACGGCCAAAAAAAUCAUAGCGAGGGAGAUGCAACUUUAUUUAGAGAAACAGAGAUUCUCUCAGGCACUUUUUCCGAGGCUAAUCUUUUGUAAGCCUUUACUUUCAUUACAUCUCAACUACCUCUUCAGAGGCGAAUUCUGGCACUAAGUUUAUUUAGUCCAAUUUAUAUGGUUGACAACACAAUAUAUUUUGAAUUGGGUUUUAAGUUGCACGAUAUCAUCCGAAGUGAAAUCAAAACUGGGGUAUGGUACAAAAGGACAAAACAUGGUCGAAACUUGACCAGACAAACUACUUUCAGGUCUAAUUUGUUUGCACUUAUUGGAUUUAUAAACCUGUUCAGACCUCAAACCAUUAAGUGCAUUUGUUUUUAUUAGGAUUUUAGCUCUUUAUAGGUCUGAGUAGGUCUUAAUCAUUCAGAUGUGGAACCAAAUCUAAAUAUCAUUUACAUAUAUUCUUGUGUAGGAUAAAAUUCACCCCCACUCUAUCCACAAUCACCUGUCCCCACCACCAACCACUUCCACCAUCACAACCAAAAUCACUACCAACUACACUGCCAGCCGCUACCACACCUACCACGUCCAUUAUUCUAAUUAUAUCCAUUGCCAACUAGGGGUGUUCACAGUUUGGUUUUUAACCAAACUGAACCACGAUCCAAACUAAACCGAUUAAAAAAAUCUAUAUAUGGUUAGGUUUGGUUUGGAUUUGAAUUUUAAAAAAUCGAUACUAAUUUGGUUUGGUUUGGUUUGGUUUUACUCUAAAAUAACGGACAAAAUAACCAAAACGAACCGAUAUACAUAUAUAUUAUAAUUAUUUAUAUGUUUUUCAUAAAUGUAAUCUAAAUAUUUGUUACAUUUUAUAUUUUAAUCAUGAUUUAACUUUAGUCGUAACACAUUCAGUCAUAUGUCUUCAUCUANNNNNNNNNNNNNNNNNNNNNNNNNNNNNNNNNNNNNNNNNNNNNNNNNNNNNNNNNNNNNNNNNNNNNNNNNNNNNNNNNNNNNNNNNNNNNNNNNNNNNNNNNNNNNNNNNNNNNNNNNNNNNNNNNNNNNNNNNNNNNNNNNNNNNNNNNNNNNNNNNNNNNNNNNNNNNNNNNNNNNNNNNNNNNNNNNNNNNNNNNNNNNNNNNNNNNNNNNNNNNNNNNNNNNNNNNNNNNNNNNNNNNNNNNNNNNNNNNNNNNNNNNNNNNNNNNNNNNNNNNNNNNNNNNNNNNNNNNNNNNNNNNNNNNNNNNNNNNNNNNNNNNNNNNNNNNNNNNNNNNNNNNNNNNNNNNNNNNNNNNNNNNNNNNNNNNNNNNNNNNNNNNNNNNUACAACACUCGGUUGACAUCUCAUAUGUUAGAUUGGAUUUGUUUUUUAUAAUUUUCAACUUUUAUCAUUAACUAAAGUUAUAAACCAAAAAAUCCGAAUCAAAGCGAACUAAACCGACAAGAACCAAACCGAUGGUUAUUUUUUUGUUUGGUUUUAGAAAUUUAAAAACCGAUUAAGUUGGUUUGGUUAUGGUUUUGACCAAUAACCGACCCAUAUCAACCCAUGAACACCCCUACCGCCAACGCCGCCACCAUCAACUACUACCGGUCGAUCCUUACUACCAACCAACUCAUCUAUCAGAACUAGCACUACCACUAAUGACCACCAACACAUCAUCAACUUGCACACAUCGCUAACAACCACUAACACAUCAUCAACUUCCACACAUUCUUCGGACACCAUCACCACCACUGUCACCAGCGUCACCACCUCUACCACCACCAUCCGCUACACUCGCUACAGUAUCUAUACUAACAACCAUUCCACCAUCACAGCUAACAGCAUAUCCAACGACCACCAACACAUCAUCAACCAUCAUGCAUACAGUUUUCCAUCACCACGAUCAACACCUCCAACUACUAACAUUAACCAACUUCACAUCAUAACCACCACCACCACUACCAAUCGCCAAUAUCAUGACAGUUACUACAAUGCCAGCUAUCUCUACUAUCACAACUAUCAUCACCAACAUUGCUAAUCACUAACAUCAAUUAAUUUAUUACAACCACCACCACCAUUACAAAUCAUCUCCAUUAUCACUAACAAACAUAAUUUUUUUUUAAUCAAAUAAUAAUUUAAUUGCAUUAAAUUAAAAAAAUUCUAAUAUUUAAUUAUAUUAUAUUUAAAAAUAAAUAAAUUUUGCACAUUCAGAUAUUGAGAAACACCCAACCUUAAUCAUUUAGUUUUCAGAUCUAGAGACAAUAUCUUAACCACUUAGAUGUGCAUUCAAAAUGAUUCAAAUGUCUGAAUAUUAAUAAAAACAAAUGCAGUCUUAGCUGAAACACAAUGGUGUGGUUGUGUGAUACUUUAAAGGAGUCCUCGAAAGUCAAAGAAACUACGUGAAAACAUGGAAGUUUGAUGAUCACUUCUCAGAGUUGUUCUGCUCGAUAAACUAUAACAAUUAAGGUAAUAUAACCAUUAACANNNNNNNNNNNNNNNNNNNNNNNNNNNNNNNNNNNNNNNNNNNNNNNNNNNNNNNNNNNNNNNNNNNNNNNNNNNNNNNNNNNNNNNNNNNNNNNNNNNNNNNNNNNNNNNNNNNNNNNNNNNNNNNNNNNNNNNNNNNNNNNNNNNNNNNNNNNNNNNNNNNNNNNNNNNNNNNNNNNNNNNNNNNNNNNNNNNNNNNNNNNNNNNNNNNNNNNNNNNNNNNNNNNNNNNNNNNNNNNNNNNNNNNNNNNNNNUUUUUUUUUUUAAAAAAGCAAGCAGAGGGGUAACUCUCAAAUCUCAAUCUCAUGCUUUUAUCCUACCAAGUAUGUUCUAUUGUUUAAUGCACUACAACAACAACAACAAACCCAGUAUAUUCCCACAUAGUAAUACACUAACUUCCUUUUUUACCUAAUGAAUUGAACUUUUUAGUGAGGAUCUAAAUGAUUUUCAGACUUUGUUUAACGUUUGAUUCAUUAAGAUGUAUUAACAGGUUGAAUCUUUAAAAAAAAAGCACUUAAUGGGCUGAUAUCUUAACCAUUCAGAUUCAGACCUUCAUUAAGUGAAAUCAAAUGAAAAGGGAUUGUAGUGUAAAGUCUAUAAAUAUGGCUUAGUGUAACAAAUGUAGUUGACACAAUUCAAUACUCCUAUUAGCAACGUAUUUCACCUGUUUCUCCAGCUCAUCCAUAACAUCUGUAAAUAAGUCUUUUGUUGUUGAUCCUGAAGUAUUUGAUGCAACAGCUAGAUAUGCAGCAAAAUCUUUAAUCUGAAAGCACAAAAUAAAGAAGGAAAUUAUUGGAUGAUAAAUUCAAAAAGACAAAAAGGGAACUCAAGAAGGUAAUCACUCACUGAACACAAGAAAGAAAAACUAACUUUGAUUCAAUAAUUACGCCAGUUAGUUUUUGCAUUAAGUAUUCCUAUAGCAACAUGCUUUUCCAUCAGUUUUCAGAACUCAACACGUUUUUUACGUUCAGCUUUCCUCAAUUCUUCCUAUUUGAAUCAACGGUGUAUGACCAGUGAGAAAGAGAUAAAUCAGAGUCUCCAAAUAUAAAUUUAAUUUUAACCCCCGAGUCUAAUAAGCAAUAUACCAUCCGCAGUUUCCUUUGCUCCUCCUCUUCGCUCUCUAAAUCACGUAUGUAUUCCUAAAAUAGAAAAGGUUGCAACUUAACUUUAAAACUGAGGAGUACAAAUAAGAUGUUUGGAAAAAGUUAUUUAUGAUGUAUUAGAAAAAUGAGUAGUACCUAGAAAAUCUCCAAGCGAUCAAUUUUCUCAAGGCGGGAGCGUCUUUCAUCAGUUUCCAAGCAGUCCUGAACUUUCUGCCACUGGCUACUGGCCUGAACAAAAGAAGUCAACAACAAUGGAACUAUGGAAGUUCUAUCUUCUGUAAAUAGAAAAACAUAAUCUAGGAACUGAUGCUAAUUCCACUAGAACAAAUACCUUAAUAAAGUCACAGGAUUUUAAAAAUUCUAAGUACUCCACUCUAUUGUGCUUUUGCUCCUCCAAUGCCUUCUGAUGCUCCUAAUAAAAUCCAGUACAAAGUAAAAAAAAUAAAAUUUCUCUAUAAUGAAGACAAUAUUUACAAAGAGACUUUAACUACACUUGCAUUAAAGUAUUGAAAAACUUUUUCUAUUUUACGAUGGAGGGGGGAGAGGAAGAAGCAUAUCAUAGUUUCAAGUUUCAAGAAAAAUUACAUACAAUACAUGGAAGUCUAUUUAAAUUGGAAUUCAAUGGUGAACAAAUUUAAAUGUUGUACCCUUGAGAAGCCAUUAAAAAUGUAUUCAAAGAACACAAGAUUCUAAGUUGAAUAUCUACAACAUUCCUUCUUUCUACUCUUUAAGCAAAACAAAAAAAGGGAACAAACUAAAAGACAUCCUGCAAAGGAAAGGAAUGGAAUAACUGUUGUUAAUCAAGUGGACCAACGCCUAACUCAACUUCAAAAACUAGUUCAGGUGGUGAAGAUUGUCCAAGAUCAUAUAAGGAAACUACAACACAUACACCUUACUAGUGUGGGAUUCUCAUACAUUAAUCCCACACCAAGACUAGACAUUUGUAGCAUCAGUUAACCUAGGUUGGCUAACAUCUAAUAGUAUAACAUCAAGAUAGAUCUGCCUCAAUUGGACCUUGUAUCUAUCUCAAAUGAAAGGCUAACUUAAUUAGUGAGGAGCCAAAGACCAUAUAAGGAAACUACAGUCCGCACACUUAGUUUUUAACAUAUAGAAGCUUACAAGAAAGUUUUGCAAAAGGAACUUCACCUUUUUCUCAAGUUCCUCCACAUAAUCUUCAAAAAGGUCCUCACGGUCUUUAGCUCGCUCAACAGCUUUAAAACGUUCAUCAUGUUCGAAUAUGGAGAUUGCCUAACUGAAUAAUCAAUAGCAAAUAGUUAGUGGAUCAAAUGGAACUUACACAAGUAAUGGAUCAACUUCAAGGUACCAAACACAUACAAAAAAUGACCAAGAUUAGAAAACAAGCAGCAGACAACUUAACAUUACAAGUGAAAGACAAACCUCUAUCUAGACGAUGGUGACAGCUCCUUGCAAUCCUGUAAGACUGAGAACAACAGACAUUGUUGUGAAAAAUACCACUUAUUCUUUUGAACAAGUCAAAUACCAGUCUCUAACACAUCAUGAAUACUAUGAUAAUAUUUUUUUAUUUUUGAAACUGGUAAUGUGAAUAUCAUGAUAUAUCAAAUGGAAGACACCCACAAAAGAAAAUUUCACUUCUAACAUUAUCCUGAAAUCUUCCUGAGCUUUUUNNNNNNNNNNNNNNNNNNNNNNNNNNNNNNNNNNNNNNNNNNNNNNNNNNNNNNNNNNNNNNNNNNNNNNNNNNNNNNNNNNNNNNNNNNNNNNNNNNNNNNNNNNNNNNNNNNNNNNNNNAUUGAAAGAGAGUUUUGGAAAAUGUUUUUCCUACUUUUUGAAGGGAAUUCAUUUUCCUUAAAUUUAAGGAAAAUAAGUUGAUUUGGAAAACAUUUUCCAAAAUAUUUAAGUCAACCAAACAUGAAGCAAUUGGAUAUCAAACACAAUCUAUCUUUUUGCAAUACGGUAUGUGAAACAUUGAAGCAACAAUUAACCCAUUCCAAUGCCGACUUGGAGAGAUACCUCAUUAAAAGCUUGCUUCCGCUCACAAAGGAAUUUUAGAGCACCAUAUCUCCGGUCAUUAAUUACUGCUCUCAUGGCUUGUCAAAUACAAUUCAUGUCAAAUGAUCUCCCUCAUUUGUUUGGUACACACAAAAUAGUCAAGUAAUAAACCUGAUCCCACGUGCAAUCAGACCCAAUAUUUGCAGAUUCCAAAAGAGUUUUGAAUGCACUCUUUGCCUCCUAAAUAAAAUUAGAUACUUAAAAUAGAAAUAAGAGAAAUUUCGAGAACAUACUUUAAACGGGACAAAAAGCAAUAAUCAACUAUACCGCUUUGCUCUCAUAAACUAAUGGUCCCAGCUCGACUGUUUUCUCAUNNNNNNNNNNNNNNNNNNNNNNNNNNNNNNNNNNNNNNNNNNNNNNNNNNNNNNNNNNNNNNNNNNNNNNNNNNNNNNNNNNNNNNNNNNNNNNNNNNNNNNNNNNNNNNNNNNNNNNNNNNNNNNNNNNNNNNNNNNNNNNNNNNNNNNNNNNNNNNNNNNNNNNNNNCAUAACAUCUACGAAAAGCUUUCUUGGUGUUUUAACCAGUAACCAGUAGUAAUUAACUAAUCGCAUAAGUAUUUCAGAAGGACAAAGUACCUCUCUAUUCUCUGAAGAAAAUCCAUCACCAUACACUACUGCAUCUUGAGUUGUAGUAGUCUCAGAACUAUACAAAAAUUGAAUUCCAAAUAAGAAGCAACACAAACCAGAGGCAAAUUUAUAACAUACAAAUCUGAUAAUAUACACCGGUGGCGCGAUAGAAUUUCCAAGGUUACUGCUAUUCCAAUUUUCUCCGAAUUAGCAACAGCUGGCGAAGUAGGUUCUGAAGAAUUCUUCAUUUCGACAGUUUCAAUCAUCAGAGAAGAAACCUUACCAUAUAAACUUGAUGAUUCUGAAGCCACAAUAGUUGGUAAGUUAGCAGCUGGUGACACAACAAUUGGGCUUGAUUUAGCACCGUAUGCCGAGACUAAUGAACCAUCUGCACCCGGGGAUGAUGUUUUAACAACAGAAAUGGAUCCAAAAUCAGAAGCGUGCUAAAUGGUGUCCUUUUCACAAGCCAACUGUGAAUUUAUAAAUAAUUGAACUUUAUGAGAAUAGAGUAUCCAAGAAAACAGAAUAUUGCCCCUUCUUACACGCUAUCAACUGUGAAUGUACAAAGAAUUUAUGAGAACUAGAGCAUCCAAGAAAACAGAAUAUUUUCCCUUCUUAUCAUGCUAUUUAAAGCACAGAACAAUCCCUUCUUAUCAUGCUAUUUAAAGCACGGAACAAACCCAUAUUGGAUUUAAAUCUAACAUCACCUUGAAUUCAUCAAGCAUUAACCUUGUUGUAGUAAUACCUACAGAAAACAAACAAAGCAAUUAGCAUUAUGCACAAGUAACACACAAAAGUACCCACUGUAGAAGAACAAUUGGAAAGAGGCCAAGAAAAUACAUAAGUUACACACUUUCUUCCCUCAGGACUUAUAAAUUCUCUCCAGUUAGUUGAUGUGUCUGCCCUCUGUCCCAAUGAAAAUAGCAUGAAAGAAGGUCAAGUCAAAAAAUAGAACAUAAACAGUACCCUGAGAGUAGAAAUCAGUAACUUCCAGCAGUACAAUACUGGAUGAAAGUGUUAGAAUAUGAAUUAUAUAAUGUCCCACAUGGAAAAGGACUAGAAUGUACUGUGUAGAAUAUAACUACAAGCAGGGUGGAAACAUUGCCAAGAUGCGGCCGAGCUACAGCUAUCCAAGGGUGAUCAACUGAACAACAUUCGCCUUCUGUCAUUUCUGAGUAUUUUUUAAUGAACACCCUUGCCACAAAAAACAAGACUGAGUGUGAUAGUAAGGGUGUUCAAAUCCUACACCGAGGUUCUAAGUUCCAUACUCAACACAGCCCCCCACAUAAUAUUUUUUCCAUUUGGACACAUUUGAAACUCAUAAACUACAGUUAUGCUUUUUUUCGAUGAAUCAAUUUUCGAACAUGUGUUUUUUGUCCCAAUUAGCUCUUGCAAAAGAUCUAGUAACUAGCAUGCCAUGUAUAAGAAUUUUGUUAAAAUAAACUUAAAGGUAAAUUUAUAAAGUGCUUGUUAUACUAGAUAUCUUGCAUGGGGCAGAGUGUUUGGCUGGUCAAGAGCUCGCAUGUUCGAAAGAUAAACAUAGCAGAAAUGAGGAUGUUGAGAUUAAUGUGUGGUCAUACUAGGAGAGAUAGAAUAAGGAACAAAGAUAUGCGAGAAAAAGUGGUAGUGCUCUCUGUGGUGGACAAUUGACAAGAAGACUAAAGGGUUGGGGAUAAAGAACCUAAAAAUUCAAAGUAAGGCUCUCGUGAUGAAAUGGUUAUCGAAAUAUGCAAACAAUAACCAACUGCUAUGGAGGAAAGUGAUUGGGGCUAAAUAUCCUGAAGAAGAUAGAUGGCUGACUAAAGAAGUGACCACACCAUACGGGAUUAGCCUCUAGAGAUCUAUUAGAUCUAUUAGACACUAGUGGAAUGAAGUUAAAAGCAACUCAAAAGUUAAAGUGAUGGAUGGAAACAAGACUAGGUUCUGGAAGGAUAAUUGACAUGAGGAUGGGAAUAUGGAAGUGAUUUUUCCAGAUAUCUACAACUUGGUAUUGUUUCAAUAGAGGACUAUAGUAGAAUUAUGGACACCACAUGGGUGGAACUUCAAUUUCAGAAAGAAACUUAAUAACCUAGAGGUAAUAAGAGUAGUUGAAUUUUUUAAUACUGUGGACUUAUUCAAUGGACUGCAGACAAUGAAGAACGUACUAUGGUGGAUAGGAAAUGAAAAAGGAAUGUUCAGUGUCAACAAAGCCUACAAGAUGAUAAACCAAAUAAAUCACUCGGAUCCAAGGUGGCCAUGGAAGCAAAUAUGGAAAAGUAGGAUACCUCACACAGUGUCAUGCUUUAUCUUUGUCUAGUUACUGACCAAGGAAGUAGUUCUUACACAAGAUAAUGUCAUGAAGAAAGGGAAAACCUUGUACUCCGGAUGUUUCCUCUGUGGAGAAACUUUAGAGACGGUUAACCAUGUAUUUCUACAUUGUAAGUACACCCAACAACUUUGGAGAAUCUUCUUAAGACUAAAAGGCAUUUCCAGCACAAUGCCUAGGAAAGUAUCUGAGACUUUAAUGUGCUGGGAGAAGAAGGUAUAGAUGUGAAGGACAGAAGUAGAUGGAGAAUUAUCCCAGGUGCUAUAUGGUGGGCUAUAUGGAAAGAAAGGAAUUCUAGAUGAUUUGAGAGCAUAGAGAAUAGUGUGUAGAAGGUUAAACUCAACUGCAUUUUGCUUUUAUGUUUUUGGUGUAAUCAACUAUACUCUAAUGAUACUGCCUCGAUAAUUGAUGUUCUAGACUAAAUUUAGAUAUAGAACAGUCGAUUUAGGAGUACUCUUGUAUAUAAAGGUUUCAGUACAACCCAUGUACUGUAUGAUAUAAUACAAAGUUACCAAUUUCAAAAAAAAAAGAUAAUAAUUUUUCAAGUACUAAAAGUUUAUAAAAUAACAAAUAAAUCAAUUAAAUCUGAGUUCAAAUUGGGUGGGUUGGGGUAUGACCCGCAUUUUAGAGCAUUUCAACCCAACCCAUUUCAACCCAAGUAGCUUUAGGGCGGGUUAAUAACCCACCUAUUUAUUAACUCAGACCUCUUUGAUCCAGCCAACCCCACCCAUUUGACACCUUUAGUUUAAUAGAAGUAAAGUGGACCAUGCCAGAACACAUACAAGAUCUAUUGAGUUAAAGUAAAGUGGACUAUCAAAGGACACACAACAAUCUGUUGAGCUGUUGGAUUAGAGGGUAUUAGCAAGAGUUAGAAGAAAUGGGGGAGAACAAUCCUUCCUUGUAUUUGGUGGACUGUAUGGAGCGAGAAAAUUUGAAGGUAUUUUGAAGAUAAAUAUAAUUCCAUUUAGAAAGUUAAAUGGAAUAGCAUUAAAGAUUUUUAUUUUUUGUUUAAGGGCCAAUGUGUACAGGAUGCAUAACAGGUAGUAGAUCUCUUUGAAUCCUCGCAUUAUUUUCAUUAUUUUUCAUUUCUUUUGGACUGCUAGCAUAACCUUAAUGCUGACGAAUACAAAGUAAUAACUCCAAAAAAAACUAUUUAUCUCAAAAAGAAAAGAAUCAAAAUGUUCAAACUUCCUUACAGCUCCAGUUGUUGGUCCCUUAAUACUUGUCCCUCACAACCAGCCAAACUUUCUUUGAUAACCGUCAUGUUUGGGUCAACUUUCACCUUGACUAGUUACACCAGGUACUGCUACCUCCCACCAGCACAGAUACUGGGUAACUCUAUCCAUCAAGGCUUGGACAGACAGUAAGAAAUCACCUAGUGUUUUUAUCUCUGUUGGAAAUUAAACCUGAGACCUCAUGGUUCUCAAUCUACUUCAUUGACCAUUAGGUCACACUCUUGGGUGCAAGUGUGCAACCAGCCAAACUAUUAUUCUAUAAACCAGAAUGAGAAGUGUGAACCGCAAUAUUAUAUCAGGUUUCCUCUCUCUAUAUCGCCAUUGAGUUACAAUAACAUUACAUUAAUCAGAAAGUAAAUAAAAUUGUUUAAAAUAGACCAAAUAUAAUCCUUCCUUGUAUGCUUAAACACAUUUUUUAGAACAAUAGUGUUAAAUAUAAAAUCUUUUAGAACUAUAUUGGAAAUAAAAGGUCAAUGCAAAUCCCAAAUGAAGCCUACAUAGUAUAGUAAGAUCGAGAAAAUCUGCUCGCUAAACAAACAUUCAACAGAAAUCACAUAUACUUAGGAAAGAAAAAGUGGUUCUACGAAGCUUCAUAGAAAAAGAAUUGUGUACUUCUUUUUUCAUUGAUAAGCAUAGGAAACUGGAUAAAACAACCCAUAAAAAUCUCGAUGAAACGAGAGCUCACCUCCAUUUCUAUCAUCAGCUCUCGAGGUUUCUCCCAGGUAGAGAUUCUUGUUCUUCUAUUAUAAUAGUAUCUAAAAAUCAAUUCAAGAAUUGUAAGAAUGAUAUUAAUUGGUUGGAGUAAUAAAGCCAUAGGAAAUAUGACAAUAUUAGCAACCAUAAUUAGCCUACUGAUCAUCAAAAGAUACUGAAAAUAGCAAUACCUACUAGCAUUUAGCCACAUGUAAAAUAUGUAAGAUAAUAGAGAAAUGGGGUCAAAAUAAAGUUAUCGGUAGAGGUGUAUCAAGUUCUGCUGAUCAACAGUCAGGUAGAAUUUGGUAGCGGUGAACGGCAGCCCAUAUGAUAACUUUGACAAAGAGGACUGAAACAAAGGGGCCUAUUAUCUCCAGUGCUAAUGGAAGAAGAAUGAUGUACAAAGAACUAGAUGUGGAUACUUGAGGCAUUUCUUGGCAGUGAUGGGGGCCAACAUAUCCACCACUUGUUCAUAGACAAGAAAUUAAGUGUUUGUGAUGUAGACAUUAAAUUAUUCAUAUGAGUAACCUAUGUGAAUAUAAUCCAAAAGGAAGAAUUCCAGAAAGCCAAAUUGGCAUGCUCUUUUUUUUGUCUGGAGAACACAAAGUGGUAAAAAGAUUGGAUCUGAAUGACAAUGAUAUUUUUGCAGAGCUCCUUUUCUUGUAUACCACGGUUUUACACCUUUUUUGUUCACUGGAAUCUUAAUUUUCUUACUAAAAACUAUCAUAGAAUUCAAAUGUUGACUCUCUCAAUCAACACACACCCAUUAACCCAUUAACUUAAGCAUGUUACCUGUUGACAAUAUUUAUGCAAAACGGGUACAAUAAAACACAUUGAAUUCUUACCGGAAUAACCAAGGGAGCUGCUAAUUCUCCAGUCUUCUGCAUAGUUGUUGCAGAAUUCACAUUAUGAUUACUUAUUGGCAUCCAGGGUUGUACCCCUGAUGGAAACCUAUGAUCAUUUAUCUAUGUCUGAUACUGGGAGCCAAAAGAAUCUACAUUUACCUGCUGUUAAAGAUGAUAACAAAAUGUAUUUCAUCAAUAUAUGAAUGGAACAUCGGAAACCGAUUGACAAUAACCACAAAAGAUCUUCCCAAGGACCUACAUUAUAUGAAGAAGAAAGAGGUAAAUUUGGGCCACCAGAACCAGGCAUGUGGUUAUUUGACAUCGCAAAAUUUCACUGAAAAUCAUGGGGAAUAGGUGGUCCCUGAGGCAUACUAUGCAUUCCUACUACAGGUCUACUAGUAACCUGUUGCAUAGGUUGAGGAAAUUGGAUUUGAGAAGGUUGUGACAUCGCAACAUUUGCAUGUCCAAGUGGUAAAAAUUGUUGAGAUGACCCAGAACCAUAAGGUUGUGCCUGCUGGGCUAGAAGCAUAGGCUGGAACUGCUAAAGAUGUGGGGAAAAUAGUUAUCAUAAUGUCUCUACAUUCAAAAGUCAUUUAUCCCUCCCCCAAGCCUCCAUAACUUUACCUACAGUGACAUGGAUGGAAUAGCACCAGGAGCAGGACUAGCCAGAGGAGGUAUAGGAGGCUUCUUAACUAAUAUCCAUGCAAGGAAGAACAGACGAAAUCAGAAUAUAGCUACUUUUCAAUCAUAUUUAGUUAAUUUUCCAAUCAAUGUUGAAAGCUUGUAUCCAUGCACAACUCCCUAAAUUAAUUUAAAGGACAAGGCAAGAAUUUUGAAGCUAAACCACAUAGUAACAUGAAGCCCUUUUCUUCAUCUAAUAAAUAGAAAGCUUGAAACGAGAAUAAAGAGAGAUAGGAAAUAGAUGACCUAUCACAACGUUAGACUAGAAUGGACAAAAUGAUAAGCAUCUUUACCUUAUGGCUUGGGUUCAACAGCUACUGAUGGCCUAAGUAUCUUUUCUUCGGGUGUAAAGAAGCACGUCUGUUAAUGCAAAACUAUGAUCAUUGAACUGAAACAUGAGGUAUGAGUAGGUAUUAGGAUAACCAAAAAAUACUGAGACUGGAAUGGGUUGAGCCUCAAUCUUCCCUUCUGAUGUUCUAUGUGAUACUGACAUCACUACUAGAAUCUGAAAGCCUGACUUGGUUAUUCUCUCUAUCAUCUCUCCCUUAGCUUUAAGCCAUCAAAUUAAGUUUGGGAGAUCCCUUACUAGACUCUAAACUAAAGUACACUCACUGUACUCUGGGGUCUGGAAAACUACUAUACACGCAUAUCAUGGCACUUAACCCUAAUGACUACACCUGAAAUUGGAAAACCCACUAUUAAUACUACCUUCUGAGAUACACUUUAUCAUUCUAUAGACCCAGUAGUCAUCAUAUAAUACUUGCAUACUUACUAACUUCGGGUCUUCAUGGGUAUCCCCAUAGUCGAAGUGCACACCCUCUAGUGCUUUAACUCUUAUUUCUAUUAGUUAAGCCUUUAAAAACUCAAACUUAGAAUCUAGCACUCAACAUGGAUAUAACCAAGCCUUCAAUGAAUCAUACCACUUCCUACAUAGCCUACCAAUAUUGCGACUCUAAACUUACAUCUCUCUACUAUAAGAAUCAAGAUCAUAUAAAAGGGCUCAACACUAUUAAUCAAAACUCCUUAAUUUGGCUAUUCAGAACACCAUAUACCAUCUAACUAGUCUUUCUCCACCUAGCAACUCAACGGUACCACUUGUCACACAAAACAUGUAAUAGUCUUAGAAAAUACCGCAACCUCAGAUCACCUUGGGCAUACUUCUACAUUAUAUAUGCAACAUCAUACUUCACUGCGAAUCAAAUAAACUUAAGCUCUUGCAUAUAUCAUUCAAGCCUAUUAGAUUACUUCCAUAAAACUAGUAUCAGUAACCAAGAAAUCAUCACAUCCACCUUCAUGGACAUCAAUUGUUCAAAACUUAAUGUCUAGUGCUAAACAUGAUGUUACAACCCAACCUUACGUAUGAUUCUCACUUGGAUACCAUGAAAUUGACAUCAAGAAACACUAGUACACUAGAACUUCCAAACAACAAAUAAUUGAUCUUGAUCUUACGGUCUUCCUUAUCAUAACUCAUUAGCACGGACUAUUUUAACACAUCAAGCCUACUAAUUUUUUCCCACAAAACAUAGAUCAUUAAUCUCAUGCCACUAUUUUUACCACCACAUUGUACAUUAAAUUCAAGAAUAUAGUCUUGUACCAAUCAUCUAUCACUACUAAAAAAUGCAACAUAACAUGCUAGUUCAUAAAAUUUGGGACAUACUAUACAAGCGCCUCAAAAAUCACUACUUACCUUCUCACAAGUAGUACUAGUUUACAAUAGAAGGUCAAGGGGUAAAGUUACAUAAUAAACAUUAUCAACCUUAAUCUUAUAUUAUAACCCCAUACAAUCUUUUCUACUUAUACGGAUUUCUCUCCGCAUACUUACUUACCCAAACAUACAUUUAGAGUACCUACAAAUUCCACAACAACCAUGAGUCUAUACUUACAACUUACUGGCUAAUAUAGCCAUUUUCAUACUUCAAGCAAUCGAGAAAUCAACCUAACUAACAACUCCCUCUCUAUCUUCUACUAAACUAACACACAAGGACAAAUCACCUUUCUACCAACUCAAUCUUAUGCAAACAGAUUCAGCUAUAUAUAUAUAUAUAUAUAUAUAUAUAUAUAUAUAUAUAUAUAUAUAAAAAAAACAAAAAAAANNNNNNNNNNNNNNNNNNNNNNNNNNNNNNNNNNNNNNNNNNNNNNNNNNNNNNNNNNNNNNNNNNNNNNNNNNNNNNNNNNNNNNNNNNNNNNNNNNNNNNNNNNNNNNNNNNNNNNNNNNNNNNNNNNNNNNNNNNNNNNNNNNNNAAGUCAACUAUGCUAGUGAAUCGAAAGAGCCCCACAGGGCUUCACUAGACUUUAUUUUUUUCAACAACACCUUGAUUACAAGAUUACAUAAGAUAGAAAUUUAAUAUGCAAUAUCCAAUGAACUAGGAAUACACAUCUUUCUCUGUAUAAAUAAAAUUAGAGUCAAACAAUUCCUCCACGGACUACCAUACCUUCCACACAUGCUACUAGUUACCACAUUAGUCUAUCACCAUAAGGGGUAAAUCAUUCUCAAACAUCGUUUAUUCAACUAAAAUAUUCAUUUACAUAAAAGUCACCCUCGCUCUGACUUCUAACUUUGUGACUUCACAUCACCAACUUCUUGGUCUAAUUUCACUACCAAUAGGUCAUGACAACAACACUUUAACGCAUACUACUAUUUAGGUGGAAAUAUAGUUCCAACAUUCUACUACACACCAUCCCACCCCUUAAGCAAGACAUUUGUAACAUAAAUUUGAAGGGGACUAAAUGCAAUUAAUACCUCAAACUGAAAAGCACGAUUCCAUCAGGAUCAAUGUUUACAUCAGAAUCAAUACACAUUGAAGCAAUCAACUAAUUAAUUUCAAUUAAUUAGAAUCAAUUUUAUGAUCAUAAUAUAUAGACUCAAGUUCCUUAAAUUUAAUGUUGUAUGUAAAUUUUAAAAUAUAUUUAUAGCUAAAGUAGUAGUCAAUGUUCGUUGUUUUUUACCAAUAUAUGCAUAUCAAUUACGAAUCUUUCCAUAUAUAUAUUUUUUAUUAAAGUAAUUGUCAGUAUUAACUAAUUUCUAGUUCAAUUUAGUCUAAUUAAUUUGAUAGCAAUAAAAUUAUUAUUAAUAUUAUAUAUUUAUUUACCAUAAAUCUGGCCUAAUUUUAUAGCUUGAUUAUAUUUAAUUAAUCUACAAUUGUAUAAAGGGCUCAAAUACGAAAAUAAUUGAUAUUAAUUACAUGUUUUUAUAGAUUGAUUACAUUAAAUUGAUAUCAAUUACCUUUUUAAUUUUGGAAAGAAUUUUAAAAAGGUAACAAUUAUUUAUUUUUCUAAUUACUAAUUUAGUUUUCAAAUAUUUCUUAUAAAUUUAUAAUUUAAUUAUAGUCAAUUAAUUAUUAUUAUAUUUAUAAUUUGCUAAACACUCAAAUAAGGUAACAAUUUUCUUUUUUCCUAAUUACGGAUUUUCUUAUAUUCAUUCAUUUAUUUGUUUACAAAAAUAGGUCAAACUUAAUUAUUUUGAGGGAUGACACCUUUUUUUAAUAUUUUUUACUCAGAAUGAUUACAAUAUUUUUUUAUAUAAAUUGAUCAGUUACUAUUUAUUAAUUGGUUAUUCUCUUAAAUAAUUUUUUCUUGUAAUAUUUCUUUUAGUCAAUUGUAAUUAAAUCAAUAAUAUUUAUUUUCUUAUAAUACUAUUAUUAAAAACAUUUGAAAUGUAAUUUAUUAAAUAUGAAAUAUGAAAUAAUAUUAAAUAUUUAAAUAAUCAACAAAAUAGUUUUUUGUUAUGAAAUGAUGGUUUUUUGUUGUAAAAAUUCAAAUAGGUAGUUCUCAAUAUGACACUUGUCUUAGUUUUAGGCUAGACUAUCCUCCUUUAUUAUAUAGAUAGAUAAUUUCAACAAAAUUAAUUAGAGUAUUUUCUUAUAAAAUUUUAUAAAAAUAAUAUAAAAUAUGGCAUAUUAAUAAUAUUUGCAUUAAUUAUUCUUCUAUUUUCUUACGCAGUAUUUGAUUCUACGUAUUAAAAAUAACAUUGAAUCAAUGGUGAAAGUGGAGGGACUUCUUUCUUUAUUGGGGUUUUUCUUUUUGGGAAAGCUAACACUUUCUUGACUACCAACCACCCAACACAAAGCUGACACUUCUUGGUAGAUUGGCUAUUUUUUCAUACGGUACUAAUUUAUAUACAUUUUCUUUGAUAUUUGUUAUAUUGUUAGUUUUAUUUUGCAUAUUGUAUUAGUUUAAAUGCAUUUAUCUUUUAUGUUUGGUAUAUUAUUAUGAUCCUAAGCUGGGAGUCUAUCAGAACAUCCUCUCUACUUCACCUGAGUAGUGAUAUGAUCUGCAUACACUAACCUCCCUAGACCUCACUAUGUGGGAAUACACUGGGUGUUGUUGUUGUUGUUGUUCUUUCUUACACAGUAUUUGAUUCAACGUAUUAAAAAUAACAUUUAUUACAUAAUUUUUUUUUUACAUAAUACCCCCACUUUAAGCAUGUUAAUGCAUGCAUUAGAUCCAUUGCAUUACUAAUGUCAUAAAUUUUGAGGUAUUAGUAAUACACACCUCAAUAUACAACAGAGUAUAUAACUAAUUUUUGCAUUAGUUAUACAUAAGAUAAAAAGAUAUAUAUCAAACAAGGGACUACUAAUAGACAUUAAAUUAAUGGAUGCAUUAGUUUUUACGUAAAACAUUCCAUGCUUUAUCACAGAUUUGGUUAUUAUUCCAUGUCUUGAGCUGGGAGUCUAUCAUAAACCACCUUUCUACUUCUCCGGAGGUAGUGAUAUGGACUACGUACAUCUUACCCUCUCCAAACCCCACUAUGUGGAAAUACACUAAAUUUAUUGUUGUUGUUGUUAUUAAUUUUUUAAUACACUCUAUCAAAAGACUCCAUGCUUCUCAUUUAAUAAUACCUUUAGCUCCUCUUUAAUUAUGAUAAUUGCUCUCUGACUCCACCUUGCUUUUUUAAAAUAUACAUAAAUAACAAUGAAUUUAAUUUUGCUCAUUACUCUACUAAUUGUAGUAAUGUUAGGUGAAUUCAUCAACUUAAAAUUAGAGUACAUUCACUUAAGCUACAUGUUAUAGCUAUAGCUCAAAAAAGGAAUUAUACGUUUGACAUAAUACAUAAAUGUGUUUUCAACUUGACAUCAUCAGUAAAUAUUUAUAUAUUUUAAUUUUGAGUGUUGCACAAAUAAAUACUUAGACUAUCAUAUAAAGUUAAAAUAAAGAUAUAUAUGCUAGUCUUGUAUCGCAAUUUGUCAUGCAAAAUGCAUGCAUCUCAUACAAUUUGUCAAGUAAUUAAAGCAUUUGUGUCUAGGAGAGUGCAUCAGUCGGUUCGGUUGGGUAUUACAUAUUAUCGUUAGAUUUAUCGGUUUUCAAUUUUUAAAUAUGUUAAACCAAUAACCAAACUAAUAAAGUAUUUUUUUCGGUUUUUAGUCCUUAACGAUUCGAUUUUUGGUUUAACCGAUAAGAAAAUGCACAUAAAAUAGAAAUAGAAGUAACUAACAUGUAAAAAAUGAAUGUUAGUUGCAAGAAAAAUCCUACAUGAAGUGUUUAAAUUUACAAAAAUCUUCAAGUUUGAACUAAAUAUUGUUAGGAGAAAUUAAGAGUUUAUAUAAUUGAAAUAAUAGGUUUGUUUAUUUGUAGAAAUAAAAGAUAAAUAUAAUAAUAAGUCAUAUAUAUUCUUAUUGGGUUAUCGGUUUACCCAAUAACCCAAUAAGAAAAAAUCGAACCGAAACAAUAACCCAAUAAUUUUUUGUAACACCCCAUACUUUCAGACUUGAACGUAAAUUGUUAUUCUACUUGUACACAUUCCAAAAACCAUAAAUAUAUUGUGAAUAUAGUGUUUUAAUCAACUAUGUGGUGUAUAAAUCUAGUUGAUCAUGAAUUGAGAUCAUAGAGGUCCCCUAACUCAAGGACGAGUUCAAAGCUUUUCCAUCGAUUGAGUUUUAGUAAGUGUCAAAACUUGGGUCAAUUUCAAUCAGUCAUUAAUCUUUGUAUAUAUUGAAUUAGAGUGCCUACUAUAUAUCAAAUAAAAUCCCUUCGAAUUAUCUUUCCAACGAUAUCAAUUUCGCAAAUAUCCAACACUCAAGGAAGAAGUUAUGACUUUGCAAAGUGGAGUAUGUCAUGCAGCAUAAGGUGUGCGACGCACACCCUAACUUAUUCCAUAAGGUGUGCGACGCACAACCUAAUGUGUGAGAUUAAGAGUGCGCUGCACAACCUAUAUUAUGCGAUAAGGUGUUGUCCGCAUACAUUACUACUCAAGUGACUUAAACACUCCAUUUUUGGGGCAAAAUGGUCCUUUUCCCACCCUUAUUUAGCCAUAAACACGAAAUUCAGUCACUAAAUACCCCAAAAUACACCUUCAUUCAUCAAAAUUGCUCAAGAACUCUCCUUAGCAUUUCAAAAUAAAACUCGGGCAACUUAAAAUUCAACCGUGGGUUUUUGAAACUAAUUGCAUAUUUGGAAUCCCUAAAACGUAGGCUUCAAGAAACACCUAUCAUCUUUGCAUAUAGAGGUACGUGGGGUUAUCCUAAAAUCUCAUGGGCCUUUAAAUUCAUGUUUUAAAAUGGGGGUUUUGAAACUACGAAUAUAAUCAUGUUUUGAACUUUUCUAUAAUAUUGAUUUCGUCUUUAGGCCUAUUUCCGAUGUGAUUUGACAUAUUAUAUAUAUAUGCAUGUGUUUUGAAAAGGUGUUAAUUUGAGAGCAUGAAUUAUAUGGAAUCCCUCUCUUGAUGUGAAUUUGUUUUAAAUGUUCAUAUGGUGUAAAUUGUUUGAAAACAUCUUGAAAAGCAUGACAUAAAAUGUUUUGAGAAUUGAUAUGAUUUUGACUUGAAAACGAGAGGGCUAUUUGUGUUGAAACAUGUUGACUAAAAUGGUUGAAUGAGAAGAAUGAUGUGAUAUUGAUGGCUUACAAGUCGGGUAUGACGAUACCCUAUAGAAUAUGAUAUGUGAUUGAAUCAGAUGAAAUUUGAAUGCAUUGAUUUUACAUGAGAUAAGUGGAUGCUCGACGAAGGCAUUUGAGUGUAAGGGCUCAUCAUUGGAAACCGUGUUUGUCGACAUGGGAAUUUGGUAACCUGCUUUGUGAUCUUGCGUACCUGACUUUAUGUCAUUCCCAAGUUGGGAUAUGGUUAGGAGCCCUGCUUUAUGAUCUUGCGCACUACCAUUGGGUCGAGACACCCUGCUGUGUAAUCUUGUGUAUCUUUCCCUCACUUAUACUCUAAUUUCAGCGGCAACCGAGGUUUGACAGUUGGUGUAAAUAUGAUAUGUAGGGUAUUCUACCUAGCUCAACUGUAUUACAUUGUUGUUGAAAACAAUUACAUUACGCCAAUGUGUUUUCAAAUGAUUUGAUAUGAAACUGCUUUAUAAUGGCUCUCAACUAUAUUUUUUUAAAAUGUUAUGUUUUGUUUUGAUAUCUCUGUGUACCAGUACUUUUAUAUUGACCCCCUUCCCUUCCAGGUUUGGAGGCACAGUCUAGCUGUCCAGAAAAUUAGUAGAUUCCUCAGACAGAUUUGUAGAGUCACUUGUGAGCCUUCUAUAUUUCGGAAGGCCUGAUAUCUGGCAGUUUCAUUUAUCAUUUAUUAGUUUUGGAUCUACUGGGGGAAUUGUCCCAGUUUUCAGAGAGAUAUUUAUUUCAACCAUGUAGUAGAGAUUUCGCAGACGUUAUAGAGAUGUCGUGUUGAGAUUGUGGGACAUUAUUCCCAGUUAUUGAUUUCAUAAGAUUCUUGACCAUGUUUUCGUAAUAUUGUUUAUCUUCCGUAUUUCUUUUAUGAUAUGAGUUAUGUGCAUGAUUAUCAGACAAAUAGGGGUGUUUUGGGCCUUCAUGGUUCGGAAUGAUCGUCAUGGCCAGGGCCCCGAUUCGGGUCGCGAAAAACUUUGUAUCAGAGCACGGUUCAUGGUCCCAGGGUGUCUGCAAAAUCAUGUCAGGUAGAGUCUUAUUUAUGGGUGUGUAGCGCGCCACACUUAUAAGCAGGAGGCUACUUAGCGUUUAGGAAUGUCUCUCUUUCUUCAUGUUCCAGUUCGUGCAAUAGAGUCAAAAUGUUCCUCUUUCAUACUGUCAUUCAUGCUAUGGUGUCACCCAUAUGAAGGUAAAUUCAUCCCAAAUUCUUUCCUUACUCAGAUGUUCUCAGACAUGUCCCAUUAUUGGGGUGAUUCAAGUGCAAAAAGCUUAUAAUCUCUAUGAUAUAGUCUUUUUCGAUUAUGUCAUAUAAGAAAAAAAAAUUGUGCAAAGACUCGAGAGGAGUUUGUUGGUGCUUCAAUAUGUGUUGAUUCUGAUGUAAACAUUAAUCCUGAUGGAAUCAUGCUUUCCAGCUUAAGGUAUUAAGUGCAUCUAGUCCCUCCGAAAAAUCUUGAUACAGAUGUGGAUGGUGUAUAGCAGAAUGUUGGAACUGUAUUUCCACCAGAAUAGUAGCAUAAGUUAAAGUGUUGUUGUCAUGACCUAUCGGUAAUGAAAUUAGACCAAGAAGUUAGUGAUGUGAAUUCACAAAGUUAGAAGUCAGAGUGAGGGUGAUUUUUGGUGUAAAUGAAUAUUUCAGUUGAAUAACCGAUAUUUGAGGAUGAUUUACCCCUUUAUAGUGAUAAACUAAUGUGGUAGCUAGUAGCACAUGUGGAUGGUAUGGUAGUCCAUGGGGGAAGUAUUUUACUCAGAUUUUAAUUUAUACAAAGUAAGAUGUGUAUUCUUAGACCAUUAAAUAUUGUGUCAAAUUCCUAUCUCUUGUAAUAUGUAAUCUUCUUAUCAUGGUAUUUUUGAAAAAAAAAAAUUAAAGUAUAGUGAAGCCGUGUGGGGCUCUAUCGAUUCACUAGCAUAGUUGCCUUGUCAUCCAUCUCAUUUUCUUGUUCAAAAUACAAAACCAAAUUCUAGUGAAGCCGUGUGAGGCCUAUUUCGAUUCACUAGCAACUUGUUGUCCAGCUUGUUGUUCUUUUGUUGGUUUAAUAUAUGUAUGGCUGAAUCUGCUUGCAUGAGAUGGAGUUGGUAAAGAGGUAAUUUAUCCUUGUGAGUUAGUUUAGUAUAAGGUAGAGAAGGAGUUGUUAGUCAGGGUGAUUUGUUGGUUGCUUGAAUGUGAAAAAUGGCUAUAUUAGCGAGUAAGUUAUGAUUAUAGACUCAUGGUUGUUUGAGGAAUUUGAAGACAGUCUAAAUGUAUGCUUGAGUAAGUAAGUAUGAGGUGAGAAAUCCUCAUAAGUAGAUAAGAUCGUAUGGGGUUAUAAUAUCAGAUUAAGGUUGAUCAUGUCUAUUAUGUGACCUUACCCCUUGACUUUUUUCUAUGAGAAGGUAUGUAGCAAAUUAUGAGGUAUUUGGAUAGUACUACAUGAUUGGCACAGAUUUUUUGAAGUUUUGCAGGAGUUCUCGAAACUAUUUUCUAAAAAAUUAAGAGAUUUAGCAGCAUACUUCAACAGAACCGUGAAACAAUCACAAAUGCCAGAUAUUAAAAAACUAUAACAAUCGAAACUAACUGCUAGAGCUAUUAAACGCCCAGUGUUGGAACAACUAAUAAUUGACAUCAACCAAUUUCUAGAGGAAUAAGUUCAACAUUAAAAAUCACUUAGAAAAAUGGUAAUUCAUGCUAAUACUAUAAAGAAAUAGCCUACCUAAAUGUUGAGGAAUAUAAAACAACAAAUCAUUCAACACAGCUAUUAUUUUAAGGUACAUUCUAGAACUAUGUGAAUUACUGAGUUUAGAAUAUUGAAAGAGUUGGUCCUUGAAAAUAAUAUCAAUUAUCAUUCUCCAAUGGUCCUUGCAAUCAUGUUACAAAUUCUAGAUCAAUAAAAGCAAAAGAAGCUACUUGCCUAUCUCCGAAGAGAGAUUUGCAGUCCCCCCAUUUCGAUAAUGCAAUAAUUUUCUACAACCACAGCAAACAAAUAGAUUAUGGUUUAAAGGAAAUAUCAUGGGAUCCCAUCCAUUGCAAUGUGAGAGAUUGUAAACUGUUUAAAAUACCUUUGAUGCAUGAAGAAGUUCAUAGAACUCAUCUGCUAGACGUUUACGCUUUUUAGCUUCUUUUUCUUCUUUCUCCCUAGCCCUUUCCAGUAACUCCUCAAAGACAAACUAUGCAGAUGAAAUAUGCACAUUCAAUACUCAAUGACCUGGCAAGCCCUACCGCGUAGAAAUAAUGUUUAGAAAGGAAGUAUGGAAUAAAAUUAAGUAUAAUCCAUGUAUGUCCUCUUACUCCUUCGUUUGGAAGGCAAGGGGAAUAUAAUUUAAGAGUAUUAUUACCAUCUUUUGAAGUAACUCCUCACGUUAUAAUCUUUGAUAAAAUGCUUUACAAAAGUUUUGAGCUAUUGAAAGUAAACUAAAAGCCUUAAGAGACCCAACCAUCUAAGCAUAAUUCUUCGACAAGAUACCCCUUGCAAUUCCCUCUUCCCACAUACAUAGAUUAUACGCCAUGACCAUAAAUAACCUCCAAAAUCCAAAUGAUAUAUGAAGAAUAUCCUCAUUACAAAAAUAGCAAAUGAUUGUUGAUAUCAUCCAGUUAUGCUGUUAAACCAGUUUCGUAGAGUAAAACUCUUAUCCACUAACCGUAAAAAGAGAAAACUACAAGGCAUAGUGCUUUGACUUAAGUAACUUAAGAUAUGUGCGGUAGGUUUAAUAUUAAACACCGUCGUCCAGGAAAUAAAAACUAAGGAAAAUGGUACCAAAACUGAAGAAUUGGAAGCAAAAGCUAACACCAAAUAUUUGAUCAAUGUGGUCCUCGUCUUUAUUCUUGAAGGUUUUAGGCUUACUUGUUAACUGACACACUGCUCUUCUAUUAACUCCAUUACAAGAAGAUCCAAAUUUAAUGUGGGAUAGGUUAUGGUUAAUACUAAAGAAAAAUGCCACUAACCACAGUUGACUACCUAUGAGUUGCCAAUUUAGCAAUCACAAACUGACCAAUUUCCAGUGAAACAUAACAUGGAAGUACUACUAAUGCUUUUGCACUCAAUCCACUCAUCUUAUGCAGGACCUGUCCCAAAGACAAAAAGGGGACAAAUACAUAGAAAUCCAUUUUGUGAAUGGGGUACUUCAAUUUUCACAACAUUCAACUCAACAUUGGUCGAUGUGAAACAGUAUCCAGUGCUUAGCCAUAAUUUGACUUUUAAGUUGGUAUCUGACAUUGGUGGAGAGCUAAUAUACUUGGCGAUUGCAACCUUAAAAUCAUCAAGCGUCCAGGCUGAUGUCAAUCCAAUCUGAAAGUAGAGACGGCUCAGCCAAAAUAUUAGGUACUAAUCGAAGCACAACAGAGGUUAAAAUGGAGAGUGGUGAUUACCUCGGCCAUCCUAACUGAAUCUUUAAUUUGUGACUUGUCAUCAAGAUACUGAAGCAACAUACAAGUAACACAAAUUCAGAAUGCUUAUCAGUAAAAAAAAUAGGAUACCAAAUGGAGCCUUGUCCAUGCAUUUGAGUUCCAUAAAGUCUAUAAAUUACAAGCAGUGUGAUGGGGAUGAAAUUUCUUUCAUGAAUACCAACAUUUCUCCACUUGUUCAAAGUCAUCUACAAUAUCACAAGNNNNNNNNNNNNNNNNNNNNNNNNNNNNNNNNNNNNNNNNNNNNNNNNNNNNNNNNNNNNNNNNNNNNNNNNNNNNNNNNNNNNNNNNNNNNNNAAAAAAGUGAAUAAAUAAAAAUGGAUAGCAUCUCUGUUAACAGCGCUUUCGUUAUAUUUACUUAAUAAGAAUCAUUUAUGCAUACAAACAGUAAUACAAACUUUAAAGAUAGAAGUUGACAUCUUUAUUUUACAAGGGAAAAAGAAAAGAUUUUCAGCAUCGGAGUUUAUGUAUAACUCUCACUAUCCCAUAGCAAGAGCCUAACUCAAGAAAACAUUACCAAAUUCAAUCAUUGAAUAAGAGUACGAACAGGAUCAUUACCAUGCUAGGAUAGCAGGUAAACGCCCUCUUUCAUCAAGAAUGGAGAUAAAUGCUAAUAACAUUUGAUCAUUCAACUUCAAUUCUUUUCAGAAAGGGCAGAGGAUGAAACAAUAUAUCGUUUAGUUAGUCGCAAGUGUGCAUUACGGCGAAAAAAAUCACAGUGAGGGAGAUGCAACUUUAUUUAGAGAAACAAAGAUUCUCUCAGGCACUUUUUCCAAGGCUAAUCUUUUCUAAGCCUUUACUUUCAUUACAUCUCAACUACCUCUUCAGAGGCGAAUUCUGGCACUAAGUUUAUUUAGUCCAAUUUAUAUGGUUGACAACACAAUAUAUUUUGAAUUGGGUUUUAAGUUGCACGAUAUCAUCCGAAGUGAAAUCAAAAUUGGGGUGUGGUACAAAAGGACAAAACAUGGUCGAAACUUGACCAGACAAACUACUUUCAGGUCUCAUUUAUUUGCACUUAUUGGAUUUAUGAACCUGUUCAAACCUCAAACCAUUAAGUGCACUUGUUUUUAUUAGGAUUUUAGCUCUUAAUAGGCCUGAGUAGGUCUUAAUCAUUCAGAUGUGGAACCAAGACUAAAUAUCAUUUACAGAUAUUCUUGGGUAGGAAAAAAUUCACCACCACUCUAUCCACAAUCACCUGUCACCACCACCAACCACUUCCACCAUCACAACCAACAUCACUACCAACUACACUGCUAGCCGCUACCACACCUACCACUUCCAUUAUUCUAAUUAUAUCCACCGCCAACUAGGGGUGUUCACGGUUUGGUUUUUAACCAAACUGAACCGCGAUCCAAACCAAAUUGAUUAAGAAAACCUAUAUUUGGUUAGGUUUGGUUUGGAUUUGAAUUUUAAAAAAUCGAUACUAAUUUGGUUUAGUUUGGUUUGGUUUUACUCUAAAAUAACCAAACCGAACCGAUAUACAUAGAUAUUAUAAUUAUUUAUAUGUUUUUCAUAAAUGUAAUCUAAAUAUUUGUUGCAUUUUAUAUUUUAAUCAUGAUUUAACUUUAGUCGUAACACAUUCAUUCAUAUGUCUUCAUCUAGUUGACAAUACAUUAUGAAAUUCUAAAUGAAUUUCAUAUUUUGAAUGACAAAUGAUACUAAUUGUGAAAAUAAUAUCUUGUUAUAUAUUGAAAUUUACUGCUGAAAUUCAUUAGAUUAUACACAAUCACUAAUUUUAACUUUCUUUUGAACCUUGUUGAGCAAGAAGUUUAUGUGUUCACCUUUUGGGGGUAUAUCAUAUCAUUCUAUUAAAUAUAGUUUUUAAAUAUUUUUCUAAAAGCGUUCAUAUGGUGUUAUCAUGGCUUUGCCGAAGUAUAACACUCAAUUGACAUCAUAGUUUCAAGAUUGAGCUACAACACUCGGUUGACAUCUCAUAUGUUAGAUUGGAUUUGUUUUUUUAAAAUUUUCAACUUUUAUCAUUAACUAAAGUUAUAAACCAAAAAACCCGAAUCAAACCGAACUAAACCAACAAGAACCAAACCGAUGGUUAUUUUUUUUUUUUUGGUUUGGUUUGGUUUUAGAAAUUUAAAAACCAAUUAAGUUGGUUUGGUUAUGGUUUUGACCAAUAACCGACCCAUAUCGACCCAUAAAUACCCCUACCGCCAACGCCGCCACCAUCAACUCCUACCAGUCGACCCCUACUACCAACCAACUCAUCUAUCAGAACUAGCACUACCACUAAUAACCACCAACACAUCAUCAACUUCCACACAUCGCUAACAACCACUAACACAUCAUCAACUUCCACACAUUCUGCGAACACCAUCACCACCACUGUCACCAGCAUCACCACCUCUACCACCACCAUCCGCUACACUCGCUACAGUAUCUAUACUAACAACCAUUCCACCAUCACAGCUAACAGCGUCUCCAACGACCACCAACACAUCAUCAACCAUCAUGCAUACAGUUUUCCGUCACCACGAUCAACACCUCCAACUACUAACAUUAACCAACUUCACAUCACAACCACCACCACCACUACCAAUCGCCAAUAUCAUGAUAGUUACUACAAUGCCAACUAUCUCUACUAUCACAACUAUCAACACCAACGUUGCUAAUCACUAACAUCAAUUAAUUUAUUAGAACAACCACCACCAUUAAAAACCAUCUCCACUAUCACUAACAAACAUAAAUGUUUCUUUUUUUCAUCAAAUAAUAAUAUAAUUGCAUUAAAUUUAAAAAAAUUCUAAUAUAUAAUUAUAUUAUAUUUAGAAAUAAAUAAAUUUUGCACAUUCAGAUAUUGAGAAACACUCAACCUUAAUCAUUUAGUUUUCAGAUCUAGAGACAAUAUCUUAAUCAUUCAGAUGUACAUUCAAAAUUAUUCAAAUAUCUGAAUAUUAAUAAAAACAAAUGCAGUCUUAGCUGAAACACAAUGGUGUGGUUGUGUGAUACUUUAAAGGAGUCCUCGAAAGUCAAAGAAACUACGUGAAAACAUGGAAGUUUGAUGAUCACUUCUCAGAGUUGUUCUGAUCGAGAAACUAUAACAAUUAAGGAAAUAUAACCAUUAACAGCAUUCAAUGGAGGAGAAGUCAAUUACAAUUAUCCGUGAAGUAGAAUUUAAUACAGCUUGACUAUAUUGAAAGAAUCAUCUAUAUCUAUACUACAUUAAAAGCAUGGAACCCCUAACUUAAAAGUUUACGACAAUACCAUUCCUGUCAGCCUAAUUACCUACUAUCUAGUAAAAAAAAAAGAGGAAACUAAUUGGCAUAAAGAGAAACAAUGCAGAUGUUUAAUAGGAACAACCGGUCAUUGUUUUUAUCUGAACAAAAUAUGUGUUAUUUAAAAAAAAAAAAAGCAAGUAGAGGGGUAACUCUCAAAUCUCAAUCUCAUGCUUUUAUCCUACCAAGUAUGUUCUAUUUUUUAAUGCACUACAACAACAACAACAAACCCAGUAUAUUCCCACAUAGUAAUGCACUAACUUCCCUUUUUACCUAAUGAAUUGAACUUUUUAGUGAGAAUCUAAAUGAUUUUCAAACUUUGUUUAACAUCUGAUUCAUUAAGAUGUAUUAACAGGUUGAGUCUUUAAAAAAAACACUUAAUGGGUUGAUAUCUUAACCAUUCAAAUUCAGACCUUCAUUAAGUGAAAGCAAAUGAAAAGGGAUUGUAGUGUAAAGUCUAUAAAUAUGGCUUAGUGUAACAAAUGCAGUUGACACAAUUCAAUACUCCUAUUAGCAACCUAUUUCACCUGUUUCUCCAGCUCAUCCAUAACAUCUGUAAAUAAGUCUUUUGUUGUUGAUCCUGAAGUAUUUGAUGAGACAGCUAGAUAUGCAGCAAAAUCUUUAAUCUACAAACACAAAAUAAAGAAGGAAAUUAUUGGAAAAAAAAUUUAAAAAGACGAAAAGGGAACUCAUGAAGGUAAUCACUUACUGAACACAAGAAAGAAAAACUAACUUUGAUGCAAUAAUCACGCCAGUUAAUUUUUGCAUUAAGUAUUCCCGCAGGAACAUGCUCUUCCAUCAGUUUUUGAAACUCAUCACGAUUUUUACGUUCAGCUUUCCUCAAUUUUUCCUAUAUGAAUCAACAGUGUAUGCCCGGUGAGAAAGAGAUAAAUCAAAGUCUCCAAACAUAAAUUUAAUUUUAACCCCCGAGUCUAACAAGCAAUAUACCAUCCGCCAUUUCCUUUGCUCCUCCUCUUCGCUCUCUAAAUCACGUAUGUAUUCCUAAAACAGAAAAGGUUGCAACAUAACUUUAAAACUGAGGCGUACAAAUGAGAUGUUUGGAGAAAGUUAUUUAUGAUGUAUUAGAAAAAUGAGUAGUACCUGGAAAAUCUCCAAGCGUUCGAUUCUCUCAAGGCGGGAGCAUCUUUCAUCAGUUUCAAAGCAGUCCUGAACUUUCCGCCACUGGCUACUGGCCUGAACAAAAGAAGUCAGCAACAAUAGAACUAUGAAAGUUCUAUCUCCUGGAAAUAGAAAAAAAUAAUCUAGGAACUAAUGCUAAAUCCACUAGAACAAAUACCAUAAUAAAGUCACAAGAUUUUAAAAAUUCUAAGUACUCCACUCUAUUGCACUUCUGCUCCUCUAAUGCCUUCGCAUGCUCCUAAUAAAAUCCAGUACAAAGUAAAAAAAAAAAAAAAUUUCUCUAUAAAGAAGACAAUAUUUAAAAAGUGACUUUGACUACACUUGCAUGAAUGUAUUGAAAAACUUUUUCUAUUUUACGACGGAGGGGGGAGAGGAAGAAGCAUACCAUAGUUUCAAGUUUCAAGAAAAAUUACAUACAAUACAUGGAAGUCUGUUUAAAUUGGAAUUCAAUGGUGAACAAAUUUAAAUGUUAUACCUUUGAGAAGCCAUUAAAAAUGUAUUCAAAGAACACAAGAUUUUAAGUUGAAUAUCUACAACAUUCCUUCUUUCUACUCUUUAAGCAAAACAAAAAAAGGGAACAAACUAAAUGACAUCCUAUAAAGGAAAGGAGUGGAAUGACUGUUGUUAAUCAAGUGGACCAGCGUCUAACUCAACUUUAAAAACUAGGUCAGGUGGUGAAGAUUGUCCAAGAUCAUAUAAGGAAACUACAGUACAUACACCUUACUAGUGUGGGAUUCUCAUACAUUAAUCCCACACCAUGACUAGACAUUUGUAGCAUCAGUUAACCUAGGUUGGCUAACAUCUAAUAGUCUAACAUUAAUAUAGAUCUACCUCUAAUACCAUGUUUAAGAAAUUGGACCUUGUUUCUAUCUCAAAUGAAAGGCUAACUUAAUUUGUGAGGAGCCAAAGACCAUAUAAGGAAACUACAGUCCGCACACUUAGUUUUUAACAUAUAGAAGCUUACAAGAAAGUUCUGCAAAAGGAGCUUCACCUUUUUCUCAAGUUCCUCCACAUAAUCUUCAAAAAGGUCCUCACGGUCUUUAGCUUGCUCAACAGCUUUAAAACGUUCAUCAUGUUCGAAUAUAGAGAUUGCCUUACUGAAUAAUCAAUAGCAAAUAGUUAGUGGAUCAAAUGGAACUUACACAAGUAAUGGAUCAACUUCAAGGUACCAAACACAUACAAACAAUGACCAAGAUUAGAAAACAAGAAGCAGACAACUUAACAUUACAAGUGAAAGACAAACCUCCAUCUUGACGAUGGUGAUAGCUCCUUGCAAUCCUGUAAGAUUGAGAACAACGGACAUUGUUGUGAAAAAUACCACUUAUUCUUUUGAACAGGUCAAAUACCAGUCUCUAACACAUCAUGAAUAUUAUGAUAAUAUCUUUUUAUUUUUGAAACUGGUAAUGUGAAUAUCACGAUAUAUCAAAUGAAAGACACCACAAAAGAAAAUUUCACUUACUUCUAACAUUAUCCUGAAAUCUUCCCAAGCUUUUUUCUGCUUAACACGCCUCUCUUCAGCUUCCAGUGUUUUCUUUUGGCUCAGAUACUGAUACUGGAACAGACACACAACUUCAAAAUGAUCACUAUAGACCUUGGGUGUGUUUGAUAUGAAGGAAAAUGUUUUCCUAGAAAACAAGUUGGUUUCUUACUUGUUUUCUUAUGUUUGGUUGAUGAAAGGAAAACAUUUUUCAGAAAAUGUUUUCUAGUGUUUGGUUGGUGAAUAAAAAAAUAUUUUUCAAAAAAUACAUUUGAGAGUUGUAUAAACAUUUCAACUUAAGAGUGAGAUUGAAAGAGAGUUUUGGAAAAUGUUUUUCCUACUUUUUGAAGGGAAUUAAUUUUCCUUAUAUUUAAGGAAAAUAAGUUGAUUUGGAAAACAUUUUCCAAAAUAUUUAAGUCAACCGAACAUGAAACAAUUGUAUAUCAAACAAAAUCCAUCUUUUUGCAAUACGGUAUGCUGAAACAUUGAAGCAGCAAUUAACCCAUUCCAAUGCCGACAUGGAGAGAUACCUCAUUAAAAGCUUGCUUCCGCUCACAAAGGGAUUUUAGAGCACCAUAUCUCCAGUCAUUAAUUACUGAGCUCAUGCCUUGACAAAUACAAUUCAUGUCAAAUGAUCUCCCUCAAUUGUUUGGUACGCACAAAACAGUCAAGUAAUAAACCUGAUCCCACGUGCAAUCAGACCUAAUAUUUACAGAUUCCGGAAGAGUUUUGAAUGCACUCUUUGCCUCCUAAAUAAAUCAGAUACUUAAAAUAGAAAUAAGAGAAAUUUCGAGAACAUACAUUAAAUGGGACAAAAAGCAAUAAUCAACUAUACCGUUUUGCUCUUAUAAACUAAUGGUCCCAGCUCGACUAUUUUCUCAUCUGAUGGAGUAGCACCUCUAAUUUCAGUUACUGCAGCAUCUUUCUUGACAUUCUGCAUUUUAGGCACAACAUCAAGCGCAAAGGACAAAAGCAAACCUCAUUGGAAUUUCGAGCAUAUUCUUCACCUGUUAGCAGUUGACUAACAACUGCACUACAAAAUUGUUAGAUCAACAUCCAGCAUAACAGCUACGAAAAGCUUUCUUGGUGUUUUAACCAGUAACCAGUAGUAAUUAACUAAUCGCAUAAGUAUUUCAGAAGGACAAAGUACCUCUCCAUUCUUUGAAGAAAAUCCAUCACCAUACACUACUGCAUCUUGAGUUGUAGUAGUCUCAGAACUAUACAAAAAUUGAAUUCCAAAUAAGAAGCAACACAAACCAGAGGAAAAUUUAUAACAUACAAAUCUGAAAACAUACACCGGUGGCGCGACAGAAUUUCCCAAGGUUACUACUAUUCCAAUUUUCUCCGAAUUAGCAACAGCUGGCGAAUCAGGUUCUGAAGAAUUCUUCAUUUCGACAGUUUCAAUCAUUGGAGAAGAAACCUUACCAAAUAAACUUGAUGAUUCUGAAGCCAUAAUAGUUGGUAAGUUAGCAGCUGGUGACACAGCAAUUGGGCUUGAUUUAGCACCGUGUGCCGAGACUAAUGAACCAUCUGCACCCGGGGAUGAUGUUUUAAUAACAGAAAUAGAUCCAAAAUUAGAAGCGUGCGAAAUGGUGUCUUUUCACGAGCCAACUGUGAAUUUAUAAAUAAUUGAACUUUAUGAGAAUAGAGUAUCCAAGAAAACAGAAUAUUGCCCUUUCUUAUCAUGCUAGCAACUGUGAAUGCAUAAAGAUUUUAUGAGAACUAGAGCAUCCAAGAAAACAGAAUAUUUUCCCUUCUUAUCAUGAUAUUUAAAGCACAAAACACGGAAUAUUUUUCCUUCUUAUCAUGCUAUUUAAAGCACAGAACAAUCCCUUCUUAUCAUGCUAUUUAUAGAACGGAACAAACUCAUAUUGGAUAUAAAUAUAACAUCACCUUGACUUCAUCAGGCAUUAACCUUGUUGUAGUAAUACCUACAGAAAACAAACAAAGCAAUCAGCAUUAUGCACAAGUAACACACAAAAGUACCCACUGUAGAAGAACAAUUGGAAAGAGGCCAAGAAAAUAUAUAAGUUACACACUUUCUUCCCUCAGGACUUGUAAAUUCUCUCUAAUGAGUUGAUGCAUUUGUCCUCUGUCCCAAUGAAAAUAGCAUGAAAGUAGGUCAAGUCAAAAAACAGAACAUAAAUAGUACCCUGAGAGUAGAAAUCAGUCACUUCCAGCAGUACAAUACUUGAUGGAAGUGUUAAAAUAUGAAUGAUAUAAUGUCCCACAUGGAAAAGGACUAGAAUGUACUAUGUAGAAUAUAACUACAAGCAGGGUGGAAACAUUGCCAAGCUGCGGCUGAGCUACAGCUAUCCAAGGGUGAUCUUCUGUCGUUUCUGAGUAUUUUUAAUGAACACCCAUGCUACAAAAAACAAGACUGAGUGUGACAGUAAGGGUGUUCAAAUCCUGCACUAAGGUUCUAAGUUCCAUGCUCAACACAGCCCCCCAUAAUUUUUUUUCCAUUUGGACACGUUUGAAACUCAUAAACUACAGUUAUGCUUUUUUUCGAUGAAUCAAUUUCUGAACAUGUGUUUUUUGUCCCAAUUAGCUCUUGCAAAAGAGCUAGUAACUAGCAUGCCAUGUAUAAGAAUUUUGUUUAAAUAAACUUACAGGUAAAUUUAUAAAGUGGUUAUUAUACUAGCUAUCUUGCAUGGGGCAGAGUGUUUGGCUGGUCAAGAGCUCACAUGUUCGAAAGAUAAACGUAGCAGAAAUGAGGAUGUUGAGAUUGGUGUGUGGGCAUACUAGGAGAGAUAGAAUAAGGAACAGAGAUAUGCGAGAAAAAGUGGUAGUGCUCUUUGUGGUGGACAAUUGACAAGAAUACUAGAGGGUUGGGGAUAAAGAACCUAAAAAUUCAACAUAAGGCUCUCAUGAUGAAAUGGUUGUGGAAAUAUGCAAACAAUAACUAGCUGCUAUGGAGGAAAGUGAUUGGGGCUAAACAUCCUGAAGAAGAUAGAUGGAUGACAAAAGAAGUGACCACACCAUAUGGGAUUAGCCUCUAGAGAUCUAUUAGAUCUAUUAGACACUAGUGGAAUGAAGUUAAAAGCAACUCAAAGGUUAAAGUGAUGGAUGGAAACAAGACUAGGUUCUGGAAGGAUAAUUGACAUGAGGAUGGGAAUACGAAAGUGAUUUUUCCAGAUUCUACAACUUGGUAUUGUUUCGAUAGAGGACUAUAGCAGAAUUAUGGACACCACAUGGGUGGAACUUCAAUUUCAGAAGGCAACUUAAUGACCGGGAGGUAAUGAGAGUAGUUGAAUUGUUUAAUACCGUGGACUUAUUCAAUGGACUGCAGACAGUGAAGGACGUACUAUGGUGGAUGGGAAAUGAAAAACGAAUGUUCACUGUCAACAAAGCCUACAAGAUAAUGAACCAAAUAAAUAAAUCACCUGAAUCCAAGAUGGCCAUGGAAGCAAAUAUGGAAAAGUAGGAUACCUCACACAGUGUCGUGCUUUGUCUUUGUCUGGUUACUGACCAAGGAAGUAGUUCUUACACAAGAUAAGGUCAUGAAGAAAGGGAAAACCUUGUGCUCCAGAUGUUUCCCCUGUGGAGAAACUUUAGAGACGGUUAACCAUGUAUUUCUACAUUGUAAGUACACCCAACAACUUUGGAGAAUCGUCUUAAGACUAAAAGGAAUUUCCAUGACAAUGCCUAGGAAAGUAUCCGAGACUUUAAUGUGCUGGGAGAAGUAGGUAUACAUGCGAAGGACAAAAGUAGAUGGAGAAUUAUCCCUGGUGCUACAUGGUGGGCUAUAUGGAAAGAAAGGAAUUCUAGAUGUUUUGAGAGCAUAGAGAAUAGUGUGUAGAAGGUUAAACUCAACUAUAUUUUGCUUUUAUGUUUUUGGUGUAAUCAACUAUACUCUAAUGAUACUGCCUCGAUAAUUGAUGUUCUAGACUAAAUUUAGAUAUAGAACAGUCGAUUUAGGAGUACUCUUGUAUAUAAAGGUUUCAGUACAACCCAUGUACUGUGUGAUAUAAUACAAAGUUACCAAGUUCAAAAAAAAAAAAGAUAAUAAUUUUUAAAGUACUAAAAGUUUAUAAAAUAACAAAUAAAGCAAUUAAAUCUGAGUUCAAAUUGGGUGGGUUGGGUUAUGACCCGCAUUUUAGAGCAUUUCAAUCCAACCCAUUUCAGUCCAAGUAGCUUUAGGGUGGGUUAAUAACCCACCCAUUUAUUAACUCAGACCUCUUUGAUCCAGCCAACCCCGCCCAUUUGACACCUUUAGUUUAAUAGAAGUAAAGUGGAGCAUGCUAGAACACAUACCAGAUCUAUUGAGUUGAAGUAAAGUGGACUAUCAAAGGACACACAACAAUCUGUUGAGCUGUUGGAUUAGAGGGGAUUAGCAAGAGUUAGAAGAAAUGGGGGAGAACAAUCCUUCCUUAUAUUUGGUGGACUGUAUGGAGCAAGAAAAUUUGAAGGUAUUUUGAAGAUAAAUAUAAUUCAAUUCAGAAAGUUAAAUGGAAUAGCAUUGUAGAUUUUUGUUUUUUGUUUAAGGGACAAUGUGUAUAGGAUACCUAACAGGUAGUAGAUCUCUUCAAAUCCUCGCAUUAUUUUCAUUAUUUUUCAUUUCUUUUGGACUGCUAGCAUAACCUUAACGCUAACUUAUACAAAGUAAUAUCUCCAAAAAAAAACUGUUUAUCUCAAAAAGAAAAGAAUAAAAAUGCUCAAACUUCCUUACAACUCCAGUUGUUGGUUCCUUAAUACUUGUCCCUCACAACCAACCAAACUUUCUUUGAUAACCGUCGUGUUUGGGCCAGCUUGCACCUUGACUAGUUACACCAGGUACUGCUACCUCCCACCAGCACAGAUACUGGGUAACUCUGUCGAUCAAGGCUUGGACAGAUGGUAAGAAAUCACCUAGUGUUUUUAUCUCUGUUGGAAAUUAAACCUGAGACCUCAUGGUUCUCAAUCUACUUCAUUAACCAUUAGGUCACACUCUUGGGUGCAAGUGUGCAACUAGCAAAAUUAUUAUUCUAUAAACUAGAAUGAGAAGUGUGGACCACAAUAUUAUAUCAAGUUUCCUCUCUCCAUAUCGCCAUAGAGUUACAAUAACAUUACAUCAAUCAGGAAGUAAAUAAAAUUAUUUAAAAUAGACCAAAUAUAAUCCUUCCGUGUAUGCUUAAACACAUUUUUUCAGAACAAUAGUGUUAAAUAUAAAAUAUUUUAGAACUAUAUUGGAAAUAAAAGGUCAAUGUAAAUCCCAAAUGAAGCCUACAUAGUAUAGUAAGAUCAAGGAAAUCUGCUCGCUAAACAAACAUUCAACAGAAAUCACAUAUACUUAGGAAAGAAAAAGUGGUUCUACGAAGCUUCAUAGAAAAAGAAUUGUGUACUUCUUUUUUCAUUGAUAAGCACAGGAAACUGGAUAAAACUACCCAUAAAAAUCUCGAUGAAACGAGACCUCACCUCCAUUUCUGUCAUCAGCUCUCAAGGUUUCUCCCAGGUAGAGAUUCUUGUUCUUCUAUUAUAAUAGUAUCUAAAAAUCAAUUAAAGAAUUGUAAGAAUGUUAUUAAUUGGUUGGAGUAAUAAAGCCAUAGGAAAUAUGACAACAUUAGCAACCAUAAUUGGCUUACUGUUCAUCAAAAGAUGCUGAAAGUAGCAAUACCUACUAGCAUUUAGCCACAUGUAAAAUAUGUAUGAUGAUAGAUAAAUAGGGUCAAAAUGAAGUUAUCGGUAGAGGUGUAUCAAGUUCUGCCGAUGAACAGUCAGGUAAAAUUUGGUAGCGGUGAACGGCAGCCCAUAUGAUUACUUUGACAAAGAGGACUGAAACAAAGGGGCCUUUUAUCUCCAGUGCUAAUGGAAGCAGAAUGAUGUACAAAGCACUAGAUGUGGAUACUUGAGGGAUUUCUUGGCAGUGAUGGGGGCCAACAUAUCCACCACUUGUUCAUAGACAAGACAUUAAGUGUUUCUGAUGCAGACAUUAAACUAUUCAUAUAAGUAACCUAUGUGAAUAUAAUCCAAAAGAAAGAAUUACGGAAAGCCAAAUCGGCAUGCUCUUUUUUCUGUCUGGAGAACACAAAGUGGUAAAAAGAUUGGAUCUGAAUGAAAAUGAUAUUUUUACAGAGCUUCUUUUCUUGUGUACCGCGGUUUUACACCUUUUUUGUUCACUGGAAUCUUAAUUUUCUUACUAAAAACUAUCAUAGAAUUCAAAUGUUGACUCUCUCAGUCAACACACACCCAUUAACUUAAGCAUGUUACUUGUUGACAAUAUUUAUGCAAAACGGGUACAAUAAAACACAUUGAAUUCUCACCAGAACAACCAAGGGAGCUGCUAAUUCUCCAGUCUUCUGCACAAUUGUCUCAGAAUUCACAUUAUGAUUACUUAUUGGCAUCCAGGGUUGUACCCCUGAUGGAAACCUAUGAUCAUUUAUCUGUGUCUGAUACUGGAAGCUAGAAGAAUCUGCAUUUACCUGCUGUUAAAGACGAUAACAAAAUGUAUUUCAUCAAUAUAUGAAUGGAACAUCGGAAACCAAUUGACAAUAACCACAAAAGAUCUUCCCAAGGCCUUACAUUAUAUGAAGAAGAAAGAGGUAAAUUUGGGUCACCAGAACCAGGCAUGUGGUUAUUUAACAUCGGAAGAUUUCCCUGAAAAUCAUGGGGAGUAGGUGGUCCCUGAGGCAUACUAUGCAUUCCUACUACAGGUCUACCAGUAACCUGUUGCAUAGGUUGAGGAAAUUGGAUUUGAGAAGGUUGAGACAUCGCAACAUUUGCAUGUCCAAGUGGAAAAAAUUGUUGAGAUGACUCGGAACCAUAAGGUUGUGCCUGCUGGGAUGGAAGCAUAGGCUGGAAUUGCUAAAGAUGUGGGGAAAAUAGUUAUCAUAAUGUCUCUGCAUUCAAAAGUCAUUUAUUCCUCCCCCAAGCCUCCACAACUUUACCUGCAGUGACAUGGAUGGAAUUGCACCAGGAGCAGGACCAGCCAGAGGAGGUAUAAGAGGCUUCUCAACCAAUAUCCAUGCAAGGAAGAACAGAUGAAAUCAGAAUAUAGCUACUUUUCAAUCAUAUUUAGAAAGCUUGAAUCCAUGCGCAACUCCCUAAAUUAAUUUGAAGGACAAGGCAGAAUUUUGAAGCCAAACCACAUAGUAACAUGAAACCCUUUUCUUCAUCUAAUAAAUAGAAAGCUUGAAAUGAGAAUAAAGAGAGAUAACAAAUAGAUGACCUAUCACAGCGUUAGACGAGAAUGGACAAAAUGAUAAGCAUCUUUACCUUAUGGCUUGGGUUCAACAGCUACUGAUGGCCUAAGUAUCUUUUCUUCGGGUGUAAAGAAGCACGUCUGUUAAUGCAAAGCUAUGAUCAUGGAACUGAAACGUGAGGUAUGAGUAGGUAUUAGGAUAACCGAAAAAUACUUAGACCGGAAUAGGUUGAGCCUCACUCUUCCCUUCUAAUGUUCUAUGUCAUACUGACAUCACUACUAGAAUCUGAAAGACUGACUUGGUUAUUCUCUCUGUCAUCUCCCCCUUAGCUUCAAGCCAUCAAAUUAAGUUUGGGAGAUCCCUUACUAGACUCUAAACUAAAGUACACUCACUGCACUCUGGGUCUGGAAAACUAUUAUACACACAUAUCAUGGAACUUAACCUGAAUGAAUACACCUGAAAGUGGAAAACCCACUGUUAAUACUACCUUCUGAGAUACACUUUAUCAUUCUAUAGACCCAGUAGUCAUCAUAUAAUACUUGCAUACUUACUAACUUCAGGUCUUCAUGGGUAUCCCCAUAGUCAGAGUGCACAGCCUCUAGUGCUUUAACUCUUAUUUCUAUUAGUUCAACCUUUAAAAACUCAAACUUAGAAUCUAGCACUCAACAUGGAUAUCACCAAGCCUUUAAUGAAUCAUACCACUUCCGACACAGACUACCAAUAUCGCGACUCCAAACUUGCAUCUCUCUACUAUGAGAAUCAAGAUCAUAUAAAAAGGCUUAACACUAUCAAUCAAAUCUCCUUAACUUGGAUAUUUAGAAAACCAUAUACCAUCUAACUAGUCUUUCUCCACCUAGCAACUCAACGGUACCACUCGUCACACAAAACGUGUAAUAGUCUUAGAAAAUACCGCAACCCCUUACGCAUGAUUCUCACUUGGAUACCAUGAAAUAGACAUCAAGAAACACUAGUACACUAGAACUUCCAAACAACAAAUAAUUGAUCUUGACCUUACGGUCUUCCUUAUCAUAACUCAUUAGCACGUACUAUUUUAACACAUCAAGCCUACUAAUUUUUUCCCACAAAAUAUACAUCAUUACUCUCAUGCCACUAUUUUUAUCACCACAUUCUACAUUAAAUUUAAGCAUAUAGUCCUGUACCAAUCAUCUAUCACUAUUGAAAAAUGCAACAUAAUAUGCUAGUCCAUAAAAUUUGGGACAUACUAUACAAGCGCCUCAAAAAUCACUACUUACCUUCUCACAAGUAAUACUAGUUUACAAUUACCGACGAAAAGAAGGUCAAGGGGUAAAGUUGCAUAAUAGACAUGAUCAACCUUAAUCUUAUAUUAUAACCCCAUACAAUCUUUUCUACUUAUACGGAUUUCUCACCUCAUACUUACUUACCCAAACAUACAUUUAGACUACCUUCAAAUUCCACAAACAACCAUGAGUCUAUACUUACAACUUACUGGCUAAUAUAGCCAUUUUCACACUUUAAGCAAUCGAGAAAUCACCCUAACUAACAACUCCUUCUCUACCUUCUACUAAACUAACACACAAGGACAAAUCACCUCUUUCAAUCUCAUGCAAACUGAUUCAGCUAUAUAUAUAUAUAUAUAUAUAUAUAUUAAACUAACACAAGAACAACAAGUUGGACAACAAGUUGCUAGUGAAUCGAAAUAGGCCUCACACGGCUUCACUAGACUUUACUUUUGUAUUUUUAACAAGAAAAUGAGAUGAAUGACAAGUCAACUAUGCUAGUGAAUCGAAAGAUCCCCACAGGGCAAGAUUAAUACGCAAUAUCCAAUGAACUAAGAAUACACAUCUUACUCUGUAUAAAUAAAAUAGAGUCAAACACUUCCUCCACGGACUACCAUACCAUCCACACAUGCUACUAGUUACCAUAUUAGUCUAUCACCAUAAGGGGGUAAAUCAUUCUCGAACAUCGGUUAUUCAACUAAAAUAUUCAUUUACACAAAAGUCACCCUCGCUCUGACUUCUAACUUUGUGACUUCACAUCACCAACUUCUUGGCCAAAUUUCACUACCAAUAGGUCCUGAUAACAACACUUUAACGCAUACUACUAUUCAGGUGGAAAUAUAGUUCCAACAUUCUACUACACAUCAUCCCCCCUUAAUCAAGACAUUUGUAAUAUAAAUUUGAAGGGGACUAAAUGCAAUUAAUACCUCAAGCCGAAAAGCACGAUUCCACCAGGAUCAAUGUUUACAUCGGAAUCAAUACACAUUAAAGUACUAACGAACUCUUCUCAAGUCCUUGCACAGAUUUUAACUCUUAUAUGGUUCAAUUAGAAAGGAACAUACCAUUUAGAUUCUAAACUUCUGCACUUGAAUCACCUCAAUAAUGAGACAUAUCUGAGGACAUUAGAGUAAGGAAAGAAUUUGGGAUGACUUUUUUUUUACUUUCGUAUGGGCGACACCAUAGCACGAAUUAGAGUAUGAAAGAGGAACAUUCUGACUCUAUUGCAUGAAGUAGAACAUGAAGAAAGAGAGACAUUCCUAAACGCCUAGUAUCCUCCUACUUAUGAGUAUGGCGUGCUACACACCCAUAAAUAAGACUCUACCCGAUGCAAUUUCACAGACACCCUAGGCCCAUGAACUGUGCUUUGAUACCAAGUUUGUCAUGACCUGAACUGGGGCUCUGACCGUGACGAGCAUUCCGAACCAUGAAGGCCCGAAACACCCCUAUCUAUCUGGCAAUCAUGCACAUAAUUCAUAUGAUAAUAAGAUAUGUAGAAGAUACACAAUAUUAUGAAAAACAUGGUCAUAAAUCAAAUGAAAUCAACAAAGGGGAAAUGAUGUCCCACAACAUAUAUCGACAUCUGAACAAUCGUCUAUGAAAUCUCUAAAACAUGACUGAAAUAAAUUACUGUCUGAAAACUGGGACAAGGCCCCCAGUAGACCCAAAACUACUAAAUGAUAAAUGAAUUGACAGACAUCAGGCCUUCCAAAAUAUAGAAGUCUCACCACUUGAUUCUGCAAAUCUGUCGGAAGAGAUCUACUGGUUAUUUGGACCCCUAAACUAUGCCUCCAAACCUGGGAGGGAAAGUGUUCAAUACAAAAGUACUAGUACGCAGAGAAACCAAAAACAAAAUAUAAUGUUUUUUCCAAAUAUAGGUGAGAGCUAUUAUAAAGCAGUUCCAUAUCAAAUCAUUUGAAAACACAUGGGCAUAAGUUAGGGUGUGCGUCGCACACCUUAUGGCAUAAGUUAGGGUGUGCGUCGCACACCUUAUGCUGUACGACAUACUCCACUUUGUAAAGCCAUAACUUCUUCCUCGGGUGUCGGAAUUUCGCAAAAUUGGUAUCGUUGGAAAGAUAAUUUGAAUACCUUUCAUUUGAUAUAUAGUAGGCACUGUAAUUCAAUAUAUACAAAGAUUAAUGGUCGAUUGAAGUUAACCUAAGUUUCAACGUUCACUAAAAUUCGAACGAUAGGAAAACUUUCAACUUGUCCUUGAGCUUGGGGACCUUUAUGAUCUCAAUUCAUGCUAAAAUAGGUUUCUACACUACAUAAUUUAUUAACACACUAAACUUGCAUUGGAUUUAUGGCUUUUGGAACCUUUACGUGAAGAAAAUGACGAUUUUCGUUCUCGUCCGAAAUGCGGGGUGUUACAAAAUUUUGUUAGAAAAUGGAAAAUACAACAAUAUGGAGGACAUUUUAGCUGCACCGUACUCCCAAUAUACACCGUCCUCCUAAUACACUAAACUGAACAUUAAAAGUACUAAUGCAUUUCUUACCUGCACCGUACUCCAAAUACACUAAACUGAACAUUAAAAGUACUAAUGCAUUUCUUACCUGUUGGUGUGUAGCAUUCAAAAGUUUUAUUGUCUUUUGUCGGAAGAUAGCCACAACGACGGUUUCAAGAAUGAAGAUUAAACUUAAAAGAUGCCAUGCUCGCUCUGGAGUUCCUGCUACAUGAUACAACAUGACUCUACAAUGUUGAAGCCACUUUCCUAAUCCUUGGAGUCUAAGUUCUUACGAGAAUGAAAUAUGAUUAGGUAACACAUCCUCAACAUUAUUUGAAUUAGUGACAGGAGGGUUACUGUCGCGAUGUUCUCGAUCAGCGUCCAAACUACUUCUCUGCAACAAGGCUAGAAUCUUUGGGUCUAAUCCAUUCUCCUUCAGCAUCACUGCAAAAUUAGGAUCAAGCCCUUUAUCUUGCAAUAAAUUAGCUAAUUCACGAUCAGUGUGUCUUCCUUUCUGCUUUAAUAUAGAUGUAAUCCUGGGAUCACUCAACUUUUCUUGAAAUGCUAGUGCCAAAUUCAAGUCGAGUAUCUGUUGGUUUGCAGAAGUGGAUUUACUAGAAUCACCACCUUGGCUUUCAAGUCCACUGCUAGAACAAACAACCAAUGAAAUAUUAUGCUCUAAAUUUCUAUCAACAUAUGAGGAUCCUACUUCAGGCUCUUGAACAACUGAACGACAGGAACUACUACGUAGAGCUAGACUUGGUCUUCCACUGUCUAUGCUCUUAUCACUAUUAAUCCCCUCAAUGUUAUUCCAGGUACUGCCAUCACCAGUGCAAGGCAUAGUUGCAUUACCAAGAUGACCAGCAUCAGCACUUCUAAUGCGUUUGACACUUGAGCCACACCCCUCAGAAGAGCUUACGGAGCUAUUUUGGUCUUUUCUGCGGAAACCUUCUCUACGGCGGAUAACUAUACUCUGCAAGGCAUCUUGUUAGCUGCUAAUGGGUCUGUAACUGAUAAAUGCUGUGAAACAGCAGCACCCAACAGCACAGAUGCUACAACUACAUAACUGAUACAACAAAAUUGUUGCAAUAAAAGAUUAGAAUAUUUUUUUUUGAUAACAAAAGAUUAGAAGUUUCUAUUCAACAAAUAAUAUUAAAAGGGAUGCAUAUGCCACAAGUAUAAGAAGAUUUGAUUAUGGAAGAAAAUGAAUUAGCAUAGGUUAACAACAAACCAGUAAUGAACUCCAAAACAGACCAGGAACACCCGAGAUGUUCCGACAACAAUAAGUAUGAUGACUCAGCUUUUCAAAAGCUUAAAACCAUACAAGAAAGCUUCCAAGUUCCAAUCUAAUUGAAUGAAAAGAUAGUGAAUUCAUUACUUACCACAAAGAAAUAAGAAAUUAUUUCACAAUACGAGUCAGAAAAGGAGACAGAUAUAUGUAGGAAAUUAACUACCAAGGAUUAUCAUGGCAGCUGAUGUUGUAGCCCCAAGCCAGUUUGAUUCCUUUGUUGUCAGACCAUACAGGAUCGAAUACACAAGAAGUACUACAAGUGAACCAAUAUAUAGAAGUCCAAGAUUGAGAGCCCUGCAGAGCCCAAGUUCAAAGUGAAGAAGAGUAAAUUAUAGACUUCAGAGAAAAUGUUGAAAAGAUAGUGCAGAAAAUAUGAUGAGCAGUAUAAAUGAGAACCCACUGAACACAUAAUAUAACAAGGUGACUUUAUAAUCUAAAGCAGAAUUUAAAUUAAUUUGCUUAGCAGUGAGAUUUUAAGAUCUACUGUUUUUACUGGACUACUGGAGAGUGUGUUUUGUUCUCUCAGAGUUAGUAUUCCUUUUAUUCAAAUAGAUUUGAGUUACACCCAUUGUUUAGCGUUCUUUGGCUCUUAAUUUUAAAAGUCUGUUAGUUGAGAACAUUUUGGCCUAUCUUCAUAUCUUCCAUAUCUUAUAAAAAAAAUUAUGUUCCAUCCAGAAAAAGAGUUGUCAUAUUAGUCAUCCCUGUCCUUUAUAUAGAGCUCUUCCCAUCUUUGUUCAAAUCCCUAGCCAACAAGAAUGAUGUCCCCUUCAAAAAGUAUUACAUCUUACUCUGUCUUUCUAUUGCCUAUAAACAGUCUAGCACAUCAAUGAUGUCUUCUGCUAGAGCUAAUCAUCAUGUUUACACCAAAAAUAAAGAAGUGCUAAACUAUUCAAGUUGAUCUUCUGGACAUCCUCAAAACAACCCUUGUUUCUUUCUGUCCAAACUGUCCACCAUAUACAUGUUGAACAAUUUUCCAUCUCUCCUCCUUUAUUACAUUUACAUCCCCAUUCAUGCUGCUUAGUACUUUUUUAAUGCCACUAGGUUCUACCCACCUGAUCCCCUUCAGGUUGAAAACAUUCUCUACAGUUGCUCUGUCCGUUUCCAAUGUAAGAAAGAUGGUUGAUUAUGUAAAGAAAGGAUCUUGGGCCUAACUCAACCCUAAAAGCUAGCACAUGAGGGGAGGAUUGCUCAAGUCCAUAUAAUAAGACCGACAGUUAACUCCCCAACAAUGUAGGACUUUCACCUACUCUAACACCACCUUCACGCCCAGGCCCAAUAAGAGCGUGGUACGAGAGCUCAAACGUGGAUGGACCUGUUGUUUGAGAAGGAAUAUUAACUGCUGUUUGUAUGCAAGAGAGAAUAGAUAAGAUGUUUUUACUGAAUACAUUGGGUCUAUCAGCACAUACAGGUUCAUGCAUUAUGCCAUUAGGUUUUGCAGCAGUUCCAAUAUUUUCAGCAGCACCACAAGUUGAAUUUUGAUGCACUGCAGUAAGGAAAGAAAACUUAAACAUUAACUUGAGACAACAACACAAGCUUCUCAAAUGCAGGUUCUAGCAAGAACAAAGAUAACAAGCAAAUAGAAGGCAAUGAAGAUAAGGAUAAGUCUAGAUGAGCUUGGGGACAGGCUCCAAACUGAACACAGUGCUCGUUAUUCUUGUUGUAGAUAAGAUCAGACAACUUAUUAUUUUGACGUUAAGAGUUUCUUGUAGAGGAUGCUGAAUCCAUUUUGCAACUUUGGAGGCCUUGUAAAGCACAGAGAGGCUCAUUUUUGUAAAGAAAAUACUGCCCACAUAGUAUCUAUGCUAUCAUUUUUAAAAAAAUAUGGUGCUUGCUGGUUUUACCAAUAUCUUGUAUGCUUGUACCUUCCAAUGCAACCUCCCGGCGAAAAAACUAACCACCAAUAGGCAUCUUUUAGCAUAGAAGAUUCUAAGACUGUCUUACUAGGAAUUAGGUAAGUACAAGUUCUUGAAGGGAAAUUGUUUGCAUCAUUGAAGAUCAGAAAGCCAGGUAUAUAGGAGAUUAGACAUUUUAAAGAAAAAAUAACAGGUUUAAUAUCAGGAAAGACAUCAAAAACUCUUAUUUACAUAUAAAUGAUGGAUCCCAAAUAACUUCAGAAGUUACACACAAAAGGAAAAUGGUACAGAAACCAAUUCCACCUUCAUAAUAACUAUGUCUGCUUGAUGUAAGCAUAAACAUUAUCAAGAAAGACAUCAAAGACUCUCAUUGACAUAUAAAUAAUGGAACACAAAUAACUUCAGAAGUUACACGCAAAAGGAAAAUGGUACAGAAACCAAUUCCACCUUCAUAAUAAUUGUGUCUGCUUGAUAUAAGUAUAAACAUAAAGAACAUACUGACAUACCAAAAAAUUAUCAAAAUGUUCUACAAUGUAGUGCUAAUUUUUUUUGUUUUUUGAAAUUAAACGCAGUGUAUAGUUUAAAAAUGUGCAAACAACAUUUAAUGUGGCACGUGAAGCAUCAGGUACUGGAAGGAAAAUUUAAAACAUGGUGGAGGCAAAUGAAUCAAAUAUACUAAGACAAAGAAGGCAUUUGAUUGCAGAUCAAAUGGAAGAGUCUGCCAACCGACCAGAUUUAGGAGCAGCUCUGGUCCAUGCACCAUUUUGAGGUAAAUUUAUAUGGUUAAAAAUUUGGAUGUUACUUAAUAUAUGCACAAACUGAACAUGAACUGCCCGGUUAGACAAGUGCUUUUUGUAGCUACCCAGUGACAACCUUAGUGAAAGAAUACAUCAAUGAGAAGUUAACUCAGUAAGCUUAAUGAGCUUUCCCCUGUAAGGAAUGAAAGUGUGGAUGACCCGACAUCAAAUAUACGAUUGUUAUUAUACACACAAUCUCUAUACAAUAGCAACAACAUACCCGAUGUAUAUUCGGGCAGAAUAUAUGGAAACCAUACCUCUACCUCAAAGACGAGAAGAAAACGGUAGCACCAAUCCUCACUAAAUACUUCAUAAGAUAAAAAAACAGCCAAUACUUACAAAACCAAAUGAAGCAAAAGAAGUUCAUUUUCUUGAUCACCAGCAAGUAAAAGAAAUGUUUACAAUUGGAGAUUUAAAAAGGUUGCAAAAGAAAGAAGCAAACUUUCUAUUUAACAAGUGUCAAAGUGGGGAAAGAAUAAGAGUAAAACCAAUAAGUAUACGAGAAGUCUGAACACUAUAGUCAAUGAACAAAAUAUGAAUUGUAGUUUGGAAAUUUAGUAUCCAUCACUCCAACAGAGAAUCAGGACUUGCAAGAAGGUUGAAAGGUUUGCCUAUCGAGUUUUUCAAGAUUGUGAUUUGACCCUUUUUCAUAAGAAAGUCUUCAUCGAGGGUGUCUACCUUUCUUUUCAACAUGUUGAUCUCAUAAUUCAACAACAUGUUCAUCUCACUGUAGCUCUUAACUUCCUCCCACAUGAAAUCCCUCUCCUGAAAUACUUUUGGUAGUAUCGCCUUUACAACGCAAAGUUCCUUCAUGCAUUCUUGCAAAUCAUUGGUGAGCUAGUUGAUAUUUUCAUCCCUUUUUAGCACCUGUGAGAAUCAACCGUAAACCAUGAAAAACAAAAAAGACACAAAGAUCACCAAUAACAUUUCAUCAGAAAUUCAAAACAAACUCAUAGCCUAGAAGUUCAACCAAAUCAUGAAUCCUUUUUAACUAUUAAAAUUCAUAGUAGAUAACUCCUGAGCUUGUCCAAGAAUUAAGUAAGAUGAACGAGCAAAGUUACCAAAACCCCUUCGGGUAACUUUACCACAUCAGAGCAUAAUCAGAUCAAUGGAUUUGACGAUAUCACAAAGUUUAUCAUGUUCUUGGUUGGUUCAAGUGAUGACACAUUAAGGCGAUCAGAAAUUUCACAGAAGACUACCACAUGCCAGCAACUCAUGUAUACAAGUUCAUAAAGAAAUCUGUGAACUUUAGAUGGAACAAAGAUGAACCUAAAAUCAAAUAGAAGUAGAAAGCUAAUGCAGAGAGAGUAACAUGCGAACAGGCUAUCAUAUAUGAAGACAGGGUAUCCAAAGUUGAAAAAUAAAAACUAUUCAGUUGCAACGAGAUAUUAACAUUGCCUGCUUACCUGAAGUUUGAGAUAUUUCAACUUGGGUGUGGCAUAAGAAAGAGCAUCCAGUUUAUUUUGCACUUAACAUUGGAGAAUGUCGUUACCUCUAACUGUUAUGGCUAGAUUAGCCUGAAGUUGCUUUAUGUCCAUCUCCUCGGAAUAGAGCUUCUCCCUUAGCACAGUUGUCAGCAAAGUCUCUGAUUUAAGCCCUUUAACCUUUUCCUGGUAGUUUUCUCAGACAUAAUCUCUAUUGUCUUGAGAUACUCGAUAUUCCACUUGUAACUAAGUGAGAUGCUGCCGUAGAUUUUAAUUCUCCUCUGACACUUGCUCUAUUCUCUUAGACAAAUCUUCAAGGUGUUUCUCCGAAAAUGAUAUCUUGAUUCUAUUAUCUACUUCCUUCUCAUUAAAUGAAGAGACUUCCCUUUGUAGAGACACAUUCUGCUCUGCAAGCUCCCUCGCCCUUUCACGGGUCUAUGUUGUUCAAUUUGGUAUUUCUCAAGUUUUAGAGACCAAUUGUUGGAUCUUCUAUCCAACUUCUUUUCCAAUACUGAUUUUAACUCAUUCUUUUCUGUCUCCAAUCUUCGUGUCCGUGAAUCUAGUUCUGCCUGUAAUAUGCUGGCUUCUUGCUUAGCAGAAGCCCUUUCAGCAACUUGAUUCCAUAGCAUGCUUGAAACUUCAGAAGCCAUUUGUACCUUCUCCUUUGUCAAUCUUGUAAUAGUCCGAAUCAAUAAUGGAACGCUAAGGUCUCUGCCAUGAAGAAACAUUUGUUAUUACUUUGGACAAGCAAAUGCAAAUUAAAACAUCAGUUUAAGUGUGAAAAAGGAAGCUAAAGCAAAAUGAUAUGCAUACCGGCUUGAAUCACGACUAGAUUUCUUAGGAUGAACUUUCUUACUGUGACCAUGGGGAGAUUUGCUCAGAUCCAUGAAAUUCUUUUUUCCUAACCCACUGUCAUAGAAGGAUUCGGAUGAUAAUGAAACACUCCUCCAAGAAGAAACUUCCUUGGACUUUAAUGGUGGUGAAGGGGUCUUGUUUUCAUCAUUAGUUGAUGAUCGAAAAAAGAAGAAGUUGUUCUUCAUCAUCUCUAUGUAUGGAGACUGUACAUGAAUCAAACUAGUGUCCAUGAGAUUUCAAAGGGCAAAGCAAAACACUCAUAAAUAGCCACUCACAAAUCAUUAUCCAUUCAUGAAAAUACUGCAAGCUAACUAAAUACUUAUGAGACAAAGCAAAACAUCUCUCUUUCUACAUGCUUCUUCUUCAACAACAACAUACGUAACCCCUACCUUGGCAAGUAGAAAAUUUGUUUCUCAUAAAUCCUCGGCAAGGAAAGCAAAANNNNNNNNNNNNNNNNNNNNNNNNNNNNNNNNNNNNNNNNNNNNNNNNNNNNNNNNNNNNNAUACAACAAGUAGAAAAGAAAAAUAUAUACUAAUACUACUACCAGAAGAGAUAUGACGUGAAACUAUUUACUAAUAGUCUUCUACUGAAAAUUAAUAAAAUACCCCAUAAACAAAUAGCACAAGAACAAUUCAAAGAACUUAUCAAAUCCUUCUGAUAAAACAAAUAAUCAUGGUAAAUAAUCAAAAAAUAAGAGAAAUUACUGAAUCAAAGAGUUGAAAGAGUAAGAGCCGGCAAAAUGUUGUCAUAAUUUGUACGAUUCUUGUCAUUUUUUCUUGAAAUGUAAAAAUAGCAAAAGACUAGAAUUCUGUGUCUUUCAUUCAUCAUCGUACAAUGCAUAUAUACAACUAACAAGGAUCUGUAAAUUUCAAGUAAUAUUUACAAGGAUCUGUAAAAUUCAAGUAAAUAUUUACAAGGAUCUGUAUAUGGCAAGUGAAUAUUUACAAGGAUCCAGAAAUAUGGCAAGUGAAUAUUUAUAUACUCAUAAUGAAAAACUUAAGAAAUACCUAUGAGAGAGAGAAGAAAAGUGUAACAAAUAUUUUGUGUUAUUCAAUAGCUAUAAAUAGCCAUAUGAGAUCAAAUUUUCCAUAUAAUAGAAAUAAAAUUAAAACUAUAAAUUAAAUUUUUCAAAUUAGCACACAAAUUAACUUAAAUUAUGAAAUUUAAGAUAUUUAUUUUUUCAAAAUUUAACUUUUUCAUAUAAACAUCACUGAAUUGAUAUAAACAAUAUUUUGAAAUGUGAUAAAUUAAUUAAAUAACCCAAAAAUAUUGUAAUAUUGUAUUUNNNNNNNNNNNNNNNNNNNNNNNNNNNNNNNNNNNNNNNNNNNNNNNNNNNNNNNNNNNNNNNNNNNNNNNNNNNNNNNNACUUACCAUUUAAAAAUUGUUUCAUUUGAAUUAAUAAGAUCAUAGUAGAUUGUACAAAAUCAGUUAAUAAAUGAUAUAUAUUUCAAUUAAAUAAAUAAAGUACAAUAUAAUUGUAAUAAGAAUACACAAUCAACUAAUUAAUUUCACUUAAUUAGAUUAAAUUUUAUGAUCAUAAUAUAUAGACUAAAGUUCCUUAAAUUUAAUGUUGUAAAUUUCAAAAUAUAUUUAUGGCUNNNNNNNNNNNNNNNNNNNNNNNNNNNNNNNNNNNNNNNNNNNNNNNNNNNNNNNNNNNNNNNNNNNNNNNNNNNNNNNNNNNNNNNNNNNNNNNNNNNNNNNNNNNNNNNNNNNNNNNNNNNNNNNNNNNNNNNNNNNNNNNNNNNNNNNNNNNNNNNNNNNNNNNNNNNNNNNNNNNNNNNNNNNNNNNNNNNNNNNNNNNNNNNNNNNNNNNNNNNNNNNNNNNNNNNNNNNNNNNNNNNNNNNNNNNNNNNNNNNNNNNNNNNNNNNNNNNNNNNNNNNNNNNNNNNNNNNNNNNNNNNNNNNNNNNNNNNNNNNNNNNNNNNNNNNNNNNNNNNNNNNNNNNNNNNNNNNNNNNNNNNNNNNNNNNNNNNNNNNNNNNNNNNNNNNNNNNNNNNNNNNNNNNNNNNNNNNNNNNNNNNNNNNNNNNNNNNNNNNNNNNNNNNNNNNNNNNNNNNNNNNNNNNNNNNNNNNNNNNNNNNNNNNNNNNNNNNNNNNNNNNNNNNNNNNNNNNNNNNNNNNNNNNNNNNNNNNNNNNNNNNNNNNNNNNNNNNNNNNNNNNNNNNNNNNNNNNNNNNNNNNNNNNNNNNNNNNNNNNNNNNNNNNNNNNNNNNNNNNNNNNNNNNNNNNNNNNNNNNNNNNNNNNNNNNNNNNNNNNNNNNNNNNNNNNNNNNNNNNNNNNNNNNNNNNNNNNNNNNNNNNNNNNNNNNNNNNNNNNNNNNNNNNNNNNNNNNNNNNNNNNNNNNNNNNNNNNNNNNNNNNNNNNNNNNNNNNNNNNNNNNNNNNNNNNNNNNNNNNNNNNNNNNNNNNNNNNNNNNNNNNNNNNNNNNNNNNNNNNNNNNNNNNNNNNNNNNNNNNNNNNNNNNNNNNNNNNNNNNNNNNNNNNNNNNNNNNNNNNNNNNNNNNNNNNNNNNNNNNNNNNNNNNNNNNNNNNNNNNNNNNNNNNNNNNNNNNNNNNNNNNNNNNNNNNUAUUUAUUUACCAUAAAUCUGUCCUAAUUUUAUAUCUUGAUUGUAGUUAAUUAAUCUACAAUUACAUAAAGGUCUCAAAUAUGAAAACAAUUGAUAUUAAUUACCUUUAUAAUUUUGGCAAUUCAAUCCCAUGAAUUUCUCAUGUUUUUUAUAGAUUGAUUAUAUUAAAUUUAUUUCAAUUACCUUUUUAAUUUUGGUAAGAAUUUAAAAAAGGUAACGAUUAUUUUUUUUCCUAAUUACUGAUUUAUUUCUCAAAAAGUUCUUAUAAAUUCAUAAUUUGAUUAUAGUCAAUUGAUUAUUUAAUUAUCUUUAUAAUUUGCUAAAAGCUCAAAUAAGGUAACAAUUAUUUUUUUCUAAAUUAUGGAUUUUCUUAUAUUCAAUCUUUUAUUGUUUUACUAUAAUAGUUCAAAUUUAAUUGUUUUGAGGGAUGACAACUUUUUGUGUCUAAAUCUUUUUUAAUACAUAGGAAAUGCUAAAGGCAUACAAUAAUCUCCUUUCUUUUUAUAAUCCAAACUUACCAUUUACAAAUUAUUUCAUUUGAAUUAAUAAGAUCAUAGUAGCUUGUACAAAAUCAAUUAAUUAAUUAUAUGUAUUUUGAUAUAAAAAAAAAUGAUGUACGACAUAAUUGUAAUAAAAUUACACAAUCAACGAAUUAAUUUCAAUUAAUUAGAAUCAAUUUUAUAAUCAUAAUAUAUAGACUCAAGUUCCUUANNNNNNNNNNNNNNNNNNNNNNNNNNNNNNNNNNNNNNNNNNNNNNNNNNNNNNNNNNNNNNNNNNNNNNNNNNNNNNNNNNNNNNNNNNNNNNNNNNNNNNNNNNNNNNNNNNNNNNNNNNNNNNNNNNNNNNNNNNNNNNNNNNNNNNNNNNNNNNNNNNNNNNNNNNNNNNNNNNNNNNNNNNNNNNNNNNNNNNNNNNNNNNNNNNNNNNNNNNNNNNNNNNNNNNNNNNNNNNNNNNNNNNNNNNNNNNNNNNNNNNNNNNNNNNNNNNNNNNNNNNNNNNNNNNNNNNNNNNNNNNNNNNNNNNNNNNNNNNNNNNNNNNNNNNNNNNNNNNNNNNNNNNNNNNNNNNNNNNNNNNNNNNNNNNNNNNNNNNNNNNNNNNNNNNNNNNNNNNNNNNNNNNNNNCAUGAAUUUCACAUAUUCUUAUAGUUUGGUUAUAUCAAAUUUAUAUUAAUUACCUUUAUAAUUUUGGGAAGAAUUUUAAAAAGGUAACAAUUAGUUUUUUUUUCCAAUUACUGAUUUAUUUCUCAAAAAUUUCUUAUCAAUUUACAAUUUGAUCAUUUAAUUAUCUUUACAAUUAGCUAAAAGCUCAAAUAAGGUGACAAUUAUUUCUUUUCUUAGUUACGGAUUUUCUUAUAUUCAAUCUUUCAUUGUUUCACUAAAAUAGUUCAAAUUUAAUUGUUUUGAGGCAUGACAUCUUUUUGUCUAUAAAUCUUUUUUAAUACAUAAGAAAUGCUAAAGUCAUACAAUAAUCACCUUUAUUUUUAUAAUCCAAACUUAUCAUUUAAAAAUCAUUUCAUUUGAAUUAAUAAAAUCAUAGUAUAUUGCACAAAAUCAAUAAAUUAAUUAUAUGUAUUUUUAUUAAAUAAAUUAUAUACGAAAUUGUUGUGAUAAAACUAUACAAUCAAGUAAUUAAUUUCAAUUAAUUAGAAUCAAUUUUAUGAUCAUAAUAUAUAGACUCAAGUUCCUUAAAUUUAAUGUUGUAUGUAAAUUUUAAAAUAUAUUUAUAGCUAAAGUAAUAGUCAACGUUCGUUGUUUUUUUUACCAAUAUAUGCAUAUCAAUUACGAAUCUUUCCAUAUAUUUUAUUAUUAAAGUAGUUGUCAAUAUUAACUAAUUUCUAGUUCAAUUUAAUCUAAUUAAUUUGAUAGCAAUAAAAUUAUUAUUAAUAUUAUAUAUUUAUUUACCAUAAGUCUGUCCUAAUUUUGUAGCUUGAUUAUAUUUAAUUAAUCUACAAUUGUAUAAAGGGCUCAAAUAUGAAAAUAAUUGAUAUUAAUUACCUUCAUAAUUUUGGAAAUUCAAUCCCAUGAAUAUCUCAUUUUUUUAUAGAUUGAUUACAUUAAAUUGAUAUCAAUUACCUUUUCAAUUUUGGAAAGAAUUUUAAAAAGGUAACAAUUAUUUAUUUUCCUAAUUACUAAUUUAUUUUUCAAAUAUUUCUUAUAAAUUUAUAAUUUAAUUAUAGUCAAUUAAUUAUUAUUAUCUUUAUAAUUUGCUAAAAACUCAAAUAAGGUAACAAUUAUUUUUUUCCUAAUUACGGAUUUUCUUAUAUUCAUUCAUUUAUUUGUUUACAAAAAUAGGUCAAACUUAAUUAUUUUGAGGGAUGACACCUUUUUUUAAUAUUUUUUAUUCAAAAUGAUUGCAAUAUUUUCUAUAUAAAUUGAUCCGUUACUAUUUAUUAAUUGGUUAUUCUCUUAAAUAAUUUUUUCUUGUAAUAUUUCUUUUAAUCAAUUGUAAUGAAAUAAUUCAUAUUUAUUUUCUUAUAAUACUAUCAUUAAAAACAUAUGAAAUGUAAUUUAUUAAAUUCUUAGUUUUAGGCUAGACUAUCCUCCUUUAUUAUAUAGAUAGAUAAUUUCAACAAAAUUAAUUAGAGUAUUUUCUUAUAAAAAUAAUAUAAAAUUUUAUUUUAUAAAAAUAAUAUAAAAUAUGGUAUAUUAAUAAUAUUUGCAUUAAUUAUGUUUCUAUUUUCUUACAUAUUAUUUGAUUCUACGCAUUAAAAAUAACAUUGAAUCAAUGGUGAAAGUGGAGGGACUUCUUUCUUUAUUGGGGUUUUUCUUUUUGGGAAAGCUGACACUUUCUUGACUACCAACCACCCAACACAAAGCUGACACUUCUUGGUAGAUUGGCUAUUUUUUCAUACGGUACUAAUUUAUAUGCAUUUUCUUUGAUAUUUGUUAUAUUGUUAGUUUUAUUUUGCGUAUCGUAUUAGUUUAUAUGCAUUUAUUUUUUAUGUUUGGUAUGUUAUUAUGAUCCUAAGCUAGGAGUCUAUCGGAAACAUCCUCUCUACUUCACCUGAGUACUGAUAUGAUCUACAUAUACUAACCUCCCCAGACCCCACUAUCUGGAAAUACACUGAUUUUUGUUAUUGCUGUUGUUGUUUCUUAUACAGUAUUUGAUUCAAAGUAUUAAAAAUAACACGAAUUACAUAAUUUUUUUUUACAUAAUACCCCAACUUUAAGCAUGUUAAUGCAUGCAUUAGAUCCAUUGUAUUACUAAUGUCAUAAAUUUUGAAGUAUUAGUAAUACACGCCUCAAUACACAAUAGAGUAUAUUACUAAUUUUUGCAUUAGUUAUACAUAAGAUAAAAAGAUAUAUAUCAAACAAGGGACUACUAAUACACAUUAAAUUAAUGGAUGCAUUAAUUUUUACGUAAUACAUUCCAUGCUUUAUCACAGAUUUGAUUCCUUGUCUUAAGCUGGGAGUCUAUCGGAAAUAGCCUUUCUACUUCUUCGGAGGUAGUGAUAUGAACUACGUACAUCUUACCCUCUUUAGACCCCACUAUGUGGAAAUACACUGAAUUUAUUGUUGUUGUUGUUAUUAAUUUUUGAAUACACUCUAUCAAAAGACUCUAUGCUUCUCAUUUAAUUAUACCUUUAGCUCCUUUUUAAUUAUGAUAAUUGCUCUCUGACUCCACCUUGCUUUUUAAAAAUAUAAAUAAAUAGCAAUGAAUUUAAUUUUGCUCAUUACUCUACUAAUUGUAGUAAUGUUAGGUGAAUUCAUCAACUUAAAAUUAGAGUACAUUCACUCAAGCUACAUGUUAUAGAUAUAGUUCAAAAAAGGAAUUAUACGUUUGACAUAAUACAUAAAUGUGUUUUCAACUUGACAUCAUUAGCAAAUAUUUAUAUAUUUUAAUUUUGAAUGUUGCACAAAUAAAUACUUCGACUAUCAUAUAAAGUUAAAAUAAAUAUAUAUAUAUGUGAGUCUUGUAUCGCAAUUUGUCAUGCAAAAUGUGUGCAUCUCAUACAAUUUGUCAAGUAAUUAAAGCGUUUGUGUCUAGGGGAGUGCAUCGGUCGGUUCGGUUGGGUUUUACAUAUUAUCAUUAGAUUUAUCGAUUUUCGGUUUUUAAAUAUGCUAAACCAAUAACCAAACCAAUAAAAUAUUUUUUUUUGGUUCUUAGUCCUUAACGAUUUGGUUUUGGGUUUAACCGAUAAGAAAAUACUCAUAAAAUAGAAAUAGUAGUAACUAACAUGUAAAAAAUGAAUCUUAGUUGCAACAAAAAUCCUACAUGAAGUGUUUGAAUUUACAAAAAUCUUCAAGUUUGAACUAAAUGUUGUUAGGAGAAAUUCAGAGUUUAUAUAAUUGAAAUAACAGGUUUGUUAAUUUGUAGAAAUAAAAUAUAAAUAUAUAAUAAUUCAUAUUAUAUAUGUAUAUGCAUAUGUUUUGAAAAGGUGUUAAUUUGAGAGCAUGAAUUAUAUGGAAUCCCUCUCUUGAUGUGAAUUUGUUUUAAAUGUUCAUAUGAUGUAAAUUGUUUGAAAACAUCUUGAAAAGCAUGACAUGAAAUGUUUUGAGAAUUUAUAUGAUUUUGACUUGAAAACUAGAGGGCUAUUUGUGUUGAAACAUGUUGAAUACAAUGGUUGAAUGAGAAGAAUGAUGUGAUAUUGAUGGCUUGGAAGUCGGUUAUGAUGAUACCCUACAGAAUAUGAUUUGUGAUUAAAUCGGAUGAAAUUUGAAUGCAUUGAUUUUACAUGAGAUAGGUGGAUAUCCGAAGAAGGCAUUUGAGUAUAAGGGCUCAUCGCUAGAAAUCGUGUUUGCCGACAUGGGAAUUUGGUACCCUGCUUUGUGAUCUUGCGUACCUGACUUUAUGUCAUUCCCAAUUUGGGACUAUGGUUAGGAGCCCUGCUUUGUGAUCUUGUGCACUACCAUUGGGUCGAGAUAUCCUGUUGUGUGAUCUUGUGUGUCUUCCCCUCACUUAUACUCUAAUCUUGGCGGCAACCGAGGUUUGACAGUUGGUGUAAAUAUGAUAUGUAGGGUAUUCCACCUAGCUCAGCAGGAUUAUAUUGUUGUUGAAAACAAUUAUAUUAUGCCCAUGUGUUUUCAAAUGAUUUGAUAUGAAACUGCUUUAUAAUGGCUCUCAACUAUAUUUUGUAAAACUAUUAUGUUUUGUUUUGAUAUCUCUGCGUACCAGUACUUCUGAAUUGAACCCCUUUCCUCCCGGGUACAAAGGCACAGUCUAGGGGUCCAGAAAAUCAGUAGAUUCCUCAAACAGAUUUACAGAGUCACUUGGUGAGCCUUCUAUUUUUUGGAAGGCCUGAUAUUUGGAUCUACUGGAGGCCUUGUCCCAGUUUUCAAAUAGAUAUUUAUUUCAGUCAUGUAGUAGAGAUUUCACAAACGUUAUAGAGAUGUUGUGUUGAGAUUGUGGGACAUUAUUCCCCGUUAUUGAUUCAUAUGAUUCUUGACCAUGUUUCCAUAAUAUUGUUUGUCUUCCAUAUUUCUUUUAUCAUAUGAGUUAUGUGCAUGAUUAUCAGACAAAUAGGGGUGUUUCGGGCCUUUAUGGUUCGGAAUGCUCGUCACGGACAGGGCCCCAAUUUGGGUCGUGACAAACUUGGUAUCAGAGCAAGGUUCAUGGUCCCAGGGUGUCUACAAAAUCAUAUCGGGUAGAGUCUUAUUUAUGGGUGUGUAGCGUGCCACACUUAUAAGUAGGAGGCUCCUAAGCAUUUAGGAAUGUCUCUCUUUCUUCAUGUUCCAGUUCGUGCAAUAGAGUCAAAAUGUUCCUCUUUCAUACUGUCAUUCAUGCUAUGGUGUCGCUCAUAUGAAGGUAAAGUCAUACCAAAUUCUUUCCUUACUCUGAUGUUCUCAGACAUGUCCCAUUAUUGGGGUGAUUCAAGUGCAAAAAGUUUAGAAUCUACAUGAUAUAGUCUUUUUCGAUUGUGUCAUAUAAGAAAAAAAAUUGUGCAAAGACUCGAGAGGAGUCUGUUGGUGCUUCAAUAUGUGUUGAUUCUGAUAUAAACAUUGAUCCUGAUGGAAUCGUGCUUUCUAGCUUAUGGUAUUAAGUGCAUCUAGUCCCUCCCAAAAUUCUUGAUACAGAUGUGGACGGUGUAUAGCAGAAUGUUGGAACUAUAUUUCCACCCAAAUAGUAGCAUAAGUUAAAGUGUUGUUGUCAUGACCUAUUGGUAAUGAAAUUAGACCAAGAAUUUAGUGAUGUGAAGUCACAAAGUUAGAAGUCAGAGUGAGGGUGAUUUUUGGUGUAAAUGAAUAUUUCAGUUGAAUAACCAAUAUUUGAGGAUGAUUUACCCCUUUAUAGUGAUAAACUAACGUGGUAGCUAGUAGCACGUGUGGAUGGUAUGGUAGUCCAUGGGGAAGUAUUUUACUCAAAUUUUAAUUUAUAAAGAGUAAGAUGUGUAUUCUUAGACCAUUAAAUAUUGUGUCAAUUUCCUAUCUCUUGUAAUAUGUAAUCUUGUUAUCAUGGUAUUUUUGAAAUAAAUUUUAAAGUCUAGUGAAGCCGUGUGGGGCUCUUUCGAUUCACUAGCAUAGUUGCCUUGUCAUCCAUCUCAUUUUCUUGUUCAAAAUACCAAACCAAAGUCUAGUGAAGCCGUGUGAGGCCUAUUUCAAUUCACUAGCAACUUGUUGUCCAACUUGUUGUUCUUUUGUUGGUUUAAUAUAUGUAUGGCUGAAUCUGUUUGCAUGAGAUGGAGUUGGUAAAGAGGUGAUUCAUCCUUGUGAGUUAGUUUAGUAUAAGGUAGAGAAGGAGUUGUUAGUCAGGGUGAUUUGUUGGUUUCUUGAAUGUGAAAAAUGGCUAUAUUAGCGAGUAAGUUAUGAUCAUAGACUCAUGGUUGUUUGAGGAAUUUGAAGGCAGUCUAAAUGUAUGCUUGAGAAAGUAAGUAUGAGGUCAGAAAUCCGCAUAAGUAGAUAAGAUCUUAUGGGGUUAUAAUAUCAGUUAAGGUUGAUCAUGUCUAUUAUGUGACCUUACUCCUUGACUUUUUUCGUUGGUAGUUGUAAACUAGUACUACUUAUGAGAAGGUAUGUAGCAAAUUAUGAGGUAUUUGGAUAGUACUAUAUGACUGGCAGAGACUUUUCAAAGAUUUGCAGGAGUUCUCGAAACUAUUUUCUAAAAAAUUAAGAGUACUUUGAAAAAAAUCUAUAUAAAUCUUUUACUUAGUGAUUGCCUAGACAUCAAUUAGGAUGGGGAGUCAGGGGUGGAAGUCCCAACAUGAUGAAAUACCUAAAAGAUGGCAAGGGCAAAUCAAGGAUCGUAGGAGGUCAACACGGAGUAGUUUCUUUCAAACUAAUCAUUUUUUGUGGCUGCAGGGAUUGAUACACAAAAUGAGCGUUUCUUUCGAAAAAUCCCCAAGCAAGUCGGGAGCCAUGACAGAGCAUAUAAGGCUUAGUAACGGUACCUUUGGUAGCCCAAAAACCGGCUCAACACCCAUUUAUUGACGACCUUUCGAAUUGUCCAUCUCAUUUCUUGAGACCAUGGAGGACAAACAAAGUGUCUUGUCUUUUUUACAAAUAUUGUAUUUAGAAUUUUUCUAAAAAAAAAAAUAGUCGCUAGCAAAAGCGACUUUGUGUCUACUAAUCGUCUACCUUGAGUACGGGUACAUGCAGAAAGCAAGACCCUGACAAAUGAUUUCAGGAGAAACUAUUUUUAAUUUAUCGGAAGAACCAUUGCAUGUCAUUGCCAAGAGGGCCAUUACAUAUCAUCGUCAUUCAAUAUCUGUUGGCGUGCUAGACACAAUGCUAGCAUCGAGGAUAUCAUUAGCAUUCAAUAUAUCCAUUGACAUGCAAGACACAACACUGGCGUCGAGGAUAUCAUCAUCAUAUAAUAUCUAUUAACGCGCUAGACACAACGCAGGCAUUGAGGAUAUCAUCAACAUUCAAUAUAUCUGUUGACACGCAAGACACAAUGCUAGCGUCGAGAAUAUUAUCAUCAUUCAAUAUCUAUUGACGAUCUAGAUACAACGCUGGCGUCGAGGAUAUUAUCAGCAUUCAAUAUAUCUGUUGACACGCAAGACACAAUGCUGGCGUCGAAGAUAUCAUCAUCAUUCAAUAUAUGUUGACGCGCUAGACACAACGCUAGCGUCGAGGAUAUCAUCAUUAAUAUAUAACUAUUGACACGUAAGACACAACACUGGCAUUGAGGAUACCAUCAUGAUGCAAUAGCUGUUGACAUGCAAGACAUAACUCUGGCGUCGAGGCUAUCAUCAUCAUGCAAUAUUUGUUGACGCGGAAGACACAAUGCUAGUGUCGAGGAUAUCAUCAGCAUUCAAUAUAUCUGUUGACACGUAAGACACAACACUGGCAUCGAGGAUAUCAUCAUCAUUCAAUAUAUCUGUUGAUACGUAAGACACAACGUUGGCGUCGAGGAUAUCAUCAUCAUUUUAUUUCUGUUGACAUGCAAGACAUAAACACUAGCGUCGAGGAUAUCUUAUCAUUUUAUGAAUCAGCAUCCGAAUGCAUCAAGAGCACAUGAUUUGAAGGGACGCCUUUAAGUCGCUAUCUAAGGAUGAAUGAUAUAUAAGAUUUCCUAGAAAUUUACAAUUUGAGGGUCAUCUAUAAGUUAUAUUAUUUGAAAUAUGAUAGUGUACAAGAUCACCUAUGAGUUGAUAGCCGGUAGGUCAUCCGUAAGCCACAACAAAAUUCUAACCGGAUAGUGUGCAAGAUCGCCCAAAAAUUGAUAGUUCAAAGGUUAUCCAUAAGUCGCAACUAAAUCCUUACCAGAGAAUAUGCAAGAUUAUCAAAUGGAUACAUCCAAGGGUUCUCUAUAAGCCGUGUCAUAUCCAAGUUCGAUUAUAUGCAGGAUUACCCAAAGACUAACAAUUUGAGGGAUUAUCUAUAAGUCAUAUUAUAUCCUAGGUCGGAUGAUGUGCAGGAACACCUGAAAUCUAGCGAUUGGAGGGAUAUAUGUAAGCCAUCUCUUAUUUAAAGUCGGACAAUGUGCAGGAUUACCUAAAAGCUAGAAAUCAAAAGGAUAUCUGUAAGUCGCCUCGUAUCCAACAUCAAAUAAUGUGUAAGAUUAUCUAAAGAUUGAUAAUUUAAAGGAAAUUUAUAAAUCGAUCAUCGGCUAUAACUGGAGAGGUUAUCAUUCCACAUGCAACAAAUGAUAUAGGUACCCAAAGGGUUGCCACACCAGCACGCCAUUGUCCAAAAGGGCCACCCACUUUGAAGACAUAUUCAACCGACAAAUGUCAUAAUUAUACAACAACCAAGAGGGUUGUUGUGUUUGGUAUUGUCGGUUAUUUCAUUCCAAACAGGUACAUGAAGAGAUGACUCCACUUUUCAGGCCACAACUCACGUGGAGAUAUGGUAAAAGACUGCAUGCCUCUUUCGUGAAUUAUGUUUAGCACUAAAAAUUUUUGCUUGAAGCAUUGUCGAGGGCAUCCGUGAGGAUGAAAAUCUUAAAUCAAAACCACAGGUACGGAUGACUUCAAAUAGGAUGCAAUACCCGAAUCCAACCCGUUUUCUUUUUCCUCGUUAUGAUCACGCACGUUCCACAUGAAUCCAUACGAGAAGAUGCUAAGAAUAUUCUAGAAACACACUUAGGUGUCUCAUCCAACGUUCAAAUCUCAAAAUUCUCGCAUAGAGGUUUACGAAUUCGUACAUAGGUGGAGUAUUUUCAUUGGCUUGUGAAGAUUAUUCCCUUUCCACCAAUUUCUAUUGGCCACUUUUUGGAAUUCCGUUCAAGAAAAUCAAAAUAGAGGUAUAGUUUGUUAGGGUCCAGAUCUUUUUAAUUUAAAAAAUGAACCCUCAAUCCCCUUCUAUAAGUAGCUCUCUUUAGAGCAAGAAAAAGGGAUUUUUUAGGGGAUUUUGGAAUUUUUUUUCACUGGCAACUCCUUUCCUUUGUGGGUUUUCCUCUUCUUUCUCUUUGGAGUUUGAAAUUUUAGAAGCAAAAGGGGUUCAAAAGUUUUUAUUUGAAAAUUUGGGGUUAGAGAAAAUAUUCAAAAAUUCAGAAAUACACAAAAAAAAGAGGGUUAGAAAGGGGGGCUCUCAGAGGGAAAAAAUAUUCUCUUUACGCCCAAGAAACAUACAUUUUUAGGAGGUGCGUCUGAACUGUCGAAGCAGUUGUGAGUUUUUCGGUGGUUGGAAUCCUAUCGUCAGCUCGUUAUACCAUUUUGCUGCCCCGAAAGAGGUAAAUACACCUUUCUUUUUAAUUUUGUUGUGGUUAUCAUUUUCUUCUUCGUGGUUCCACUUCUGUUUGCUGGGAAUGACUGCUGUAGAGGCCUGAAAGGCAUAGGAUUUUCAUUUUUGAUAUAUUGUUCUACUAAAAAACUCAUUCUUGAUCAUGUUUGAUUGGUUGUCGUUCAUUCUUAAUCUCUCUCAUUUUAUUCUGUCUGAAUGUUACUAGUUAGCUUUAAUGCUUCAACUUUAGAAACUAUUUUACUGGUCUCAUAUUUGUUGUUGCUUUGUAGUUCAUAGAGUAGGAGAGUAACAUAUUUACGUAUUUUCGAAAUUCGAAAAAAUGUUCAAAGAAUAGAUAUUAGGCAGCCUGUUUGCAUAUCUUUUUCGCUCAGACGUAGGAAAUUGUUAUAAAUAAGAACUCCAAUGUUAUUUUCUACCGACUUGCCACUCUCGAUGUACGAUAGUCUCAUUUGAUUCUAAAGUUUAUUUUAAAAUAUGAGAGUGGACCAUAGGUCUGAAUUAUGUUUUCUUCAUGGCUAAUUCAAUUUGCUGUAAUUGACUCAUGAGAACAAAUUAAAGUUUGACGGGCUAAUGUUUCUUUCCUUUCUUGCUUUUCUUGUUCGGAUAUAAGCUGUGGCAUCUUGUCUUAUGAUUAAAUUACCUAAAAUUAGGUUUAUGUAGUGUUAGAAUCUCAUUUGUUUGUUAACCCAGUGGUAACGAAGGUAUUAAGAUUUCAGCCUUGCUUUUCUUGAAGUUUCAGCUAUCGUAUUCCUUGCCUAAAGUGAUUAAGUCUUUAAUUUUGUAUGUUUGGCAUUCUGGAAUUUGAAAGUUGCUUGUGAUCUAUCGUUUAUGUAGUAUGAUCUAGGAUUUGUAACUCUUUUUUGUGACAUGCUUAAUUGGGUCCUUUUGUGGCAUUAAAGUGAUAAAUUAUUUUCUUUAUUUUGCUAAAGACCAUAAGAAUUUCUUGUUGAAGCUUUAUUUCCUCCUGUAGUUGAAAUUUCUUUAAUUGAUUAUUAACAUUUUCUUCAAACAUAAUAGACUUUUUAUCCUAUGGCAUUUUUACCUGUGUAUGAGUGUAUUUGAAUGAAGAAGGAAUGCUAUAGCUUAUUAUAUGUUAAAAUCUUGGACGUAUGUUAAUUUCUUCAUUCCUUUCUUUACAUGUUCAUUCCUUUCUUUACAUGCACCCCCUUUGGAGUUCAAAUGGACCCCUUCUCUCUUUGCAUUUCAUAAAUGGGCCAAUGAGGCCUAUCCUUCUGAGUUAAACCCAAAAGAAAAUCCAAGAAUCCAUCACAUGGCGUAUGGAUACAAGGAAUCGAAAUAAGAAUGGGUUAAAGUUCAAUCUUUGAAGCGGCAAAGGGGACUUGAAAAUCUCGUUAUUUCUUAUUUAUUGAUUUAUUUAUCCAUUGUUUUCAUUAUUUAUUUAUUUAUUUACUUAUUUAUAUUUUUUUUUAUUUAGUGACUUAUUUAUUUAUUCAUUCGGGCCUCGAAGCCAAAGUUGUAAAUUUAAAACAGGUGGAGCGAGACUCGAGCUGAAAAGGGCUCAAAAACAUAAAAUUAAGACAGGUGAAAGAUGGGUCAAAAACCUAACUAGAUUAGGACAGGAUCGACUGUUUGGGCUUGAAAGCCUAAAUCACUACUUCCCCCCUUUCCCUUUUUUCUAUUUGCUUACUUGUUUUACGUGUGUUUUGCGAACCUAGUAAAAUCCUUAGUCAAGUCGCUAAAAAAAUUGGUUUUGCAUAAACACCAAAAUAUUCCUAAAAUUGCUUUUCUUUUCAAAAAAUACACUUUUUCAAAGUUAAUCAAAAGAUGAUUUUCAAACAGUCCGGAUAACCGCAAGUUAGCGGACAUUUUAGGUGCCUAAUACCUUCCUAAAACGUUAAUAGGAACCGCUUAUCUUGAAUCUCUAACUUAAAACGAUUUUUUUGUUUUGAAUCGUUUGCAGUAACUCUCUAAAGGUUUCUUAUUUCCUUUUCAAAAUUAAGUGGCGACUCUCAAAAAGUCAAAAUUUCCACAAAAAAAUAUCAACCACAAUCACAUCCACACAUCUACUACCCCCACCCGAAAGUAGUAGAAGAAUAAGGGUUUGUAGUAAUUCAAGUACCUUAUCCUCUUGACGCUUGCACUUCUUCUCUUUUAGUUCAUUAACAAAUUUGUUAAAUAUUUCAAGCAGCAAGCCCUCACCACCCAUUAUUCUGUAAAAUAAUAACAGCAAAGAAAUUCACAUUCAAUGUUACGGCAUAAUGAGAAUCAUGAGAUUAUGAAUAAAAAAGUAAAAAUCCAGAGCAUUUCAUUUUAUAGACAAAGAGGCUAGACAAAUUGAAACUAGAGAUUUAGCAGCAUACUUCAUCAGAACCGUGAAACAAUCACAAAUGCCAGCAAUUAAAAAACUAAAACAAUCACAAAUGUCAGAAAUUUAAAAAACUAACUGCUAGAGCUAUUAAACGCCCAGUGUUGGAACAACUAAUAAUUGACAUCAACCAAUUUCUAGAGGGAUAAGUUCAACAUUAAAAAUCACUUAGCAAAAUGGUAAUUCAUGCUAAUACUAUAAAGAAAUAGCCUACCUAAAUGUUGAGGAAUAUAAAACAACAAAUCAUUCAACACAGCUAUUAUUCUAAGGUACAUUCUAGAACUAUGUGAAUUGCUGAGUUUAGAAUAUUGAAGGAGUUGGUCCUUGAAAAUAAUAUCAAUUAUCAUUCUCCAAUAGUCCUUGCAAUCGUGUUACGAAUUCUAGAUCAAUAAAAGCAAAAGAAGCUACUUGCCUAUCUCUGAAGAGGGAUUUCCAGUCCUCCCAUUUCGACGAUGCAGUAAUUUCCUGCAACCAUAGCAAACAAAUAGAUUAUGGUUUAAAGGAAAUAUCAUGGGAUCCCAUCCAUUGCAAUGUGAGAGAUUGUGAACUGUUUUCUAUAUCUUUGAUGCAUGAAGGAGUUCAUAGAACUCAUCUGCUAGACGUUUACGCUUUUUAGCUUCUUUUUCUUCUUUCUCCCUGGCCCUUUCCAGUAACUCCUCAAAGACAAACUAUGCAGAUGAAAUAUGCACAUUCAAUACUCAAUGACUCGACAAGCCCAAACGCGUAGAACAUAAAGUUUAUAAAGGAAGUAUGGAAUAAGAUUCAGUAUAAUCCAUGUAUGUCCUCUUAUUCCUUCGUUUGAAAGGCAAGGGUGAUAUAAUGUAAGACUAUUAUUACCAUCUUUUGGAGUAACUCCUCGCAUUAUAAUAUUUGAUAAAAUGCUUUAAAAUAGUUUUGAGCUAUUGAAAGUAAACUAAAAGCCUUAAGAGACCCAACCGUCUAAGCAUAAUUCUUCGACAAGAUACCCCUUGCAAUUCCCUCUUCCCACAUACAUAGAUUAUACGCCAUGACCAUAAAUAAACUCCAAAAUUGAAAUGAUAUAUGAAGAAUAUCCUCAUUACAAAAAAAGAAAAUGAUCGUUGAUAUCAUCCAUUUAUGCUGUUUAACCACUUUCGCAGAGUAAAACUCUUAUCCACUAACCGUAAAAAUAGAAAACUACAACGCAAAUUGCUUUGAAUUAAGCAACUUAAGAUAUGUGCGGUAGGUGUAAUAUUAAACACCGCCAUCCAGGAAAUAAAAAGUAAGGAAAAUGGUACCAAAACUAAAGAAUUGGAAGAAAAAGAUAACACCAAAUAUUUGAUCAAUGUGGUCCUCGUCUUUAUUCUUGAAGGUUUCAGGCUUACUUGCUAACCGACACACUACUCUUCUAUUAACUCCAUUACUAGAAGAUCCAGAUUUAAUGUGGGAUAGGUUAUGGUUGAUACUAAAGGAAAAUUCCACUAACCACAGUUGACUACCUACGAUUUGCCAAUUUAGCAAUCACAAACUGACCGACUUCCAGUGAAACAUAACAUGGAAGUACUACUAAUGCUUUUGCACUCAAUCCACUCAUCUUAUGCAGGACCUGUCCCAAAGACAAAAAGGGGACAAAUACAUAAAAAUCCAUUUAACGAAUGGGGUACUUCAAUUUUCACAACAUUCAAUUCAACAUAGGUCGAUGUGAAACAGUAUACAGUGCUUAUCCAUAAUUAGACCUUUAAGUUGGUAUCUGACAUUGGUGGAGAGCUAAUAUACUUGGCGAUUGCAACCUUAAAAUCAUCAAGCAUCCAGGCUAAUGUCAAUCCAAUCUGAAAGUAGACAUGGCUCAGCCAAAAUAUUAGGUACUAACCAAAGCACAACAGAGGUUAAAAUGAAGAGUGGUGAUUACCUCGGCCAUCCUAACUGCAUCUUUAAUUUGUGACUUGUCAUCAAGAUACUGAAGCAACAUACAAGUAACACAAAUUCAGAAUGCUUAUCAGUAACAAAAAUAGGAUACCAAAUGGAGCUUUGUCCAUGCAUUUGAGUUACCAUAAAGUCUAUAAAUUACAAGCAGGGUGAUGGGGAUGAAAUUUCUUUCAUGAAUACCAACAUUUCUCCACUUGUUCAAAGUCAUCUACAAUNNNNNNNNNNNNNNNNNNNNNNNNNNNNNNNNNNNNNNNNNNNNNNNNNNNNNNNNNNNNNNNNNNNNNNNNNAAAAAUGGAUAGCAUCUCUGUUAACAGCGCUUUCAUUAUAUUUACUUAAUAAGAAUCAUUUAUGCACACAAACAGUAAUACAAACUUUAAAGAUAGAAGUUGACAUCAUUAUCUGACAAGGGAAAAAGAAAAAAUAUUCAGCAUCUGAGUUUAUGUAUAACUCUCAACAUCCCAUAGCAAGAGCCUAACUCAAGAAAACAUUUCCAAAUCCAAUCAUUGAAUAAGAGUACGAACAGGAUCAUUAUCAUGCUAGGAUACCAGGUAAACUCCCUCUUUCAUCAAGCAAGGAGAUAAAUGCUAAUAAAAUUUGAUCAUUCAACUUCAAUUCUUUUCAGAAAGGGCAGAGGAUGAAACAAUAUAUCGUUUAGUUAGUCGCAAUGGUGUAUUACGGCCAAAAAAAUCAUAGUGAGGGAGAUGCAACUUUAUUUAGAGAAACAGAGAUGCUCUCAGGCACUUUUUCCGAGGCUAAUCUUUUCUAAGCCUUUACUUUCAUUACAUCUCAACUACCUCUUCAGAGGCGAAUUCUGGCACUAAGUUUUUUUAGUCUAAGCUAUAUGGUUGACAACACAAUAUAUUUUGAAUUGGGUUUUAAGUUGCAUGAUAUCAUCCGAAGUGAAAUCAAAACUGGGGUGUGGUACAAAUGGACAAAACAUGGCCAAAACUUGACCAGACAAACUACUUUCAGGUCUCAUUUGUUUGCACUUAUUGGAUUUAUGAACCUGUUCAGACCUCAAACCAUUAAGUGCAUUUGUUUUUAUUAGGAUUUUAGCUCUUAAUAGGUCUGAGUAGGUCUUAAUCAUUCAUAUGUGGAACCAAGUCUAAAUAUCAUUUACAGAUAUUCUUGUGUAGGAUAAAAUUCACCACCACUUUAUCCACAAUCACCUGGCACCACCACCAACCACUUCCACCAUCACAACCAACAUCACUACCAACUACACUACCAGCCGCUACCACACCUACCACUUCCAUUAUUCUAAUUAUAUCCACCUCCAACUAGGGGUGUUCAAGGUUUGGUUUUUAACACAACUUAACCGCGAUACAAACAAAACCGAUUAAAAAAAACUAUAUUUGGUUAGGUUUGGUUUGGAUUUGAAUUUUAAAAGACCGAUACUAAUUUGAUUUGGUUUGGUUUGGUCUUACUCUAAAAUAACCAACAAAAUAACCAAAACGAACCAAUAUACAUAUAUAUUAUAAUUAUUUAUAUGUUUUUCAUAAAUGUAAUCUAAAUAUUUGUUACAUUUUAUAUUUUAAUCAUGAUUUAACUUUAGUCGUAACACAUUCAGUCAUGUGUCUUCAUCUAGUUGACAAUACAUUAUGAGAUUCUAAAUGAAUUUCAUAUUUUGAAUGACAAAUGAUACUAAUUGUGAAAGUAAUAUCUUGUUAUAUAUUGAAAUUUACAGCUGAAAUUUAUUAGACUAUACACAAUCACUAAUUUUAACUUUCUUUUGAACCUUGUUGAGCAAGAAGUUUAUGUGUUCACCUUUUGGGGGUUUAUCAUAUCAUUCUAUUAAAUAUAGUUUUAAAAUAUUUUUUAAAAGCGUUCAUAUGGUGUUAUCAUGGCUUUGCCGAAGUAUAACACUCAGUUGACAUCAUAGUUUCAAGAUUGAGAUACAACACUUGGUUGACAUCUCAUAUGUUAGAUUUGAUUUGUUUUUUAAAAAUUUCAACAUAUAUCAUUAACUAAAGUUAUAAACUAAAAAACCCGAAUCAAACCAAACUAAACCGACAAGAACCAAACCGAUGGUUAUUUUUUUGUUUGGUUUGGUUUGGUUUUAGAAAUUUAAAAACCAAUUAAUUUGGUUUGGUUAUGGUUUUGACCACUAACCGACCCAUAUUGACCCAUGAACACCCCUACCGCCAACGUCGCCACCAUCAACUGCUACCAGUUGAUCCCUGCUACCGACCAACUCAUCUAUCAGAACUACCACUACCACUAAUAACCACCUACACAUCAUCAACUUCCACACAUCACUAACAACCACUAACACAUCAUCAACUUCCACACAUUCUUCGGACACCAUCACCACCACUGUCACCGGCGUCACCACCUCUACCACCAGCAUCCGCUACACUCGCUACAGUAUCUGUACUAACAACCAUUCAACCAUCACAGCUAACAGUGUCUCCAACAACCACCAACACAUCGUCAACCAUCAUGCAUACAGUUUUUCAUCACCACGAUCAACACCUUCAACUACUAACAUUAACCAACUUCACAUCACAACCACCACCACCACUACCAAUCGCCAAUAUUAUGACAGUAACUACAAUUCCAACUAUCUCUACUAUCACAACUAUUAUCACCAACAUUGCUAAUCACUAACAUCAAUUAAUUUAUUACAACCACCACCACCAUUACAAACCAUCUCCACUAUCACUAAUAAACAUAAAUGUUUCCUUUUUUAAUCAAAUAAUAAUUUUAUUGCAUUAAAUUAAAAAAAUUUCUAAUAAAUAAUUAAAUUAUAUUUAGAAAUAAAUAAAUUUUGCAUAUUCAGAUAUUGAGAAACACCCAACCUUAAUCAUUUAGUUUUCAGAUCUAGAGACAAUAUCUUAACCAUUCAGAUGUGCAUUCAAAAUGAUUCAAAUGUCUAAAUAUUAAUAAAAACAAAUGCAGUCUUAGCUGAAACACAAUAGUGUGGUUGUGUGAUACUUUAAAGGAAUCCUCGAAAGUCAAAGAAACUACAUGAAAACAUGGAAGUUUGAUGAUCACUUCUCAGAGUUGUUCUGCUCGAGAAACUAUAACAAUUAAGGUAACAUAACCAUUAACAGCAUUCAACGGAGGAGAAGUCAAUUACAUAUGUCUGUGAAGUAGUAUUUAAUAUAGCUUGGCUAGAUUGAAAGAAUCAUCUAUAUCUAUACUACAUUAAAAGCAUGGAACCCCUAACUUAAAAGUUUACGACAAUAUGAUUCCUAUCAGCAUAAAUACGUACUAUCUAGUAAAAAAAAAGAGGAAACUAAUUGGCAUAAAGAGAAACAACACAGAUGUUUAAUAGGAACAACCGAUCAUUGUUCUUAUCUCAACAAAAUAUGUGUUAUUUAAAAAAAAAAAAAGCAAGCAGAGGGGUAACUCUCAAAUCUCAAUCUCAUGCUUUUAUCCUACCAAGUAUGUUCUAUUCUUUAAUGCACAACAACAACAACAACAACAACAACAAACCCAGUAUAUUCCCACAUAGUAAUGCACUAACUUACUUUUUUACCCAAUGAAUUGAACUUUUUAGUGAGGAUCUAAAUGAUUUUCAGACUUUGUUUAACAUCUGAUUCAUUAAGAUAUAUUAACAGGUUGAAUCUUUUUUUAAAAAAAGCACUUAAUAGGCUGAUAUCUGAACCAUUCAGAUCCAAACCUUCAUUAAGUGAAAGCAAAUGAAAAGGGAUUGUAGUGUAAAGUCUAUAAAUAUGGGUUAGUGUAACAAAUGUAGUUGACACAAUUCAAUACUCCUAUUAGCAACCUAUUUCACCUGUUUCUCCAGCUCAUCCAUAACAUCUGUAAAUAAGUAGUACCUGGAAAAUCUCCAAGCGAUUGAUUUUCUCAAGGCAGGAGCAUCUUUCAUCAGUUUCCAAGCGGUCCUGAACUUUCCACCACUGGCUACUAGCCUGAACAAAAGAAGUCAGCAACAAUGGAACUAUGGAAGUUCUAUCUUCUUGAAAUAGAAAAACAUAAUCUAGGAACUGAUGCUAAGACCACUAGAACAAAUACCUUAAUAAAGUCAAAGGAUUUUAAAAAUUCUAAGUACUCCACUCUAUUGCGCUUCUGCUCCUCCAAUGCCUUCGCAUGCUUCUGGUAAAAUCCAGUACAAAGUAAAAAAAAUAAAAUUUCUCUUUAAAGAAAACAAUAUGGACAAAGAGACUGUAACUACACUUUCAUGAAAGUAACGAAAAACUCUUCCUGUUUUACGAUGGAGAGGGGAGAGGAAGAAGCAUAUCAUAGUUUCAAGUUUCAAGAAAAAUUACAUACAAUACAUGGAAGUCUAUUUAUAUUAGAAUUCAAUGGUGAACAAAUUUAAAUCUUGUACCCUUGAGAAGCCAUUAAAAAUGUAUUCAAAGAACACAAGAUUUUAAGUUGAAUAUCUACAACAUUCCUUCUUUCUACUCUUUAAGCAAAACAAAAAAAGGGAACAAACUAAAAGACAUCCUGCAAAGGAAAGGAAUGGAAUGACUGUUGUUAAUCAAGUGGACCAGUGCCAAACUCAACUUCAAAGUCUAGGUCAGGUGGUGAAGAAUGUCCAAGAUCAUAUAAGGAAACUACAGCACAUACACCUUACUAGUGUGGGAUUCUCAUACAUUAAUCGAACACCAAGACUAGACAUUUGUAGCAUCAGUUAACCUAGGUUGGCUAACAUCUAAUAGUCUAACAUCAAGAUAGAUCUGCCUCUAAUACCAUGUUUAAGAAAUUGGACCUUGUUUCUAUCUCAAAUGAAAGGCUAACUUAAUUUGUGAGGAGCCAAAGACCAUAUAAGGAAACUACAAUCCGCACACUUUGUUUUUAACAUAUAGAAGCUUACAAGAAAGUUCUGCAAAAGAAGCAUCAACUUUUUAUCUUAUUCCUCCACAUAAUCUUCAAAAAGGUCCCCACAGUCUUUAGCUCGCUCAACAGCUUUAAAAUGUUCAUCAUGUUCAAAUAUGGAGAUUGCCUUACUGAAUAAUCAAUAGCAAAUAGUUGGUGGAUCAAAUGGAACUUACAUAAGUAAUGGAUCAACUUCAAGGUACCAAAACACAUACAAACAAUGACCAAUAUUAGAAAACAAGCAACAGACAACUUAACAUUACAAGUGAAAGACAAACCUCCAUCUUGAUGAUGGUGACAGCUCCUUGCAAUCCUGUAAGAUUGAGAACAACGGACAUUGUUAUGAAAAAUACCACUUAUUCUUUUGAACAAGUCAAAUACCAGUCACUAACACAUCAUGAAUAUUAUGAUAAUAUCUUUUUAUUUUUGAAACUGGUAAUGUGAAUAUCAUGAUAUAUCAAAUAUAAGACACCCACAAAAGAAAAUUUCACUUACUUUUAAAAUUACCCUGAAAUCUUCCCGAGCUUUUUUCUGUUUAACACGCCUCUCUUCAGCUUCUAGUUUUCUCUUUUGGCUCAAAUACUGGAACAGACACACGACUUCAAAAUGAUCACUAUAGACCUUAGGUGUGUUUGGUAUGAAGGAAAAUGUUUUCCUAGAAAACAAGUUGGUUUCUUACUUGAUUUCUUAUGUUUAGUUGAUGAAAGGAAAAUAUUUUUUAGAAAAUUUUUUCUAGUGUUUGGUUGGUGAAUAAAAAAAUAUUUUUCAGAAAAUACAUUUGAGAGUUGUAUAAAAAUUUCAACUUAAGAGUGAGAUUGAAAGAGAGUUUUGGAAAAUGUUUUUCCUACUUUUGGAAGGGAAUUCAUUUUCCUUAAAUUUAAGAAAAAUAAGUUGAUUUGGAAAACAUUUUCCAAAAUAUUUAAGUCAACCAAACAUGAAACAAUUCAAUAUCAAACACAAUCUAUCUUUUUGCAAUAUGGUAUGCUGAAACAUUGAGGCAACAAUUAACCAUUCCAAUGCCGACUUGGAGAGAUACCUCAUUAAAAGCUUGCUUCUGCUCACAAAGGGAUUUUACAGCACCAUAUCUCCGGUCAUUAAUUACUGCUCUCAUGGCCUGACUAAUACAAUUCAUGUCAAAUGAUCUCCCUCAAUUGUUUGGUACGCACAAAACACUCAAGUAAUAAACCUGAUUCCACAUGCAAUCAGACCCAAUAUUUGCAGAUUCCAAAAGAGUUUUGAAUGUACUCUUUUCCUCCUAAAUAAAAUCAGAUACUUAAAAUAGAAAUAAGAGAAAUUUCGAGAACAUACAUUAAACGAGACAAAAAGCAAUAAUCAACUAUACCGCUUUGCUCUCAUAAACUAAUGGUCCCAGCUCGACUAUUUUCUCAUCUGAUGGAGUAGUACCUCCGAUUUCAGUUAUUACAACAUCUUUCUUGACAUUCUGCAUGUUAGGCACAACAUCAAUCACAAAGGACAAAAGCAAACCUCAUUGGAAUUUGUAGCAUAUUCUUCACCUGUUAGCAGUUGACUAACAACUACACUACAAAAUUGUUGGAUCAACAUCCAGCAUAACAGCUAUGAAAAGCUUUCUUGGUGUUUUAACCAGUAACCAGUAGUAAUUAACUAAUUGCAUAAGUAUUUCAGAAGGACAAAGUACCUCUCUAUUCUUCGAAGAAAAUCCAUCACCAUACACUACUGUAACUUGAGUUGUAGUAGUCUCAAAACUACAGAAAAAUUGAAUUCCAAAUAAGAAGCAACAUAAACCAGAGGCAAAUUUAUAACAUAUAAAUCUGAAAACAUGCACCGGUGGCGCGACAGAAUUUCCCAAGGUUACUGCUAUUCCAAUUUUCUCUGAAUUAGCAACAGCUGGCAAAGCAGGUUCUGAAGAAUUCUUCAUUUCAACUGUUCCAAUCAUCGGAGAAGAAACAUUACCAGAUAAACUUGAUGAUUCUAAAGCCACAAUAGUUGGUAAGUUAGCAGCUGGUGACACAGCAAUUGGGCUUGAUUUAGCAUCGUGUGCCGAGACUAAUAAACCAUCUGCACCCGGGGAUGAUGUUUUAACAACAGAAAUGGAUCCAAAAUCAGAAGCGUGCAAAUUCUCUCCAGGACUUGUAAAUUCUCUCCAGUAAGUUGAUGCGUCUGCCUUCUGUCCCAAUGAAAACUGAAUAAAAGUAGGUUAAGUCAAAAAAUAGAACAUAAACAGUACCCUGAGAGUAGAAAUCAAUAACUUCCAGCAGUACAAUACUGGAUGGAAGUGUUAGAAUAUGAAUGAUAUAAUGUCCCACAUAAAAAAGGACUAGCAUGUACUGUGUAGAAUAUAACUACAAGCAGGGUGGAAACAUUGCCAAGCUGCGGCUGAGCUACAACUAUCCAAGGGUGAUCAACUCAACAACAUUCGCUUGAUAAUCGUAUUUUGUAUAUAUAUAUAUAUAUAUAUAUAGGUCAAAUUCUGUCGUUUCUAAGUAUUUUUUAAUGAACACCCUCGCCACAAAAAACAAGACGGAGUGUGACAGUAAGGGUGUUCAAAUCUUGCAAUGAGGUUCUAAGUUCCAUACUCAACACAGCCCCCCCAUAAUUUUUUUUUUCAUUUGGACACGUUUGAAACUCAUAAACUACAGUUAUGCUUUUUUUGAUGAAUCAAUUUCUGAACAUGUGUUUUUUGUCCCAAUUAGCUCUUACAAAAGAGCUAGUAACUAGCAUGCCAGGUAUCAGAAUUUUGUUAAAAUAAACUUAAAGGUAAAUUUAUAAAGUGGUUGUUAUACUAGCUAUCUUGCAUGGGGCAGAGUGUUUGGCUGGUCAAGAGCUCGCAUGUUCGAAAGAUAAACGUAGAAGAAAUGAGGAUGUUGAGAUUGGUGUGUGGGCAUACUAGGAGAGAUAGAAUAAGGAACAAAGAUAUGCGAGAAAAAGUGGUAGUGCUCUCUGUGGUGGACAAUUAACAAGAAGACUAGAGGGUUGGGGAUAAAGAACCUAAAAAUUCAAAGUAAGGCUCUCGUGAUGUAAUGGUUUUGGAAAUAUGCAAACAAUAACCAGCUGCUAUGGAGGAAAGUGAUUGGGACUAAAUAUCCUGAAGAAGAUAGAUGGAUAAAUAAAGAAUUGACCACACCAUACGGGAUUAUCCUCUAGAGAUCUAUUAGACAAUAGUGGAAUGAAGUUAAAAGAAACUCAAAGGUUAAAGUGAUGGAUGGAAACAAGACUAGGUUCUGGAAGGAUAAUUGACAUGAGGAUGGGAAUAUGGAAGUUAUUUUUCCUGAUAUCUACAACUUGGUAUUGCUUCAAUAGAGGACUAUAGCAGAAUUAUGGACACCACAUGGGUGGAACUUCAAUUUCAGAAGGCAACUUAAUGAACGGGAGGUAAUGAGAGUAGUUGAAUUUUUUAAUACCAUGGACUUAUUCAAUGGACUGCAAACAGUGAAGGAUGUACUAUGGUGGAUGGGAAAUGAAAAAGGAAUGUUCAGUGUCAACAAAGCCUACAAGAUAAUGAACCAAAUAAAUCACCCAGAUCCAAGAUGGCCAUGGAAGAAAAUAUGGAAAAGUAGGAUACCUCACACAGUGUCGUGCUUUGUCUUUGUCUGGUUACUAACCAAGGAAGUAGUUCUUACACAAGAUAAUGUCAUGAAGAAAGGAAAAACCUUGUGCUCCAUAUGUUUCCUCUGUGGAGAAACUUAGUGAUGGUUAACCAUGUAUUUCUACAUUGUAAGUACACCCAACAACUUUGGAGAAUCGUCUCAAGACUAAAAGGCAUUUCCAGGACAAUGCCUAGGAAAGUAUCCAAGACUUUAAUAUGCUGGGAGAACCAGGUGUACAUGCGAAGAACAGAGGUAGAUGGAGAAUUAUCCCUGGUGCUAUAUGGUGGGCUAUAUGGAAAGAAAGGAAUUCUAGAUGUUUUGAAAGCAUAGAGAAUAGUGUGCAGAAGGUUAAACUCAAUUGCAAUUUUGCUUUUAUGUUUUUAGUGUAAUCAACUAUACUCUAAUGAUAUUACCUCGAUAAUUGAUGUUCUAGACUAAAUUUAGAGAUAGAACAGUUGAUUUUGGAGUACUCUUGUAUAUAAAGGUUUCAGUACAACCCAUGUACUGUGUGAUAUAAUACAAAGUUGCCAAGUUCAAAAAAAAAGAUAAUAAUUUUUCAAGUACUAAAAGUUUAUAAAAUAACAAAUAAAGCAAUUAAAUCUGAGUUCAAAUUAGGUGGGUUGGGUUAUGACCCGAAUUUUAGAGCAUUUCAACCCAACUCGUUUCAGCCCAAGUAGCUUUAGGGCGGGUUAAUAACCCGCCCAUUUAUUAACUCAGACCUCUUUGAUCCGCCCAAAUCCAGCCAACCCCGCCCAUUCGACACCUUUAUUUUAAAAGAAGUAAAGUGGACCAUGCCAGAACACAUACCAGAUCUAUUGAGUUGAAGUAAAGUGGACUAUCAAAGGACACACAACAAUCUGUUGAGUUGUUGGAUUAGUGGGGAUUAAAAAGAGUGAGAAGAAACGGGGGAGAACAAUCCUUCCUUGUAUUUGGUGGACUGUAUGGAGCGAGAAAAUUUGAAGGUAUUUUGAAGAUAAAUAUAAUUCCAUUCAGAAAGUUAAAUGAAAUAACAUUGUAGAUUUUUGUUUAUUGUUUAAGGGCCAAUGUGUACAGGAUGCAUAACAGGUAGUAGAUCUCUUCGAAUCCUAGCAUUAUUUUCAUUAUUUUUCAUUUCUUUUGGACUGUUAGCAUAAUCUUAACGCUGACGAAUACAAAGUAAUAUCUCUGAAAAAAAACUGUUUAUCUGAAAAAAAAAAGGAAUAAAAAUGUUCAAACUUCCUUACAGCUCCAGUUGUUGGUCCCUUAAUACUUGUCCCUCACAACCAGCCAAACUUUCUUUGAUAACCGUCAUGUUUGGGCCAGCUUGCACCUUGACUAGUUACACCAGGUACUGCUACCUCCCACCAGCACAGAUACUAGGUAACUCUGUCCAUCAAGGCUUGGACAGACGGUAAGAAAUCACCUAGUGUUUUUAUCUCUGUUGGAAAUUAAACCUGAGACCUCAUGGUUCUCAAUCUACUUCAUUGACCACUAUGUCACACUUUUGGGUGCAAGUGUGCAACCAGCCAAACUAUUAUUCUGUAAACCAGAAUGAGAAGUGUCAACCACAAUAUUAUAUCAAGUUUCCUCUCUCCAUAUCAUCAUUGAGUUACAAUAACAUUACAUUAAUCAGAAAGUAAAUAAAAUUGUUUAAAAUAGACCAAAUAUAAUCCUGUCGUGUAUGCUUAAACACAUUUUUUAGAACAAUAGUGUUAAAUAUAAAAUCUUUUAGAACUAUAUUAGAAAUAAAAGGUCAAUGCAAAUCCCAAAUGAAGCCUACAUAGUAUAGUAAGAUCGAGGAAAUUUGCUCGCUAAACAAAUUUUCAACAGAAAUCACAUAUACUUAGGAAAGAAAAAGAGUUUCUGCGAAGCUUCAUAGAAAAAGAAUCAUGUACUUCUUUUUCAUUGAUAAGCACAGGAAACUGGAUAAAACUACCCAUAAAAAUCUCGAUGACAUGAGACCUCACCUCCAUUUCUGUCAUUAUCUCUCGAGGUUUCUCCCAGGUAGAGAUUCUUGUCCUUCUAUUAUAAUAGUAUCUAAAAAUCAAUUCAAGAAUUGUAAGAAUGUUACUAAUUGGUUGGAGUAAUAAAGCCAUAGGAAAUAUGACAACAUUAGCAACCAUAACUGGCCUACUGAUCAUCAAAAGAUGCUGAAAAUAGCAAUACCUACUAGCAUUUAGACACAUGUAAAUAUGUAUGAUAAUAGAGAAAUGGGGUCAAAAUGAAGUUAUCGGUAGUGGUGUAUCAAGUUCUGCUGAUCAACAGUCAGGUAGAAUUUGGUAGCGGUGAACGGCAGCCCAUAUGAUAACUUUGACAAAGAGGACUGAAACAAAUGGGCCUAUUAUCUCCAGUGCUAAUGGAAGCAGAAUGAUGUACAAAGCACUAGAUGUGGAUACUUGAGGAUUUCUUGGCAGUGAUGGGGGCCAACAUAUCCACCACUUGUUCAUAGACAAGAAAUUAAGUGUUUGUCCAAAUCGGCAUGCUCUUUUUUCUGGAGAACACAAAGUGGUAAAAAGAUUGGAUCUAAAUGAAAAUGAUUGCAGAGCUCCUUUUCUUGUAUACUGUGGUUUUACACCUUUCUUGUUCACUGGAAUCUUAAUUUGCUUACAAAAAACUAUCAUAGAAUUCAAAUGUUGACACUCUCAGUCAACACACACCCAUUAACCCAUUAACUUAAGUAUGUUACUUGUUGACAACAUUUAUGCAAAACGGGUACAAUAAAACACAUUGAAUUCUUACUGGAAUAACCAAGGGAGUUGUUAAUUCUCCAGUCUUCUACAUAGUUGUCGCAGAAUUCACAUUAUGAUUAAUUAGUGGCAUCCAGGGUUAUACCCCUGAUGGAAACGUAUGAUUAUUUAUCUGUGUCUGAUACUGGGAGCCAGAAGAAUCAACAUUUACCUGCUGUUAAAGACGAUAACAAAAUGUAUUUCAUCAAUAUAUGAAUGGAACAUCGGAAACUUAUUGACAAUAACCAAAAAAGAUCUUCCCAAGGCCUUACAUUAUAUGAAGAAGAAACAGGUAAAUUUGGGGCACCAGAACCAGGCAUGUGGUUAUUUGACAUCGGAAGAUUUCGCUGAAAAUCAUGGGGAAUAGGUGGUCCCUAAGGAAUACUAUGCUUUCCUACUACAGGUCUACCAGUAACCUAUUGCAUAGGUUGAGGAAAUUGGAUUUGAGAAGGUUGAGACAUCGCAACAUUUGAAUGUCCAAGUGGCAGAAAUUAUUAAGAUGACCCGGAACCAUAAGGUUGUGCCUGUGGGCUGGAAGCAUAGGCUGAAACUGCUAAAGAUGUGGGGAAAAUAGUUAUCAUAAUGUCUCUACAUUCAAAAGUCAUUUAUACCUCCCCCGAGCCUCCACAACUUUACCUGCAAUGACAUGGAUGGAAUAGCACCAGGAGCAGGACCAGCCAGAGGAGGUAUAGGAGGCUUCUCAACCAAUAUCCAUGCAAGGAAGAACAAAUGAAAUCAGAAUUUAGCUACUUUUCAAUCAUAUUUAGUUAAUUUUCUAAUCAAUGUCGAAAGAUUGUAUCCAUGCGCAACUCCCUAAAUUAAUUUGAAAGACAAGGAAAGAAUUUUGAAGCCAAACCACAUAGUAACAUGAAACCAUUUUCUUCAUCUAAUAAAUAGAAAGCUUGAAACGAGAAUAAAGAGAGAUAGGAAAUAGAUGACCUAUCAUAGCGUUAGAAGAGAAUGGACAAAAUGAUAAGCAUCUUUACCUUAUGGCUUGGGUUCAACAUCUACUGAUGGUCUAAGUAUCUUUUCUUCGGGUGUAAAGAAGCACGUCUGUUAAUGCAAAACUAUGAUCAUGGAACUGAAACAUGAGGUAUGAGUAGGUAUUAGAAUAACUGAAAAAUACUGAGACCAGAAUGGGUUGAGCCUCACUCUUCCCUUCUGAUGUUCUAUGUCAUACUGACAUCACUACUAGAAUCUGAAAGCCUGACUUAGUUAUUCGCUCUAUCAUCUCCCCCUUAGCUUCAAGUCAUCAUAUUAAGUUUAGGAGAUCCCUUACUAGACUCUAAACUGAAGUACACUCACUGCAAUCUGGGGUUUGAAAAACUACUAUACACGCAUAUCAUGGCACUUAACCCAAAUGACUACACCUAAAAGUUGAAAACCCACUGUUAAUACUACCUUCUGAGAUACACUUUAUCAUUCUAUAGACCCAGUAGUCAUCAUAUAAUACUUGCAUACUUCUAACUUUGGGUCUUCAUAGGUAUCCCCAUAGUCGGAGUGCACACCCUCUAGUGCUUUAACUCUUAUUUCUAUUAGUUCAACCUUCAAAAACUCAAACUUAGAAUCUAGCUCUCAACAUGGAUAUCACUAAGACUUCAAUGAAUCAUACUACUUCCGACAUAGCCUACCAAUAUCGCGACUCCAAACUUACAUCUCUCUACUAUGAGAACUAAGAUCAUAUAAAAAGUCUCAACACUAUCAAUCAAACUCCUUAACUUGGCUAUUUAGAACGCCAUAUACCAUCUAACUAGUCUUUCUCCACCUAGCAACUCAACGGUACCACUCAUCACACAAAACGUGUAAUAGUCUUAGAAAAUACCGCAACCCCAGAUCACCUUGGGUAUACUUCUACAUUAUAUAUGCAACAUCAUACUUCACUACGAAUCAAAUAAACUUAAGCUCUUGCAUAUAUCUUUCAAUCCUAUUAGAUUACUUUCAUAAAACUAGUAUCAUUAACCAAGAAAUCAUCACAUCCACCUUCAUGGACAUCAAUUGUUCAAAACUUAAUGUCUAGUGCUAAACAUGAUUUUACAACCCAACCUUACACAUGAUUCUCACUUGGAUACCAUGAAAUAGACAUCAAGAAACACUAGUACACUAGAACUUCCAAACAAAAAAUAAUUGAUCUUGACCUUAUGGUGUUCCUUAUCAUAACUCAUUAGCACGUACUAUUUUAACACAUCAAGCCUAAUAAUUUUUUUCCCACAAAACAUACAUCAUUAAUCUCAUACCACUAUUUUUACCACCACAUUCUACAUUAAAUUCAAGCAUAUAGUCCUGUACCAAUCAUCUAUCACUACUGAAAAAUGCAACAUAAUAUGCUAGUCCAUAAAAUUUGGGACAUACUAUACAAGCGCCUAAAAAAUCACUACAUACCUUCUCACAAGUAGUACUAGUUUACAAUUACCAACGAAAACAAGGUCAAGGGGUAAAGUUACAUAAUAGACAUGAUCAACCUUAAUCUUAUAUUAUAACCCCAUACAAUCUUUUCUACUUAUACGGAUUUCUCACCUCAUACUUACAUACCCAAACAUACAUUUAGACUACUUUCAAAUUCCACAAACAACCAUGAGUCUAUACUUACAACUUACUGGCUAAUAUAGCCAUUUUCACACUUCAAGCAAUCGAGAAAUCACCCUAACUAAAAACUCCUUCUCUACCUUCUACUAAACUAACACACAAGGACAAAUCACCUCUUUACCAACUCAAUCUCAUGCAAACAGAUUCAGCUAUAUAUAUAUAUAUAUUAAACUAACACAAGAACAACAAGUUGGACAACAAGUUGCUAGUGAAUCGAAAUAGGCCUCACACAGCUUCACUAGACUUCGAUUUCGUAUUUUGAACAAGAAAAUGAGAUGAAUGACAAGUCAACUAUGCUAGUGAAUCAAAAGAUCCCCACAGAGCUUCACUAGACUUUAUUUUUUUCAACAACACCUUGAUGACAAGAUUACAUGAGAUACAAAUUUAAUAUGCAAUAUCCAAUGAACUAAGAAUACACAUCUUACUUUGUAUAAAUAAAAUCGGAGUCAAACACUUCCUCCACGAACUACCAUACCAUCAACACAUGCAACUAGUUACCACAUUAGUCUAUCACCAUAAGGAGGUAAAUCAUUCUCGAACAUCGGUUAUUAUACUAAAAUAUUCAUUUACACAAAAGUCACCCUCGCUCUGACUUCUAACUUUGUGACUUCACAUCACCAACUUCUUGGUCUAAUUUCACUACCAAUAGGUCAUGACAACAACACUUUAGCACAUACUACUAUUCGGGUAGAAAUAUAGUUCUAACAUUCUACUACACAUCAUCCCCCCUAAAGCAAAACAUUUGUAACAUAAAUUUGAAGGGGACUAAAUGCAAUUAAUACCUCAAGAUGAAAAUCACGAUUCCAUCAGGAUCAAUGUUUACAUCGGAAUCAAUACACAUUGAAGCACUAAUGGACUCUUCUCAAGUUCUUGCACAAAUUUUAACUCUUAUAUGGUUCAAUCAGAAAGGACCAUACCAUUUAGAUUCUAAACUUCUUCACUUGAAUCACCACAAUAAUGAGACAUAUCUGAGGACAUUAGAGUAAGGAAAGAAUUUGGGAUGUCUUUUUUUUUUUACUUCCGUAUGGGCGACACCAUAGCACGAAUUAGAGUAUGAAAGAGGAACAUUCUGACUCUAUUGCAUGAACUAGAACAUGAAGAAAGAGAGACAUUCCUAAACGCCUAGUAGCCUCCUACUUAUAAGUGUGGCGCGCUACACACCCAUAAACAAGACUCUACCCGACGCGAUUUCACAGACACCCUGGGACCAUGAACCGUGCUUUGAUACAAAGUUUGUCACGACCCGAACCGGGGCCCUGGCCGUGACGAGCAUUCUGAACAAUGACUAAAACAACCAUGUCCCACAAUAUAUAUCGACAUCUGAACAACCGUCAGCGAAAUCUCUAAUAUAUGACUGAAACAAAUUACUGUCUGAAAACUGGUCCCCAGUAGACCCAAAAAUACUAAAUGAUAAAUGAACUGACACAGAACUUCCGAAAUAUAGAAGGCUCACCACUUGAUUCUGCAAAUCUGUCGAAAGAGAUUUACUGGUUAUCUGAACCCCUAAACUAUGCCUCCAAACCUGGGAGAGAAGGGGGUCAAUAUAAAAGUACUAGUACGCAGAGAAACCAAAAACAAAAUAUAAUAUUUUUUUCCAAAUAUAGGUGAGAGCCAUUAUAAAGCAGUUCUAUAUCAAAUUAUUUGAAAACACAUGGGCACAAUGUAAUAGUUUUCAACAAUAAUGUAAUACAGCUGAGCUAGGUGGAAUACCCUGCAUAUAACAUUUACACCAACUGUCAAAUCUCGGUUGCCGCUGAGAUUAGAGUAUAAGUGAGAGGAAGACAUACAAGAUCACAUAGCAGGGUGUCUCGACCCAAUAAAGUAUAGUACUGCCCAAGAUCACUUAUCCUGGGCGCCUAACCAUAGUCCCAAUUUGGGAAUGACAUAAAGUCAAGUACACAAGAUCACUUAGCCAAGUACCAAAUCCCCAUAUCGGCAAACAUGGUUUCCAGCGAUGAGCCCUUACACUCAAACGCCUUCUUCGGGCAUCCACCUAUCUCAUGUAAAAUCAAUGCAUCAAACUCCAUUUAAUUCAAUCACAUAUCUUAUUCUGUAGGGUAUGGUCAUACCCGACUUACAAGCCAUCAAUAUCACAUCAUUCUUUCAUGCAACUAUUAUAUUCAUCAUAUUUCAACAUAACAACACUCUUAUUGUAAGUCAAAACCAUGACCAUUUUAAAAAUAUUUCAUGUCACGCUUGUCAAGAUGAUUUCAAACAUUUCAUAUCAUAUGAGAAUUUAAAACGAGAUCAUAUAAAAAGAGGGAUUUCAUAUAAUUCAUGCUCUCAAGUUAACAUCUUUUCGGAAUACAUGCAUAUACAUAUAUCAUAUAUCAAACCACUUCGGGAAUAGGCCUAAAGACCAAAUCAAUAUCAUAAAAUGUUUAAAAUGGGAUUAUAUUCAUAAUUUCAAAACCCCCAUUUUUAAAACAUAAAUUUUUAAGCCCAUGAGAUUUUUUAGAUAACCCCGCGUACCUCUAUAUGCGAAGAUGAUAGGUGCUUCUUGAAACCUACGUUCUAGGGAUUCCAACUAUGCAAUUCGUUUCAAAAACCCACGGUUGAAUCUUGAGUUGCUUAGGUUUUUAUUUUGAAACCCUCAGGAGAGUUCUUGAGAAAUUUUGAUGAAUGAAGGUGUAUUUUGGGGUAUUUUGGGAACUGAAUUUCGUGUUUAUGGCUAAAUAAGGGUGGAAAAAGGACCAUUUUGGCCCAAAAAUGGAGUGUUUAAGUCACUUGAGUAAUAAUAUAUGCGGCACAAACCUUAUCACAUAAUUUAGGUUGUGCGUCACACUCUUUAUCGCACACAUUAGAUUGUGCGUCGCACACCUUAUGGCAUAAGUUAGGGUGUGCGUCGUACACCUUAUGGCAUAAGUUAGGGUGUGCAUCGCACACCUUAUGCUGUACGAUACACUACACUUUGCAAAGCUAUAACUUCUUCCUCGGGUGUCAAAAUUUUGUUAAAUUGGUAUCGUUGGAAAGAUAAUUCGAAUAUCUUUCAUUUGAUAUAUAUUAGGAACUCUAAUUCAAUAUAUACAAAGAGUAAUGGUCGAUUGAAGUUGACCUAAGUCUCAACGCUCACUAAAAUUCGAAUGAUAGGAAAACUUUCAACUUGUCCUUGAGCUUGGGGACCUCUAUGAUCUCAAUUCAUGCUCAAAUAGGUUUCCACACUACAUAAUUUAUUAACACACUAAAUUUGCAUUGGAUUAUGGAUUUUGGAACCUUUAUGUGAAGAAAAUGACAAUUUUCGUUCUCGUCCGAAAUGCGGGGUGUUACAAAAUUUUGUUAGAAAAUGGAGUACAUUUUAGCUGCAUCGUACUCCAAAUACACUAAACUGAACUUUAAAAGUAAUAAUGCAUUUCUUACCUGUUGGUGUGUAGCAUUCAAAAGUUUUAUUGUCUUUGGUCGGAAGAUAGCCACAACGACGGUUUCAAGCAUGAAGAUUAAACUAAAAAGAAGCCAUGCUCGCUCUGGAGUUCCUGCUACAUGAUGCAAUAUUACUCUACAAUGUUGAAGCCACUUUCCUAAUCCUUGGAGUCUAAGUUCUUUCGAGAAUGAAAUAUGAUUAGGUAACACAUCCUAAACAUCAUUUGAAUCGGUGACAGGAGGUUUACUAUCGCGAUGUUCUCCAUCAGCAUCCAAACUACUUCUCUACAAUAAGGCUAGAAUCAUUGGGUCCAAUCCAUUCUCCUUCAGCAUCACUGCAAAAUUAGGAUCAAGCCCUUUAUCUUGCAAUAAAUUAGCUAAUUCAUGAUCAGUGUGUCUUCCUUUCCGCUUUAACAUAGAUGUAAUCCUCGGAUCACUCAACUUUUCUUGAAAUGCAAGUGCGAAAUUCAAGUCCAGUAUCUGUUGGUUUGCAGAAGUGGAUGUACUAGAAUCACAGCCUUGGCUUUCAAGGCCACUGCUAGAACAAAAAAACAAUGAACUAUUGUGCUCUAAUUUUCUGUCAACAUAUGAUGAUCCUACUUCAGUCUCUUGAACAACUGAACGAUAGGAACUACUACGUAGAGCUAGACUUAGUCUUUCACUGUCUAUGCUCUUAUCACUAUUAAUCCCCUCAAUAUUAUUCCAGGUACUGCCAUCACUAGUGCAAGGAACAAUUGCAUUAUCAAUAUGACCAGCAUCAGCACUACUACUACAUUUGAUACUUGAGCCACAACCCUCAGAAGAGCUUGCGGAGCUAUUUUGGUCAUUUCUGUGGAAACCUUCUCUAAGGCGGAUAACUGUGCUCUACAAGGCAUCUCGUCUAGCUGCUGAUGGGUCUGUAACUGAUAAAUGCCGUGAAACAGCAGCACCCAACAACACAGAUGUUACAAUUUCAUAACUGAUACAAUGUCCAAAGUACCUGAAACAAAAUUAUUGCAGUAAAAGAUUAGAAGAUUUUUUUUGAUAACAAAAGAUUAGAAGUUUCUAUUCAACAAAUAAUAUUAAAAGGGAUGCAUAUGCCACAAGUAUAAGAAGACUUAAUUAUGGAAGAAAAUGAAUUAGCAUGGGUUAAAAACAAACCAAUAAUGAACUCCAAAAUAGAUCAGGAACACUCGAGAUGUACCGGCAACAAAAAGUAUGAUGACUCGACUUUUCAGAAGCUUAAAGCCAUACAAGCAAACUCCUAAGUUCCAAUCUGAUUGAAUGAAAAGAUAGUGAAUUCAUUACUUACCACAAAGAUAUAAGAAAUUAUUUCACAAUACGAGUCAGAAAAGGAGACAGAUAUAUGUAGAAAAUGAACUACCAAGGAUUAUCACGGCAGCUGAUGUUGUAGCCCCAAGCCAGUUUGAUUUCUUUUCUGUCAGACCAUACAGGAUAGAAUACACAAGAAGUACUACAAGUGAACCAACAUAUAGAAGUCCAAGAUGCAGAGCCCUGCAGAGCCCAAGUUCAAAGUGAAGAAGGGUAAAUUAUAGACUUCAGAGAAAAUAUUGAAAAGAUAGUGCAGAAAAUAUGAUGAGCAGUAUAAAUGAGAACCCACUGAACACAUAAUAUAAUAAGGUACUUUCUAAUCUAAAGCAGCAUUUAAAUUAAUUUUCUUAGCAGUGGGAUUUUAAGAUCUACUAUUUUUACUGGACUACUGGAGAGUGUGUUUUGUUCUCUCAGAGUUUGUAUUCCUUUUACUCAAAUAGGUUUGAGUUACACCCAUUGUUUAGCGUUCUUUGGCUCUUAAUUUUAAAAGUCCAUUAGAAUGAUUAGAGGGCAGGGUGGAACUCCCUCAUAGCAAGUCAAAUGAAGUUUAAAACUAUAUAAAGAAGAUGAAACUAGAGGCUUCUGUAUGUGUCUCACAUACUUGGCAUAAACCAUGUGUGAAUGAGCACAACAGAAUCAAAUGUACUGAGACAAAGCAAGCAUUUGAUUGCAGAUCAAAUGGAAGAGUCUGCCAACCAACCAAAUUUAAGAGCAGCUCUGGUCCAUGCACCAUUUUGAGGUAAAGUUAUAUGGUUAAAAAUUUGGACGUUACUUAAUAUAUGCACAAACUGAAAAUGAACUGCCCAGUUAGACAAGUGCUUUUUGUAUCUACCCAGUGACAACCUUAGUGAAAGAAUACAUCAAUGAGAAGUUAACUCAGUAAGCUUAAUGAGCUUUCUCCUGCAAGGAAUGAAAGUGUGGAUGACCCAACAUCAAAUAUACGAUUAUUAUUAUACACACAAUCUCCAUACAACAGCAACAACAUACCCGAUGUAUAUUCGGGCCGAAUAUAUGCAAACUAUACCUCUACCUCAGAGACGAGAAAAAAAUGGUAGCACCAAUCCUCACUAAAUACUUCAUAACACAAAAAACAGCCAAUACUUACAAAACCAAAUAAAGCAAAAGAAGUUCAUUGUCUUGAUCACCAGCAAGUAAAACAAAUGUUUACAAUUGGAGAUUCAAAAAGGUUGCAAAAGAAAGAAGCAAACUUUCUAUUUAACAAGUAUCAAAGGGGGGAAAAUAAGAGUAAAACCAGUAAGUAUACGAGAAGUAUGAACACUAUAGUCAAUGAACAAAAUAUGAAUUGUAGUUUAGCCAUUUAGCAUCCAUCACUCCAACAGAGAAUUAGGUCUUGUAAGAAGGUCGAAAGAUUUGCCUAUCGAGUCUUUCAAGAUUAUGAUUUGACCCUCUUUCAUAAGAAAGUCUUCGUUGAGGGUAUCUACCUUCCUUUUCAACAUAUUGAUUCAUAAUUCAACGGCAUGUUCAUCUCACUGUAGCACUUAACUUCCUCCCACAUGAAAUCCCUCUCCUGAAACACUUUUGGUAGUAUCUCCUUCACAAUGCCAAGUUCCUUCAUGCAUUCUUGCAAAUCAUUAGUAAGCUGGUUGAUAUUUUCAUCCUUUUUUAGCAGCUGCCAGAAUCAACCGUAAACCAUGAAAAACAAGAAAGACACAAAGAUCACCAAUAACAUUUCAUCAAAAAUUCAAAACAAAACCAUAGCCUAGAAGUUCAACCAAAUCAUGAAUCCUUUUUAACUGUUAAAAUUCACAGUAGAUAACUCGUGAACUUGUCCAAGAAUUAAGUCAGAUGAACGAGCAAACUUACCGAAACCCCUUCGGGUAACUUUACCACAUCAGAGCAAAAUCAGAUCAAUGGGUUUGAGGAUAUCACAAAGUGUAUCAUGUUCUUGGUUGGUUCAACUUAUUACACAUUAAGGCGAUCAGACAUUUCAUAGAAGACUACCACAUGCCAGCAACUCAUGUAUACAAGUUCAUAAAGAAAAUCGUGAACUUCAGAUGGAACAAAGAUGAACCUAAAAUCAAACAGAAGUAGAAAGCUAAUGCAGAGAGAGUAAGAUAUGAACAGACUAUCAUAUAUGAAGACGAGGUAUCCAAAGUUGAAAAAUAAAAACUAUUUCGUUGCAAUGAGAUCUUAACAUUUCAUGCUUACCUGAAGCUCGAGAUAUUUCAACUUAGGUAUGGCAUAAGAAAGAGUGUCCAACGCAUUUCGCACUUCAUAUUUGAGAAUGUCGUUACCUCUAACUAUUGCGACUAGAUCAGCCUGAAGCUGCUUUAUGUCCAUCUCCUCGGAAUAGAGCUUCUCCCUUAGCAUAGUUGUUAGCAAAGUCUCUGAUUUAAGAUCUUUAACCUUUUCCUGGUAGUUUUCUCAGACAUAAUCUCUAUUGUCUUGAGCUACUCGAUAUUCCGUUUGUAACUGAGUGAGCUGCAACCUUAGAUUUUGAUUCUCCUCUGACACUUGCUCUAUUCUCUUAGACAAAUCUCCAAGGUAUUUCUCCGAAAAUGACAUAUUGAUUCUAUUAUCUACUUCCUUCUCAUUAAAUAAAGAGACUUCCCUUGGUAAAGAGACAUUCUACUCUACAAGCUCCCUCACCCUUUCAUAGAGUCUAUGUUGUUCAAUUUGGUAUUUCUCAAGUUUUAAAGACCAAUCACUGGAUCUUCUAUCCAACUACUUUUCCAUUAUUGAUUGUAACUCAUUCUUUUCUGUCUCCAAUCUUCGUGUCCAUGAAUCUAUUUCUGCCUGUAAUAUGCUAGCUUCUUCCUUAGCAGAAGCCCUUUCAGCAACUUGAUUCCAUAGCAUGCUUAAAACUUCAGAAGCCAUUUGUACCUUCUCCUUUGUCAAUCUUCUAAUAGUCUAAAUCAACACUGGAAUGCUAAGGUCUCUGCCAUAAGAAAUAUUUGUCAUUACUUUGGACAAGCAAAUGCAAAUUAAAACAUCAGUUUAAGUGUGAAAAAGAAAGCUAUAGCAAAAUGAUAUGCAUACCGGCUUGAAUCACGACCAGAUUUCUUAGGAUGAACUUUCUUACUAUGACCAUGGAGAGAUUUGCUCAGAUUCGUGAAAUUCUUUUUUCCUAACCCACUGUCAUAAAAGAAUCCAGAUGACAAUGAAACACUUCUCCUAGAAGAAACUUCCUUGGACUUUAAUGGUGGUGAAGGGGUCUUGUUUGCAUCAUUAGUUGAUGAUCAAAAAAAGAAGAAGUUGUUCUUCAUCAUCUCUAUGUAUGGAUACUGUACAUGAAUCAAAACUAGUGUCCAUGAGAUUUCAAAGGAUAAAGCAAAACACUCAUAAACAGCCACUCACAAAUCAUUAUCCAUUCAUGAAAAUACUGCAAGCUAACUAAAUACUUAUGAUACAAAGAAAAACAUCUCUCUUUCUACAUGCUUCUUCUUCAACAACAACAUACGUAACCCCUACCUUGGCAAGUAGAAAAUUUAUUUCCCAUAAAUCCUCGGCAAGGAAAGCAAAAACACGAGGAUAUUAACAACAGUAGCAAGUAUGAAAAUAGAGGUAUACGAUACAAAAAGUAGAAAAAAAAAUAUGUACUAAUACUACUACCAGAAGAGACAUGACGCGAAACUAUUUAGUACUAGUCUUCUACUGAAAAUAAAUAAAAUACCCCACAAACAAAUAGCCCAAGAACAAUUCAAAGAACUUAUCAAAUCCUUCUGAUAAAACAAAUAAUCAUGGUAAAUAAUUAAAAAAAAAAAAAGAGAAAUUACUGAAUCAAAGAGUUGAAAGAGUAAGAGCCGGCAAAAGGUUGUCAGAAUCUGUAGGAUUCUUGUCAUUUUUUCUUGAAAUGUAAAAAUAGCAAAGGACUAGAAUGGAGAAAACUUUAUUUCUGUGUCUUUCAUUCAUCAUCGUACAAUGCAUAUAUACAACUAACAAGGAUCUGUAAAUUGCAAGUAAAUAUUUACAAGGAUCUGUAUAUGGCAAGUAAAUAUUUACAAGGAUCCAUAAAUAUGACAAGUGAAUAUUUACAUACACAUAAUGAAAAACUUGAGAAAUACCCAUGAGAGAGAGAGAGAAGAAAAGUGUAACAAAUAUUUUGUGUUAUUCAAUGGCUAUAAAUAGCCAUAUGAGGUCAAAUUUUCCAUAUAAUAGAAAUAAGAUGUAAACUAUAAAUUAACUUUUUCAAAUUAGCACACAAAUUAACUUAAAUUAUGAAAUUAAAGAUAUUUAUUUUUUCAAAAUUUAACUUUUCCAUAUAAACAUCACUGAAUUGAUAUAAGCAAUAUUUUGAAACGUGAUAAAUUAAUUAAAUAACACAAAAAUAUUGUAAUAUUGUAUUUCUUUUAUCUCUAGAUCUUUUUUAAUACAUAAGAAAUACUAAAGUCAUACAAUAAUCUCCUUUCUUUUUAUAGUCCAAACUUACCAUUUAAAAAUCGUUUCAUUUGAAUUAAUAAGAUCAUAGUAGAUUGUACAAAAUCAGUUAAUAAAUGAUAUAUAUUUCCAUUAAAUAAAUAAAGUACGAUAUAAUUGUAAUAAGACUACACAAUCAACUAAUUAAUUUCACUUAAUUAGAUUAAAUUUUAUGAUCAUAAUAUAUAGACUAAAGUUCCUUAAAUUUAAUGUUGUAAAUUUCAAAAUACAUUUAUGGCUAAAGUAGUAGUCAAUGUUCGUUAUUUUUUUUAAUCAAUAUAUGUAUAUCAAUUAUAGAACUUUGCAUAUAUUCUUUAUUAAAAUAAUUGUCAAUAUUAAUUGAAUUUUACCAUAAUUUAAUCUAAUUAGUUUGAUAACAGUACAAUUAUUAUUAAUAUUAUAUAUUUUUUAACCAUAAAUUUGUCCUAAUUUUAUAGAUUAUUCUAUUUAGUUAAUCUACAAUUACAUAAAGGACUCAAAUAUGGAAACAAUUGAUAUUAAUUACCUUUAUAAUUUCAAAAAUUUAAUCCCAUGAAUUUCUCAUACUCUUAUAGUUUGAUUAUAGCAAAUUGAUAUUAAUUACCUUUAUAAUUUUGGGAAGAAUUUUUAAAAGUUAACGAUUAUUUUUUUCCUAAUUGUUGAUUUAUUUCUCAAAAAUUUCUUAUAAAUUUAUAAUUUGAUUGUAGUUAAUUGAUUAAUUAAUUAUCUUUUUAAUUUGCUAAAAACUCAAAUAAGGUACAAUUAUUUUUUCUCAAUUACAGAUUUUCUUAAAUUCAAUCUUUUAUUGUUUUACUAAAAUAGUUCAAAUUUAAUUGUUUUGAGGCAUGACAUCUUUUUGUCUAUAAAUCUUUUUUAAUACAUAAGAAAUGCUAAAGUNNNNNNNNNNNNNNNNNNNNNNNNNNNNNNNNNNNNNNNNNNNNNNNNNNNNNNNNNNNNNNNNNNNNNNNNNNNNNNNNNNNNNNNNNNNNNNNNNNNNNNNNNNNNNNNNNNNNNNNNNNNNNNNNNNNNNNNNNNNNNNNNNNNNNNNNNNNNNNNNNNNNNNNNNNNNNNNNNNNNNNNNNNNNNNNNNNNNNNNNNNNNNNNNNNNNNNNNNNNNNNNNNNNNNNNNNNNNNNNNNNNNNNNNNNNNNNNNNNNNNNNNNNNNNNNNNNNNNNNNNNNNNNNNNNNNNNNNNNNNNNNNNNNNNNNNNNNNNNNNNNNNNNNNNNNNNNNNNNNNNNNNNNNNNNNNNNNNNNNNNNNNNNNNNNNNNNNNNNNNNNNAUUUCAUUUGAAUUAAUAAGAUCAUAGUAGAUUGCACAAAAUCAAUCAAUUAAUUAUAUAUAUUUUUAUUAAAUAAAUGAUGUACGAAAUUGUUGUAAUAAAACUAUACAAUCAACUAAUUAAUUUCAAUUAAUUAGAAUCAAUUUUAUGAUCAUAAUAUAUAGACUCAAGAUCUUUAAAUUUAAUGUUUUAAAUUUUAAAAUAUAUUUAUGGCUAAAGUAGAAGUCAGUGUUCGUUGUUUUUGUAACCAAUAUAUGUAUAUCAAUUACGAAAAUUUGCAUAUAUUUUUUAUUAAAAUAAUUGUCAAUAUUAACUAAUUUUUAACUCAAUUUAAUGUAAUUAAUUUGAUAACAAUAAAAUUAUUAUUAAUAUUAUAUAUUUAUUUACCAUAAAUCAGUCCUAAUUUUAUAGCUUGAUUAUAGUUAAUUAAUCUAUAAUUACAUAAAGGGCUCAAAUAUGAAAACAAUUGAUAUUAAUUACCUUUAUAAUUUCGGCAAUUCAAUCCCAUGAAUUUCUCAUGUUUUUAAUAGAUUGAUUAUAUUAAAUUGAUAUCAAUUACCUUUUUAGUUUUGGGAAGAAUUUAAAAAAGGUAACGAUUAUUUUUUUUCCUAAUUACUGAUUUAUUUCUCAGAAAAUUCUUAUAUAUUCACAAUUAGAUUAUAGUUAAUUGAUUAUUUAAUUAUCUUUAUAAUUUUCUAAAAGCUCAAAUAAGGUAACAAUUAUUUUUUUCUAAAUUAAGGAUUUUCUUAUAUUCAAUCUUUUAUUGUUUUACUAAAAUAUUUCAAAUUUAAUUGUUUUGAGGGAUGACAACUUUUUGUAUCUAAAUCUUUUUUUAAUACAUAAGAAAUGCUAAAGGCAUACAAUAAUCUCCUUUCUUUUUAUAAUCCAAACUUACCAUUUACAAAUUAUUUCAUUUGAAUUAAUAAGAUCAUAGUAGCUUGCACAAAAUUAAUUUAUUAAUUAUAUGUAUUUUUUUAUAAAAAAUAAUGUACGACAUAAUUGUAAUAAAAUUACACAAUCAACUAAUUAAUUUCAAUUAAUUAGAAUCAAUUUUAUGAUCAUAAUAUAUAGACUCAAAUUCCUUAAAUUUAAUGUUGUAAAUUUUAAAAUAUAUUCAUGGCUAAAUUAAUAGUCAGUGUUCGUUGUUUUUUACCAAUAUAUGUAUAUCAAUUACGAAAAUUUGCAUAUAUUUUUUAUUAAAAUAAUUUCAAUAUUAACUGAUUUCUUUCUCAAUUUUGAUCUAAUUAAUUUUAUAACAAUAAAAUUAUUAUUAAUAUUAUAUAUUUAUUUACCAUAAAUCUAUCCUAAUUUUAUAGCUUAAUUAUAUUUAAUUAAUCUACAAUUACAUAAAGGACUCAAAUAUUGAAACAAUUGAUAUUAAUUACUUUUAUAAUUUUAAAAAUUUAAUCCCAUGAAUUUCACAUAUUCUUAUAGUUUGGUUAUAUCAAAUUUAUAGUAAUUACCUUUAUAAUUUUGGGAAGAAUUUAAAAAGGUAACGAUUAUUUCAUUUCCUAAUUACUGAUUUAUUUCUCAAAAAUUUCUUAUCAAUUCACAAUUUGAUUAAUUAAUUAUCUUUACAAUUUGCUAAAAACUCAAAUAAGGUGACAAUUAUUUCUUUUAUUAAUUAUGGAUUUUCUUAUAUUCAAUCUUUCAUUGUUUCACUAAAAUAGUUCAAAUUUAAUUGUUUUGAGGGAUGACAUAUUUUUGUCUAUAAAUCUUUUUUAAUACAUAAGAAAUGCUAAAGUCAUACAAUAACCACCUUUAUUUUUAUAAUCCAAACUAAUUGCAUAUUUGGAAUCCCCAGAACGCAGGCUUCAAGAAACACCUAUCAUCUUCGCAUUUAGAGGUACGUGGGGUUAUCCUAAAAUCUCAUAGGCCUUUAAAUUCAUGUUUUACAAUGGGGGUUUUAAAACUACGAUCAUGUUUUGAAUGUUUCUAUAAUAUUGAUUUGGCCUUUAGGCCUAUUUCCGCAGUGAUUUGACAUAUUAUAUAUGUAUAUGCAUGUGUUUUGAAAAGGUGUUAAUUUGAGAGCAUGAAUUAUAUGGAAUCCCUGUCUUGAUGUGAACUUGUUUUAUAUUUUCAUACGAUUUAAAUUGUUUGAAAACGUCUUGAAAAGCAUGAGAUGAAAUGUGUUGAGAAUUGAUAUGAUUUUGACUUGAAAACGAGAAGGCUAUUUGCGUUGAAACAUGUUGAAUACAAUGGUUGAAUGAGAAGAAUGAUGUGAUAUUGAUGGUAUGCAAGUCGGGUAUGACGAUACCCUACAGAAUAUGAUAUGUGAUUGAAUCAGAUGAAAUUUGAAUGCAUUGAUUUUACAUGAGAUAGGUGGAUGCCCGAAGAAGGCGUUUGAGUGUAAGGGAUCAUCACUGGAAACUGUGUUUGCCGACAUAGGAAUUUGGUACCCUGCUUUGUGAUCUUGCAUACCUGACUUUAUGUCAUUCCCAAGUUGGGACUAUAGUUAGGAGCCCUACUUUGUGAUCUUGUGCACAACCAUUAGGCCGAGACACCCUGUUGUGUAAUCUUGUGUGUCUUCCCCUCACUUAUACUCUAAUCUCGGUGGAAACCAAGGUUCAACAGUUGGUGUAAAUGUGAUAUGUAAGGUAUUCCACCUAGCUCAGCUGCAUUAAAUUGUUGUUGAAAACAAUUACAUUACGCCCAUGUGUUUUCAAAUGAUUUGAUGUGAAACUGCUUUAUAAUGGCUCUCAACUAUAUUUUGUAAAAAUAUUAUGUUUUGUUUUGAUAUCUCUGCGUACCGGUACUUUUGUAUUGACCCUCUUCCCUUCCAGGUUCGGAGGCACAGUCUAGGGGUCCAAAAAAUCAGUAGAUUCCUCAGACAGAUUUGCAGAGUCACUUGGUGAGCCUUCUAUAUUUCGGAAGGCCUGAUCUCUGGCAGUUUCAUUUAUCAUUUAUUAGUUUUGGAUCUACUGGGGGCCUUGUCCUAGUUUUCAGAUAGAUAUUUAUUUCAGUCAUAUAGUAGAGAUUUUGCAAACAUUAAUAGAGAUAUUGACUUGAGAUUAUGGGACAUUAUUCCCCGUUAUUGAUUUCAUAUGUUUCUUGACCAUGUUUCCGUAAUAUUAUUUAUCUUCCGUAUUUCUUUUAUCAUAUGAGUUAUGUACAUGAUUAUCAGACAAAUAAGGGUAUUUUGGGCCUUCAUGGUUCGGAAUGCUCGUCACAGCUAGGGCCCCAGUUUGGGUUGUGACAAACUUGGUAUCAGAGCACGGUUCAUGGUCCUAGGAUUUUUACAAAAUCACAUCGGGUAGAGUCUUAUUUAUGGGUGUGUAGCGCGCCACACUUAUAAGCAGGAGGAUACUAGGCGUUUAGGAAUGUCUCUCUUUCUUCAUGUUCCAAUUUGUGGAAUAGAGUCAAAAUGUUGCUAUUUCAUACUGUCAUUCGUGCUAUAGUGUCGCCCAUAUGAAGGUAAAGACAUCCCAAAUUCUUUCCUUACUCUGUUUUUCUUAGACAUGUCCCAUUAUUGGGGUGAUUCAAGUGCAAAAAGUUUAGAAUCUACAUGAUAUAGUCUUUUUCGAUUGUGUCAUAUAAGAAAAAAAAUUAUGCAAAGACUCGAGAGGAGUCUGUUGGUGCUUCAAUAUGUGUUGAUUCUGAUGUAAACAUUGAUCCUGAUGGAAUUGUGCUUUCCAGCUUAAGGUAUUAAGUGCAUCUAGUCCCUCCCAAAAAUCUUGAUACAGAUAUGGAUGGUGUAUAGCAGAAUGUUGGAACUGUAUUUCCACCCAAAUAGUAGCAUAAGUUAAAUUGUUGUUGUCAUGACCUAUCGGUAAUGAAAUUAGACCAAGAAGUUAGUGAUGUGAAGUCACAAAUUUAGAAGUCAGAGUGAGGGUUAUUUUUUGUGUAAAUGAAUAUUUCAGUUGAAUAACCGAUAUUUGAGGAUGAUUUACCCCUUUAUAGUGAUAAACUACUGUGGUAGCUAGUAGCACAUGUGGAUGGUAUGGUACUCCAUGGGGGAAGUAUUUUACUCUGAUUUUUAUUUAUACAGAGUAAGAUAGGUAUUAUUAGACCAUUAAAUAUUAUGUGUCAAUUUCCUAUCUCUUGUACUAUGUAAUAUUGUUAUCAUGGUGUUUUUGAAAAAAAAAAAAAUUUAAGUCUAGUGAAGCCAUGUGGGGAUCUUUCGAUUCACUAGCAUAGCUGUCUCAUGUAAUAUGUAAUCUUGUUAUCACGAUGUUUUUGGAAAAAAAAAUGUAAAAACUUUUUAAAGUCUAGUGAAGCCGUGUGGGCUCUUUCGAUUCACUAACAUAGUUGCCUUGUUAUUCAUCUCAUUUUUUGGUUCAAAAAUAUAAAAUUAGAGUCUAGUGAAGCCGUGUGAGGCCUAUUUUGAUUCACUAGCAACUUGUUGUUCUUUUGUUGGUUUAAUAUACGUAUGGCUGAAUCUGUUUGCAUAAGAUGGAGUUGGUAAAGGGGUGAUUCGUCCUUGUGAGUUAUUUUAGUAUAAUUUGAGGAAUUUGAAGGCAGUCUAAAUGUAUGCUUGAGUAAGUAAGUAUGAGGUGAGAAAUCCGCAUAAGUAGAUAAGAUCGUAUAGGGUUAUAAUAUCAGAUUAAGGUUGAUCAUGUCUAUUAUGUGACCUUACCACUUGACUUUUUUCGUUGGUAUUUGUAAACUAGUACUACUUAUGAGAAGGUAUGUAGCAAAUUAUGAGGUAUUUGGAUAGUACUAAAUGACUGGCAGAGAUUUUUCAAAGUUUUACAGGAGUUCUUGAAACUAUUUUCUAAAAAAUUAAGAGUACUUUGAAAAAAAUCUAUAUAAAUCUUUUACUUACUGAUUUCCUAGACAUCAAUUAGGACGGGGAGUCAGGGGUGGAAGUCCCAACAUGAUGAAAUACCUAAAAGAUGGCGAGGGCAAAUCAAGGAUAGUAGGAGGUCAACACGGAGUAGUUUCUUUCAAACUAAUCAUUUUUUGUGGAUGCAGGGAUCGAUACACAAAAUGAGCGUUUCUUUCGAAAAAUCCCCAAGCAAGUCGGGAGCCAUGAUAGAGCAUAUAAUGCUUAAUAACGGUACUUUUGGUAGCCUAAAAAUCGGCUCAACACCCAUUUAUUGACGACCUUUUGAAUUGUCCAUCUCAUUUCUUGAGAUCAUGGAGGACAAACAAAAGUGUCUUGUCUUCUUUACAAAUAUUGUAUUUAGAAUUUUUCUAAAAAAAAUAAUCGCUAGCAAAAGCAACUUUGUGUCUACUAAUCUUCUACCUUGAGUAUAGGUACAUGCAGAAAGCAAGACCUUGACAAAUGAUUUCAGGAGAAACUAUUUUUAAUUUACCGAAAGAACCAUUGCAUGUUAUUGCCAAGAGGUCCAUUGCAUAUCAUCGUUAUUCAAUAUCUGUUCACGCGCUAGAUACAACGCUGGCAUCGAGGAUAUCAUUAGCAUUUAAUAUAUCCAUUGACACAAAAGACACAAUGCUGGCGUCAAGGAUAUCAUCAUCAUUCAAUAUCUAUUGACGCGCUAGACACAACACUGGCGUCGAGGAUAUCAUCAGCAUUCAAUAUAUCUGUUGACACGCAAGACACAACACUCGCGUUAAGGAUAUUAUCAUCUUUCAAUAUUUUUUGAUGCGCUAGACAAUGCUGGCAUCGAGGAUAUCAUCAGCAUUCAAUAUAUCUGUUAACACACAAGACACAACGCUGGCAUCGAGGAUAUCAUCAUCAUUCAAUAUUUGUUGACGCACUAGACACAACGCUGGCAUCGAAGAUAUCAUCAUUAUUAUAUAUCUGUUAACACACAAGACACAAUGCUGGCAUCGAGGAUAUCAUCAUUAUGCAAUAUCUGUUGACAUGGAAGACACAAUGCUGGCAUCGAGGAUAUCAUCAUCAUGCAAUAUCUGUUGACAUGCAAGACACAAUGCUCGCGUCGAGGAUAUCAUCAUCAUGUAAUAUCUGUUGAUGCGUAAGACAUAACACUGUCAUCAAGGAUAUCAUCAUCAUUUUAUAUUUGUUGACACGCAAGAUAUAAAUGCUGGCAUCGAGGACAUCUUAUCAUUUUAUAAAUCAGUAUAUGAAUGCAUCGAGAGCAUACGAUUUGAAGGGACACCUUUAAGUCGCUAUCUAAGGAUGAAUGUAUAUAAGAUUUCUUGGAAAUUAACAAUUUGAGGGUCAUAUAUAAGUCAUAUUAUUUGAAAUAGGAUAGUGUGCAAGAUCACCUAUAAUUUGAUAGCCGGUAGGUCAUCCGUAAGCCACAACAACCUCCUAAUCGGAUAGUGUGCAAGAUCACCCAAAAAUCGAUAGUUCAAAUCCAUAAGUCGAAACUAAAUCCUUACCGGAGAAUAUGGAAGAUUAUCAAAUUGAUACGUCCAAGGAUUCUCUAUAAGCCGUGUCAUAUCUAAGAUCGAUUAUGUGCAGGAUUACCCAAAGACUAAUAAUUUGAGGGAUUAUCUAUAAGUCAUAUUUUAUCCAAGGUCGGAUGAUGUGCAGGAACACCUGAAAGAUAGCGAUUGGAGGGAUAUCUGUAAGCCAUCUCUUAUUCAAAGUAUGAUAAUGUGCAGGAUUACCUAAAAGCUAGAAAUCAAAAGGAUAUCUGUAAUUCACCUCGUAUCCAACAUCAAAUAAUGCGUAAGAUUAUCCAAAGAUUGAUAAUUUAAAGGAAAUUUAUAAAUUGAUCAUCGGCUAUAAAUGGUGAGAUUAUCCAAAGGGUUGCCACACCAGCACAAGACUACACGGUUGUAGAGACUGUUCUGCAUAAAGUAUCACUGGUGUCCAAAAUGGGCACCCACUUUGAAGACAUAUUCAACCGACAAAUGUCAUAAUUAUACAACAACCAAGAGGGUUGUUGUGUUUGGUCUUGUGGUUUAUUUCAUUCCAAACAGGUACAUGAAGAGAUGACUCCGCUUUUCAAGCCACAACUCAUGUGCAGAUAUGGUAAAAGACUGCAUACCUCUUUAGUGAAUUAUGUUUAGCACUAACACUUUUUGCUUGAAGCAUUGUCAAGAGUAUCCGAGAGGAUGAAUAUCUCAAAUGAACACCACAGGUGCAUAUGACUUCAAAUAAGAUGCAACACCCGAAUCCAACCCGUUUUCUUUUUCCUCUUUAUGAUCACGCAUGUUCCAUGAGAAUCCAUACGAGAAGAUGUCGAGAAUCUUCUAGAAACACACUUAGGUGUCUCAUCCAACGUUCAAAUCCCAAAAUUCUCGGAUAGAGGUUUACGAAUUCGUACAUAGAUGGAGUAUUUUCAUUGGCUUGUGAAGAUUAUUCCCUUUCCACCAAUUUCUAUUGGCGACUUUUUGGAAUUUCGUUCAAGAAAAUCAAAAUAGAGGUACAGUUCGUUAGGGUCCGGAUCUUUUGAAUUUCAAAAAUGAACCCUCAAUUUCCUUCUAUAAGUAGCUCUCUUUAGAGAAAGAAAAAGGGAUUUUUUUGGGGAUUUUGGAAUUUUUUUCACUGGCCUCUCCUUUCCUUUAUGGGUUCUCCUCUUCUUUCUCUUUGGAGUUCAAAAUUUUAGAGGCAAAGAGUGUUCAAAAGUUUUGGGUUGAAAAUUUAGGGUUAGAGAAAAUCUUCAAAAAUUCAGAAAUACACAAAAAAAAAAAGGGUUAGAAAGGGGGCUCUCAGAGGGAAAAAAUAUUCUCUUUACGCCUAAGAAACAUACAUUCUUAGGAGGUGCAUCUGAACUGUCGAAGCAGUUGUGAGUUUUUCAGUGGUCGGAAUCCUAUAAUCAGCUUGUUAUCCCAUUUUGCUGCCCCAAAAGAGGUAAAUACACCUUUCUUUUUAAUUUUGUUGUGGUUAUCAUUUUCUUCUUCGUGGUUCCACUUCUGUUUGCUGGGAAUGACUGCUGUAGAGGCCUGGAAGGCAUAGGAUUUUCAUGUUUGAUAUAUUGUUCUACUAAAAAACUCAUUAUUGCCCGUGUUUGAUUGGUUGUCGUUCAUGCUUGAUCUCUCUUAUUUUAUUUUGUUUGAAUGUUACAGUUAGCUUUAAUGCUUCGACUUUAGAAACUAUUUUGCUGGUCUCAUAUUCGAUGUUUCUUUGUAGUUCAUAGAGUAGGAGAAUAAAAUCUUUACGUAUUUUCUAAAUUCAAAAAAAUGUUCAAAGAAUAGAUAUUAGGCAGCCUGUUCGCAUAUCUUUUUCACUCAAACGCAGGAAAUUGUUAUAAAUAAGAACUAGAAUGUUAUUUUCUUUCGACUUGCCACUUUAGAUGUACAAUAGUCUUAUUUUAUUCUAAAGUUUAUUUUAAAAUAUGAGAGUGGACCAUAGGGAUGAAUUAUGUUUUCUUCAUGGCUAAUUCAAUUUGCCGUAAUUGACUCAUGAGAACAAAUUAAAGUUUGACGGGNNNNNNNNNNNNNNNNNNNNNNNNNNNNNNNNNNNNNNNNNNNNNNNNNNNNNNNNNNNNNNNNNNNNNNNNNNNNNNNNNNNNNNNNNNNNNNNNNNNNNNNNNNNNNNNNNNNNNNNNNNNNNNNNNNNNNNNNNNNNNNNNNNNNNNNNNNNNNNNNNNNNNNNNNNNNNNNNNNNNNNNNNNNNNNNNNNNNNNNNNNNNNNNNNNNNNNNNNNNNNNNNNNNNNNNNNNNNNNNNNNNNNNNNNNNNNNNNNNNNNNNNNNNNNNNNNNNNNNNNNNNNNNNNNNNNNNNNNNNNNNNNNNNNNNNNNNNNNNNNNNNNNNNNNNNNNNNNNNNNNNNNNNNNNNNNNNNNNNNNNNNNNNNNNNNNNNNNNNNNNNNNNNNNNNNNNNNNNNNNNNNNNNNNNNNNNNNNNNNNNNNNNNNNNNNNNNNNNNNNNNNNNNNNNNNNNNNNNNNNNNNNNNNNAAUGCUAUGGCUUAUUAAUUGUUAAAAUCUUGGACGUAUGUUAAUUUCUUCAUUCCUUUCUUUUCAUUCACCCCCUUGAAGUUCAAAUGGGCCCCUUCUCUCUUGUCAUUUCAUAAAUGGGCCAAUGAGGCCUAUCCUUCCGAGUUAAUCCCAAAAGAAAAUCCAAGAAUCCAUCACAUGGUGUAUGAAUACGAGGAAUCGAAAGAAGAAUGGGUUAAAGUUCCAUCUUUGAAGCGGCAAAGGGGACUUGAAAAUCUCGUUAUUUCUUCUUUAUUAAUUUAUUUAUCCAUUGUUUCCAUUAUUUAUUUAUUUACUUAUUUAUAUUUUUGUUUAUUUAGUGAAUUAUUUAUUUAUUCAUUUGGGCCUCGAAGCCAAAGUUGUAAAUUUAAAAUAGGUGGAACGAGACUUGAGCUAUUUGCUUACUUGUUUUACGUGUGUUUUACGAACCUAGUAAAAUCCUUAGUCAAGUCGCUAAAAAACUGGUUUUGUAUAAACACCAAAAUAUUUCUAAAAUUGCUUUUCUUUUCAAAAAAUAAACUUUUUCAAAGUUAAUCAAAAGACGAUUUUCAAACAAUCCGGAUAACCAUAAGUUAGCGAACAUUUUAGAUGCCUAAUACCUUCCUAAAACGUUAAUAGGAACUGCUUAUCUAGAAUCUCUAACUUAAAACGAUUUUUCUAUUUUGAAUCGUUUGCAGUAACUCUCUAACGGUUUCUUAAUUCCUUUUCAAAAUUAAGUGGCGACUCUCAAAAAGUCAAAAAUUCCGCAAAACAAUAUCAACCACAAUCACAUCCCCACAUCUACUACCCCCACCCGAAAGUAGCAGAAGAAUAAAGGUUUGUAGUAAUUCAAUCCUCUUGACGCUUGCGCUCCUUCUCUUUUAGUUCAUUAACAAAUUUGUUAAAUAUUUCAAGCAGCAAGCCCUUAUCACCCAUUAUUCUGUAAAAUAAUAACAGCAAAGAAAUUCACAUUCAAUAGAUUACGACAUAAUGAGAAUCAUGAGAUUAUGAAUAAAAAAGUAAAAAUCCAGAGCAUUUCAUUUUAUAGCCAAAGAGGCUAGACAAAUUAAAACUAGAGAUUUAGCAGCAUACUUCAUCAGAACCGUGAAACAAUCACAAAUGCCAGAAAUUAAAAAACUAAAACAAUCACAAAUGUCAUAAAUUUAAAAACUAACUGCUAGACCUAUUAACUGCUAGAUAUCAAAACAAGAUAACCCUUGCAAUUCUCUCUUCCCACAUACAUAGAUUAUACGCCAUGACCAUAAAUAACCUCCAAAAUCCAAAUGAUAUAUGAAGAAUAUCCUCAUUACAAAAUAGAAAAUGAUCGUUGAUAUCAUCCAGUUAUGUUGUUUAACCAGUUUCGUAGAGUAAAACUCUUAUCCACUAACUGUAAAAACAGAAAACUACAAGGCAAAUUUCUUUGAAUUAAGCAACUUAAUAUAUGUACGGUAGGUGUAAUAUUAAACACCGCCGUCCAGGAAAUAAAAACUAAGGAAAAUGGUACCAAAACUGAAGAAUUGGAAGCAAAAGCUAACAUCAAAUAUUUGAUCAAUGUGGUCCUCGUCUUUAUUCUUGAAGGUUUCAGGCUUACUUGCUAACCGACACACUACUAUUCUAUUAACUCUAUUACAAGAAGAUCCAAAUUUAAUGUGGGAUAGGUUAUGGUUGAUACUAAAUAAAAAUGCCACUAACCACAGUUGACUACCUACGAGUUGCCAAUUUAGCAAUCACAAACUGACCGAAUUCCAGUGAAACAUAACAUGGAAGUACUACUAAUGCUUUUGCACUCAAUCCACUCAUCUUAUGCAGGACCUGUCCCAAAGACAAAAAGGGGACAAAUACAUAGAAAUCCAUUUAGUGACUGGGGUACUUCAAUUUUCACAACAUUUAAUUCAACAUGGGUCGAUGUGAAACAGUAUACAGUGCUUAGCCAUAAUUAGACCUUUAAGUUGGUAUCUGUCAUUAGUGGAGAGCUAAUAUACUUGUCGAUUGCAACCUUAAAAUCAUCAAGCGUCCAGGCUGAUGUCAAUCCAAUCUGAAAGUAGAGACGGCUCAGCCAAAAUAUUAGGUACUAACUGAAGCACAACAAAGGUUAAAAUGAAGAGUGGUGAUUACCUCGACCAUCCUAAUUGCAUCUUUAAUUUGUGACUUGUGAUCAAGAUACUGAAGCAACAUACAAGUAACACAAAUUCAGAAUGCUUAUAAGUAACAAAAAUAGGAUACCAAAUGGAGCUUUGUCCAUGCAUUUGAGUUACCAUAAAGUUUAUAAAUUACAAGCAGGGUGAUGGGGAUGAAAUUUCUUUCAUGAAUACCAACAUUUCUCCACUUGUUCAAAGUCAUCUACAAUAUCACAAGACACUUGACACAUAAACUUAAUUGCACUGAUCAGGUUAAAUUGAAGGAAAAAUCAAGCACCCCUGUUUGGAUAAUAGAAAAAAAGUGAAUAAAUAAAAAUGGAUAGCAUCUCUGUUAACAGCGCUUUCGUUAUAUUUACUUAAUAAGAAUCAUUUAUGCACACAAACAGUAAUACAAACUUUAAAGAUAGAAGUUGACAUCUUUAUCUUACAAGGGAAAAAGAAAAGAUUUUCCGCAUCUGAGUUUAUGUAUAACUCUCACCAUCCCAUAGCAAGAGCCUAACUCAAGAAAACAUUACCAAAUUCAAUCACUGAAUAAGAGUACGAACAAGAUCAUUACCAUGCUAGGAUACCAGGUAAACUCCCUCUUUCAUCAAGCAAGGAGAUAAAUGCUAAUAACAUUUGAUCAUUCAACUUCAAUUCUUUUCGGAAAGGGCAGAGGAUGAAACAAUAUAUCGUUUAGUUAGGCGCAAGUGUGUAUUACGGCAAAAAAAAAUCAUAGUGAGGGAGAUGCAACUUUAUUUAGAGAAACAGAGAUGCUCUCAGGUUCUUUUUCCGAGGCUAAUCUUUUCUAAGCCUUUACUUUCAUUACAUCUCAACUACCUCUUCAGAGGCGAAUUCUGGCACUAAGUUUAUUUAGUCCAAUUUAUAUGGUUGAUAACACAAUAUUUUGAAUUAGGUUUUAAGUUGCACGAUAUCAUCCGAAGUUAAAUCAAAACUGGGGUGUGGUACAAAUGGACAAAACAUGGUCGAAACUUGACCAGACAAACUACUUUCAGGUCUCAUUUGUUUGCACUUAUUGGAUUUAUGAACCUGUUCAGACCUCAAACCAUUAAGUGCAUUUAUUUUUUUAGGAUUUUAGCUCUUAAUAGGUCUGAGUAGGUCUUAAUCAUUCAGAUGUGGAACCAAGUCUAAAUAUCAUUUACAGAUAUUCUUGUGUAGGAUAAAAUUCACCACUACUCUAUCCACAAUCACUUGCCACCACCACCAACCACUUUCACCAUCAAAACCAACAUCACUACCACCUACACUGCCAGCCGCUACCACACCUACAACUUCCAUUAUUCUAAUUAUAUCCACCGCCAACUAGGGGUGUUCACGGUUUAGUUUUUAACCAAACUGAACCGCGAUCCAAACCACACCGAUUAAAAAAACCUAUAUUUGGUUAGGUUUGGUUUGGAUUUGAAUUUUAAAAAACCGAUACUAAUUUUGUUUGGUUUGGUUUUCCUCUAAAAUAACCGACAAAAUAACCAAACCGAACCAAUAUACAUAUAUAUAUUAUAAUUAUUUAUAUGUUUUUCAUAAAUAUAAUCUAAAUAUUUGUUACAUUUUCUAUUUUAAUCAUGAUUUAACUUUAGUCGUAACACAUUCAGUCAUAUGUCUUCAUCUAGUUGACAAUACAUUAUGAGAUUUUAAAUGAAUUUCAUAUUUUGAAUGACAAAUGAUACUAAUUGUGAAAAUAAUAUCUUGUUAUAUAUUGAAAUUUACAGCUGAAAUUCUUUAGACUAUACACAAUCACUAAUUUUAACUUUCUUUUGAACCUUGUUGGGCAAGAAGUUUAUGUGUUUACCUUUUGGGGUUUAUCAUAUCAUUCUAUUAAAUAUAGUUUUUAAAAUUUUUUUUAAAAGCGUUCAUAUGGUGUUAUCAUGGGUUUGCCGAAGUAUAACACUCAGUUGAGAUCAUAUUUUCAAGAUUGAGAUACAACACUCAGUUGACAUCUCAUAUGUUAGAUUGGAUUUGUUUUUUAAAAUUCUCAAAUUUUAUCAUUAACUAAAGUUAUAAACCAAAAAACCCGAAUCAAACCGAACUAAACCGAUAAGAACCAAACAGAUGGUUAUUGUUUUUUUUGGUUAGGUUUGGUUUUAGAAAUUUAAAAACCGAUUAAGUUGGUUUGGUUAUGGUUUUGACCAAUAACCAAUCCAUAUCGACCCAUGAACACCCCUACUGCCAACGCCGCCACCAUCAACUGCUACCGGUCGAUCCCUACUACAAACCAACUCAUCUAUCAGAACUAGCAUUACCACUAAUAACCACCAACACAUCAUCAACUUCCACACAUCGCUAACAACCACUAACAGAUCAUCAACUUCCACACAUUCUUCGGACACCAUCACCACCACUGUCACCGGCGUCACCACCUCUACCACUACCAUCACAGCUAACAGCGUCUCCAAUGACCACUAACACAUCGUUAACCAUCAUGCAUAUAGUUUUCCUUCACCACAAUCAACACCUCCAACUACUAACAUUAACCAACUUCACAUCACAACCACCACUACCACUACUAAUCGCCAAUAUCAUGACAGUUACUACAAUGCCAUCUAUCUCUACUAUCACAACUAUCAUCACCAACAUUGCUAAUCACUAACAUCAAUUAAUUUAUUACAACCACCACCACCAUUACAAACCAUCUCCACUAUCACUAACAAACAUAAAUGUUUCUUUUUUUAAUCAAAUAAUAAUUUAAUUGCAUUAAAUUAAAAAACUUUCUAAUAUAUAAUUAUAUUAUAUUUAGAAAUAAAUAAAUUUUACACAUUCAGAUAUUGAGAAACACCCAACCUUAAUCAUUUAGUUUUCAGAUCUAGAGAUAAUAUCUUAACCGUUCAGAUGUGCAUUCAAAAUGAUUCAAAUAUAUGAAUAUUAAUAAAAACAAAUGCAGUCUUAGCUGAAACACAAUGGUAUGGUUGUGUGAUACUUUAAAGGAGUCCUCGAAAGCCAAAGAAACUACGUGAAAACAUGGAAGUUUGAUCAUCACUUCUCAGAGUUGUUCUACUCGAGAAACUAUAACAAUUAAGGUAAUAUAACCAUUAACAGCAUUCAACGGAGGAGAAGUCAAUUACAAUUGUCCGUGAAGUAGCAUUUAAUACAGCUUUGCUAGAUUGAAAGAAUCAUCUAUAUCUAUACUAAAUUAAAAGCAUGGAACCCCUAACUUAAAAGUUUGCGACAAUACCAUUCCUAUCAGCCUAAAUACCUACUAUCUAGUAAAAAAAGAGGAAACUAAUUGGCAUAAAGAGAAACAAUACAGAUGUUAAUAGGAACAACCAGUCAUUGUUCUUAUCUCAACAAAAUAUAUGUUAUUUAAAAAAAGCAAGCAGAGGGGUAACUCUCAAAUGUCAAUCUCAUGCUUUUAUCCUACCAAGUAUGUUCUAUUCUUUAAUGCACAACAACAAUAACAACAACAAAUCCAGUAUAUUUCCACAUACUAAUGCACUAACUUUCUUUUUUACCUAAUUAAUUGAACUUUUUAGUGAGGAUCUAAAUGAUUUUCAGACUUUGUUUAACAUCUGAUUCAUUAAGAUGUAUUAGUAAUAGGUUGAAUCUUUUGAAAAAAAACACUUAAUGGGCUGAUAUCUUAACCAUUAAGAUUCAGACCUUCAUUAAGUGAAAGCAAAUGAAAAGGGAUUGUAGUGUAAAGUCUAUAAAUAUGGCUUAGAAUAACAAAUGUAGUUGACACAAUUCAAUACUCCUAUUAUCAACCUAUUUCACCUGUUUCUCCAGCUCAUCCAUAACAUCUGUAAAUAAGUCUUUUGCUAUUGAUUCUAAAGUAUUUGAUGAGACAGCUACAUAUGCAGCAAAAUCUUUAAUCUGCAAGAACAAAAUAAAGAAGGAAAUUAUUGGAUGAAAAAAUCAAAAAGACAAAAAGGGAACUCAUGAAGGUAAUCACUCACUGAACACAAGAAAGAAAAACUAACUUUGAUGCAAUAAUCACGCCAGUUAGUUUUUGCAUUAAGUAUUCCCGCAGGAACAUGCUCUUCCAUCAGUUUUCGAAACUCAUCAAAAUUUUUACGUUCAGCUUUCCUCAAUUCUUCCUAUUUGAAUCAAUGGUGUAUGCCCAGUGAGAAAGAGAUAAAUCAAAGUCUCCAAACAUAAAUUUAAUUUUAACCCCCGAGUCUAAUAAGCAAUAUACCAUCCGUAGUUUCCUUUGCUCCUCCUCUUUGCUCUCUAAAUCACAUAUAUAUUCCUAAAACAGAAAAGGUUGCAACAUAACUUUAAAACAGAGGUGUACAAAUGAGAUGUUUGGAAAAAGUUAUUUAUGAUGUAUUAGAAAAAUGAGUUGUACCUGGAAAAUCUCCAAACGAUCAAUUUUGUCAAGGCGGGAGCAUCUUUCAUCAUUUUCCAAGCGGUCCUGAACUUUCCGCCACUGGCUACUGGCCUGAACAAAAGAACUCAGCAACAGUGGAACUAUAGAAGUUCUAUCUCCUGGAAAUAGAAAAACAUAAUCUAGGAACUGAUGCUAAUUCCACUAGAACAAAUACCUUAAUAAAGUCACAGGAUUUUAAAAAUUCUAAGUACUCCACUCUAUUGCGCUUCUGCUCCUCCAAUGCCUUCUCAUGCUCCUAAUAAAAUCCAGUACAAAGUAAAAAAAAUAAAAUUUCUCUAUAAAGAAGACAAUAUUUACAAAGAGACUUUAACUACACUUGCAUGAAAGUAUUGAAAAACUUUUUCUAUUUUACGACGGAGGGGGAGAGGAAGAAGCAUAUCAUAGUUUCAAGUUUCAAGAAAAAUUACAUACAAUACAUGGAAGUCUAUUUAUAUUAGAAUUCAAUGGUGAACAAAUUUAAAUCUUGUACCCUUGAGAAGCCAUUAAAAAUGUAUUCAAAGAACACAAGAUUUUAAGUUGAAUAUCUACAACAUUCCUUCUUUCUACUCUUUAAGCAAAAUAAAAAAAGGGAACAAACUAAAAGACAUCCUGCAAAGGAAAGGAAUGGAAUGACUGUUGUUAAUCAAGUGGACCAGUGCCUAACUCAACUUCGAAAACUAGGUCAGGUGGUGAAGAUUGUCCUUGAUCAUAUAAGGAAACUACAGCACAUACACCUUACUAGUGUGGGAUUCUCAUACACUAAUCGCACACCAAGACUAGACAUUUGUAGCAUCAGUUAACCUUGGUUGGCCAACAUCUAAUAGUCUAACAUCAAGAUAGAUCUGCCUCUAAUACCAUGUUUAAGAAAUUGGACCUUGUUUCUAGCUCAAAUGAAAGUCUAACUCAAUUUGUGAGGAGCCAAAGACCAUAUAAGGAAACUACAGUCCGAACACUUAGUUUUUAACAUAUAGAAACUUACAAGAAGGUUCUGCAAAAGGAGCUUCACCUUUUUCUCAAGUUCCUCCACAUAAUCUUCAAAAAGGUCCUCACAGUCUUUAGCUCGCUCAACAGCUUUAAAACGCUCAUCAUGUUCGAAUAUGUUCGAAUAUGGAGAUUUCCUUACUGAAUAAUCAAUAGCAAAUAGUCAGUGGAUCAAAUGGAACUUACACAAGUAAUGGAUCAACUUCAAGGUACCAAAACACAUACAAACAAUGACCAAGAUUAGAAAACAAGCAGCAGACAACUUAACAUUACAAGUGAAAGACAAACCUCCAUCUUGACGAUGGUGACAGCUCCUUGCAAUCCUGUAAGAUUGAGAACAACGGACAUUGUUGUGAAAAAUACCACUUAUUCUUUUGAACAAGUCAAAUACCAGUCUCUAACACAUCAUGAAUAUUAUGAUAAUAUCUUUUUAUUUUUGAAACUGGUAAUGUGAAUAUCAUGAUUUAUCAAAUGGAAGACAACCACAAAAGAAAAUUUCACUUACUUCUAACAUUAUCCUGAAAUCUUCCCGAGCUUUUUUCUGUUUAACACACCUCUCUUCAGCUUCCAGUUUUUUCUUUUGGCUCAGAUACUAGAACAGACACACAACUUCAAAAUGAUCAUUAUAGACCUUGGGUGUGUUUGGUAUGAAGGAAAAUGUUUUCCUAGAAAACAAGUUGGUUUCUUACUUGUUUUCUUAUGUUUGGUUGAUGAAAGGAAAACAUUUUUCAAAAAAUGUUUUCUAGUGUUUGGUUGGUGAAUAAAAAAAUAUUUUUCAGAAAAUACAUUUGAGAGUUGUACAAACAUUUCAACUUAAGAGUGAGAUUGAAAGAGAGUUUUGGAAAAUGUUUUUCCUACAUUUUGAAGGGAAUUCAUUUUCCUUAAAUUUAAGGAGAAUAAGUUGAUUUGGAAAAUAUUUUCCAAAAUUUUUAAGUCAACCAAACAUGGAACAAUUGGAUAUCAAACACAAUCUAUCUUUUUGCAAUACAGUAUGCUGAAAUAUUGAAGCAGCAAUUAACCCAUUCCAAUGCCGACUUGGAGAGAUACCUCAUUAAAAGCUUGCUUCCACUCACAAAGGGAUUUUAGAGCUCCAUAUCUCCGGUCAUUAAUUACUGCUCUCAUGGCCUGACAAAUACAAUUCAUGUCAAAUGAUCUCCCUCAAUUGUUUGGUACGCACAAAAUAGUCAAGUAAUAAACCUGAUCCUACGUGCAAUCAGACCCAAUAUUUGCAGAUUCCAAAAGAGUUUUGAAUGCAUUCUUUGCCUCCUAAAUAAAAUCAGAUACUUAAAAUAGAAAUAAGAGAAAUUUCGAGAACAUACAUUAAACAAGGGAAAAAGCAAUAAUCAACUAUACCGCUUUGCUCUCAUAAACUAAUGGUCCCAGCUCGACUGUUUUCUCAUCUGAUGGAGUAGCACCUCUGAUUUCAGUUAUUGCAGCAUCUUACUUGACAUUCUACAUUUUAGGCACAACAUCAAGCACAAAGGGAAAAAUCAAACCUCAUUGGAAUUUGUAGCAUAUUCUUUACCUGUUAGCAGUUGACUAACAACUGCACUACAAAAUUGUUGGAUCAACAUCUAGCAUAACAGCUACGAAAAGCUUUCUUGGUGUUUUAACCAGUAACCAGUAGUAAUUAACUAAUCUCAUAAGUAUUUGAGAAGGACAAAGUACCUUUCUAUUCUCCGAAGAAAAUCCAUCACCAUACACUACUGCAUCUUAAGUUGUAGUAGUCUCAGAACUACAGAAAAAUUGAAUUCCAAAUAAGAAGCAACACAAACCAGAGGCAAAUUUAUAACAUAUAAAUUUGAAAACAUACACCGGUGGCGCGACAAAAUUUCCCAAGGUUACUGCAAUUCCAAUUUUCUCCGAAUUAGCAACAGCUGGCGAAGUAAGUUCUGAAGAAUUCUUCAUUUUGACUGUUUCAAUCAUCGGAAUAGAAACCUUACCAGAUAAACUUGAUGAUUCUGAAGCCACAAUAGUUGGUAAGUUAGCAGCUGGUGACAUAGCAAUUGGGCUUGAUUUAGUACCGUGUGCCAAGACUAAUAAACCAUCUGCACCCGGGAUGAUGUUUUAACAACAGAAAUGGAUCCAAAAUCAGAAGCGUGCGAAAUGGUGUCCUUUUUACGUGCCAACUGUGAAUUUAUAAAUAAUUGAACUUUAUAAGAAUAGAGUUUCCAAGAAAACAGAAUAUUGCCCCUUCUUAUCAUGCUAGCAACUGUGAAUGCAUAAAGAUUUUAUGAGAACUAGAGCAUCCGAGAAAACAGAAUAUUAUCCCUUCUUAUCAUGCUAUUUAAAGCAUAUAACAAUCCCUUCUUAUCAUGCUAUUUAAAGCACGAAAUAAACCCAUAUUGGAUUUAAAUAUAACAUCACCUUGACUUCAUCAGGCAUUCUCCAUUUGGACGUUCUAGUAACCUUCUUGUAGUAAUACCUACAGAAAACAAACAAAGAAAUCAGCAUUAUGCACAAGUAACACACAAAAGUACCCACUGUAGAAGAACAAUUGGAAAGAGGCCAAAAAAAUAUAUAAGUUACACAUUUUCUUCCCUCAGGACUUGUAAAUUUUCUCCGGUCAGUUAAUGUGUCUGCCCUCUGUCCCAAUGAAAACAACAUAAAAGCAGGUCAAGUCAAAAAAUAGAACAUAAACAGUACCCUGAGAGUAGAAUUCAGUAACUUCCAGCAGUACAAUACUGGAUGGAAGUGUUAGAAUAUGAAUGAUAUAAUGUCCCACAUGGAAAAGGACUAGAAUUUACUGUGUAGAAUAUAACUACAAGCAAGGUGGAAACAUUGCCAAGCUGCGUUCGAGCUACAGCUAUCCAAGGGUGAUCAACUGAAUAACAUUCGCCUGAUAAUCACAUUUUGUAUAUAUAUAUAUAGGUUAAAUUCUGUCAUUUCUAAGUAUUUUUUUAUAAACAACCUUGCCACAAAAAAUAAGACUGAGUAUGAUAGUAAGGGUGUUCAAAUCCUACACUGAGGUUCUAUGUUCCAUACCCAACACAGCCCUUCCAUAAUUGUUUCUCCAUUUGGACACGUUUGAAAAUCAUAAACUACAGUUAUGCUUUUUUUCGAUGAAUAAAUUUCUGAACAUGCGUUUUUUGUCCCAAUUAGCUCUUGCAAAAGAGCUAGCAACUAGCAUGCCAUGUAUAAGAAUUUUGUUAAAAUAAACAUAAAGGUAAAUUUAUAAAAUGGUUGUUAUACUAGCUAUCUUGCAUGGGGCAGAGUGUUUAGCUGGUCAAGAGCUCGCAUGUUCGAAAGAUAAACGUAGCAGAAAUGAGGAUGUUGAGAUUGGUGUGUGAGCAUAGGAGAGAUAGAAUAAGGAACAAAGAUAUGCGAGAAAAAGUGGUAGUGCUCUCUAUGGUGGACAAUUUACAAGAAGAAUAGAGGGUUGGGGAUAAAGAACCUAAAAAUUCAAAGUAAGGCUCUCAUGUUGAAAUGGUUGUGGAAAUAUGAAAACAAUAACCAGCUGCUAUGGAGGAAAGUGAUUAGGGCUAAAUAUCCUGAAGAAGAUAGAUGGAUAACUAAAGAAGUGACCACACCAUACGGAGUUAGCCUCUAGAGAUCUAUUAGAUCUAUUAGACACUAGUGGAAUGAAGUUAAAAGCAACUCAAAGGUUAAAGUGAUGGAUGGAAACAAGACUAGGUUCUGGAAGGAUAAUUGACAUGAGGAUGGGAAUAUGGAAGUGACUUUUCCAGAUAUCUACAACUUGGUAUUGUUUCAAUAGAGGACUAUAGCAGAAUUAUGGACACCACAUAGGUGGAACUUCAAUUUCAGAAGGCAACUUAAUGACCGGGAGGUAAUGAGAGUAGUUGAAUUUUUUAAUACCGUAGGCUUAUUCAAUGGACUGCAGACUGUGAAGGACAUACUAUGGUGGAUGGGAAAUGAAAAAGGAAUGUCCAGUGUCAACAAAGCCUACAAGAUGAUGAACCAAAUAAAUCACCCGAAUCCAAGAUGGACAUGGAAGAAAAUAUAGAAAAGUAGGUUACCUCACACAGUGUCGUGCUUUGUCUUUGUGUGGUUACUAACCAAGGAAGUAGUUCUUACACAAGAUAAUGUCAUGAAGAAAGGGAAAACCUUGUGCUCCAGAUGUUUCCUCUGUGGAUAAACUUUAGAGACGUUUAACCAUGUAUGUCUACAUUGUAAGUACACCCAACAACUUUGGAGAAUAGUCUUAAGACUAAAAGUCAUUUCCAGGACAAUGCCUAGGAAAGUAUCUGAGACUUUAAUGUGCUGGGAGAAGUAGGUGUACAUGCGAAGGACAGAGGUAGAUGGAGACUUAUCCCUGGUGCUAUAUGGUGGGCUAUUUGGAAAGAAAGGAAUUCUAGAUAUUUUGAGAGCAUAGAGAAUAGUGUGCAGAAGGUUAAACUCAACUGUAUUUUGCUUUUAUGUUUUUGGUGUAAUCAACUAUACUCUAAUGAUACUGCCUCGAUAAUUGAUGUUCUAGACUAAAUUUAGAUAUAGAACAGUCGAUUUAGGAGUACUCUUGUAUAUAAAGGUUUCAGUACAACCCAUGUGCUGUUUGAUAUAAUACAAAGUUACAAAGUUAAAAAAAAAGAUAAUAAUUUUUCAAGAACUAAAAGUUUAUAAAAUAACAAAUAAAGCAAUUAAAUCUGAGUUCAAAUUGGGUGGGUUGGGCUAUGACCCGCAUUUUAGAGCAUUUCAACCCAACCCAUUUCAGCCCAAGUAGCUUUAGGGCGGGUGGAUAACCCGCCCAUUUAUUAACUCAGACCUCUUUGAUCAGCCCAAAUCUAGCCAGCCCCGCCCAUGUGACACCUUUAGUUUAAUAGAAGUAAAGUGGACCAUGCCAAAACAGAUCUAUUGAGUUGAAGUAAAGUGGACUAUCAAAGGACACACAACAAUCUGUUGAGCUGUUGGAUUAAAGGGGAUUAGCAAAAGUUAGAAGAAAUGGGGGAGAACAAUCCUUCCUUGUAUUUGGUGGACUGUAUGGAGCGAGAAAAGUUGAAGGAAUUUUGAAGAUAAAUAUAAUUCCAUUCAGAAAGUUAAAUGGAAUAGCAUUGUAGAUUUUUGUUUAUUGUUUAAGGGCCAAUGUGUACAGAAUGCAUAACAGGUAGUAGAUCUCUUCAAAUCCUCGUAUUAUUUUCAUUAUUUUUCAUUUUUUUUUUUGGACUGCUAGCAUAACCUUAACUCUGACGAAUGCAAAGUAAUAUCUCCAAAAAAAAAAUUGUUUAUCUCGAAAAGAAAAGAAUAAAAAUGUUCAAACUUCCUUACAGCUCUAGUUGUUGGUCCCUUAAUACUUGUCCCUCACAACCAGCCAAACUUUCUUUGAUAACCGUCGUGUUUGGGCCAGCUUGCACCUUGACUAGUUACACCAGGUACUGCUACCUCCCACCAGCAUAGAUACUGGGUAACUCUAUCCAUCAAGGCUUGGACAGACGGUAAGAAAUCACCUAGUGCUUUUAUCUCUGUUGGAAAUUAAACCUGAGACCUCAUGGUUCUCAAUCUACUUCAUUGACAACUAGGUCACACUCUUGGGUGCAAGUAUGCAACCAGCCAAACUAUUAUUCUGUAAACCAGAAUGAGAAGUGUGAACCGCAAUAUUAUAUCAAGUUUACUCUCUCCAUAUCGCCAUAGAGUUACAAUAACAUUACAUUAAUCAGAAAGUAAAUAAAAUUGUUUAAAAUAGACCAAAUAUAAUCCUGCCGUGUAUACUUAAACACAUUUUUUAGAACAAUAGUGUUAAAUAUAAAAUCUUUUAGAACUAUAUUGGAAAUAAAAAGCCAAUACAAAUCCUAAAUGAAGCCUACAUAGUAUAGUAAGAUCGAGGAAAUCUGCUCGCUAAACAAACUUUCAACAGAAAUCACAUAUACUUAGGAAAGAAAAAGUGGUUCUACGAAGCUUCAUAGAAAAAGAAUUGUGUACUUCUUUUUUCAUUGAUACGCACAGGAAACUGGAUAAAACUACCCAUGAAAAUCUCGAUGACACGAGACCUCACCUCCAUUUCUGUCAUCAGCUCUCGAGGUUUCUCCCAGGUAGAGAUUCUUGUCCUUCUAUUAUAAUAGUAUCUAAAAAUCAAUUCAAGAAUUGUGAAUGUUAUUUUAAUUGGUUGGAGUAAUAAAGCAAUAGGAGUCAGGUAGAAUUUGGUAGCGGUGAACGGCAGCCCAUAUGAUAACUUUGACAAAGAGGACUGAAACAAAGGGGCCUAUUAUCUCCAGUGCUAAUGGAAGCAAAAUGAUGUACAAAGCACUAGAUGUGGAUACUUGAGGGAUUUAUUGGCAGUGAUGGGGGCCAACAUAUCCACCACUUGUUCAUAGACAUGACAUUAAGUGUUUGUGAUGUAGACAUUAACCUAUUCAUACGAGUAACCUAUGUGAAUAUAAUCCAAAAGCAAGAAUUCUGGAAAGCCAAAUCGGCAUGCUCUUUCUUCUGUCUGGAGAACACAAAGUGGUAAAAAGAUUGGAUCUGAAUGAAGAUGAUAUUUUUGCAGAGCUCCUUUUCUUGUAUACCGUGGUUUUACACCUUUUUUGUUCACUGGAAUCUUAAUUUUCUUACAAAAAACUAUCAUAGAAUUCAAAUGUUGACUCUCUCAGUCAACACAGACCCAUUAACCCAUUAACUUAAGCAUACUUGUUGACAAUAUUUAUGCAAAAUGGGUACAAUAAAACACAUUGAAUUCUCACCAGAACAACCAAGGGAGCUGCUAAUUCUCCAGUCUUCUGCAUAGUUGUCGCAAAAUUCACAUUAUGAUUACUUAUUGGCAUCCAGGGUUGUACCCCUGAUGGAAACCUAUGAUUAUUUAUCUGUGUCUGAUACUGGGAGCCAGAAGAAUCUGCAUUUACCUGCUGUUAAAGACGAUAACAAAAUGUAUUUCAUCAAUAUAUGAAUGAAACAUCGAAAACUGAUUGACUAUAACCACAAAAGAUCUUCCCAAGGUCUUACAUUAUAUGAUGAAGAAAGAGGUAAAUUUGGCCCACCAGAACCAAGCAUGUGGUUAUUUGACAUCGGAAGAUUUUGCUGAAAAUCAUGGGGAAUAGGUGGUCCCUGAGGCAUACUAUACAUUCCUACUACAGGGAUACCAGUAACCUGUUGCAUAGGUUGAGGAAAUUGGAUUUGAGAAGGUUGAGACAUCGCAACAUUUGCAUGUCCAAGUGGCAGAAAUUGUUGAGAUGGCCCGGAACCAUAAGGUUGUGCCUGCUGGACUGGAAGCAUAGGCUGGAACUGCUAAAGAUGUGGGGAAAAUAGUUAUCAUAAUGUCUCUACAUUCAAAAGUCAUUUAUCCCUCCCCCAAGCCUCCACAACUUUACCUGCAGUGACAUGGAUGG
rnacentral:lncRNA from 1 species